CUGGAUCCGGCCCGAUCUGCCCACCUGCGCCGCUACCCUACUGUUCGUCGACCCCGCCGCCGCGCCGAACCGUCGCCAUGGCCUCUGCUUCGCCCGCUGGUACGCCCUCAUUCCAGGAUCCGCCAAGCCUUCCAACCAAAGAACAUCUGGAACCGCUCCAUCCUACUUUUCCUGCGAGGUCGAAUUUUUGCUUGUCCUCAAAUUUUUCACAUGAGAUUGCAUUUAAUGAUGAUGGUAACUUUGUGCAUGUUUGUCCGAUGGAAAUGAUCUUUCUAUGAAAAGUGAUCUACUCUUUGUGGGCUUAAUGAUGGUUGCAUUUGCAUCCUUCAUAGGAUUCAUCUACAUGUUGUAAUCUCUGUUACAAAAGUGCAUCAUGUCGUAAUCUACAUAAAAUUGUUAAAACAUUCAAACUUACGUUGAUCCUUGCCACCAAUCCAUAACUCAUAUGCAUAUGAUUCCUUAAGGUCUUUUGCACUAUGCAAUGUUUAUUCUAAUGCGAUGCCCAUGGAUGCCAUGUCAAGUUUCUUUAGCAUGUCUAUUUCUUCCUCUUAAGUGGCUAUCAUGGUAUAAAUACAUUCUUAUUAACAGAAAGUUCCAUUUUGUAAAAAUCAUAGUAAUUAAUAAAUGCAUCCUAUGAAUUUGUGCCUAUGAAGUAAAAUGAACAUUGCAAUGUAUAAUGCAUGUACAUAUAUUAUUCAUAAAUAUUGAAAUUGGUUUACUUAAUGUUUAGUGCAUCUCAAUUCAGCAUCAUAAUUUUACUGUUUUGCAAAUCCCAGAUUUUCCCGAAGUCCCUAGAACUUAGCAAAACAUUGCAUUUUGCAUAAAUCAUAUUAAAUUAACCAUGAUGCCCCUAUGAACCUGAACAUUAUAUGAAAAUUGUAGCAUGUUCAAGCAACUAUAAAUGCAGAUCCUUUUCAUAUGUUUUAACAACAUGCAUAUUGAUAUUCCGUUGCUCCCAAGUAGGCAUCUUGCUGUUUUGGCAGAUUACAAUCAACACAAGUUGUUCAGGUACGUGAUAGAUUAUGUUAUAUGUAGCCAGUUUGCUUGAUACUUUGUUCAUGUAAACAUACAUGCAUCUAAUAUUGUAAUUGUUUCAUUCUAGGCAAUGUGUUUGGUUACAAAUAUGGGAACACAUUUGAUUAACUAAAGAAAAGAUGGUUGGGAUCCACUCUUUUAAGAUGCCAAAGCCUUUUGCACCAAAAAUGACAUUCAGAUCCUAAAUAUGGAUGCCAUCUUUAUUAAAUGGGGUAAAAUCAAGAAAAGGUGGGACAAACAAUGUCACUAUUGAUCAUUUUUUCCAUGUGGUCAUCUUCUAUGAUGUUAUAGACUCCAUCGCCACAAAGGUUGAUCGUCAUUUUAAUGAGGUAUCUUCAAAGUUGCUCUGGAACUUCUCUUGUCUUGACCAUAGAGACUCAUUUUCUAGGUUCAAUGUGAAAAAGCCUGAGACUCACAUAGAAUUAUCAAGAGUAUUUCUCUUAGUAUGAACGUGAACCUAUAGAAGAUAACCUAGAGCUAUUCAUUAUUCAUACCAGAAGAAUUGAAAAAAUGUCAUGAUAUUGCAAGCUUGGCUAGAAAGAUAGUUGAACUUGAAUUAUACAACAUGUUUCCUAUGAUUUAUCUCCUCAUUGAGUUGGCAUUGCUAGUACCAGUAGAGACGAAAACAAUUGCAAGAGCCUUCUCAGCAACGAAAAUCCUUAAGACCGAGUUGAGCAACAUGAUGUCCGGUGGUUGGCUUAGCUAUUCGGUGGUGUGUUACAUUGAGCGAGGAGGGAUAUUCAAAAGUCUUCAUUGUGGUAAAUUAAGAAAGAUUUUCAAAAAUAUGGUAGGGAAUUACCAUUGCUUGGGUCUUCUAGACAUCAUUGAAAGUUUCAUUAUCGGUAUGUUUUCGAUUAACGAGUAAAAUUUCUCGCUGUGUUGCGUUAGUGGGAUUUGAUAUGCCUCGUCGAGAAUAGCUAUGUUUUGAACAUGAUUGAGAUUUAUCAUAUUUGGUGAGAACUGCUAAAAACGGGAUGAUUUAUAUGCAUGUUUAUGAAUCUCGGAGGGUUAUAAACAAAAUCUAACACUAGUGUUUGAUAUUUUUAAUAGCUAGAUACAUAUUUUUUUUAGUUGUUUGGAUUUACAUCUUUGAGGUUAGCUAUAGUUGAUUUUUUAGCAAAAGCUAUAGUUGGUAAAAUUUAUAAGAAUAAUAUCCCAAAUCAAGGGUAAUUAUUUUGGUAUUGAUUAACAGCUAUACAUGGGCCAAAAAUAUACAAUGGUGGUCUACACGCGUCACGUCCAUCUAUAUGACAAUGAACCCUCAAAAAAUCUCUUUUCUUUUGACAAAAAUAAUCAAGUUAUGAUGUAGCAGUAAUUUGACAACCAAAAAAUGACCCAGGUCAACAAAAAAUUGUCAGAUUUCCAUGGUGCCUGUCAUGAUUUUAAGAUCAACGGUCCAUGCAUGUUGUCAUGAUCCAAUAUUAAUUUAUCGCUAAGAUCUUUGGAGAUUUUCUGUUGUCUAUAGUCACUACUAAUUAUAGGGAUUAAUAAUAUCUAUCUUUAGAGUUGUCGAUGCUCUUUUUAUACUCUAACCUCACAGAUUUCGUUUCACAUCCUAUCCUUACGAGUUUUCCUCGCCUUCGUUGAUCUUAACUAGCAAAUCCUAGCCUUAGACACAAGUGGGUAAUAUUUGUCAAGCCGAGUGACACCACGGAGACCAUGGAUGUCAAGUACCACAACGGCUUCGUCAAGAAGGUGAGGCAGGUGGCCGUUGUGCCGGCAUUGGAAGGGGUGAAGUACAAGGAGUGCGACAGGAAUCAUGCAUGCGCUGACUAGUGGUGGGCACGUCGUGGACGGCUGCAGGGAGUGAAUACCGUUGGGGGACCUCAACCCCGCUGACGCGUCAUCAUACAAGUGCACGACAUGCGGAUGACACCACAACUUCCACCGCAAGGUGAUGACGGAGAGGUCGCCGCCGUUGUCGCCCAUGGCAAGAACCGCCAUAGUAGUUGAGCCUAACUGCAAAAGACACUAACAUAAAAAAACUUGUCAUGGUAGCUGAAAAAUGUCCCAUGGUAGACGAAAAACGUCUAACACUGGUGUGUUACGCUGGUGGGAGGAGACGGGAAGGUCCGACAUCGGAGGAGAAUGCAUCGGAGGCGUUGUGGCCGUUGGGUUAGUUGCGCUUAUUGUUGUGCCUCCAGUUCCUGAAGAUGUCCUUACUGAUGCCAAUGUCAUGGCACCUCGCUUCGAUGAUGUCCUUAUCGCGCUUCUGCAGGCGCCACCCUAGGUGCUUCGACAGCUCCUGCAUGCGCAUCUUCUGGUAGGCAGUGCACAUGGUGCGGGACCACUUCCUCGCCGACAUAACCACAUGGUGCGGUGGCGCCAUCGCCGGCGAGAGCUGGGCGGGGAGCCUCUGGAUCUGCAGUGCCCCCAGCGGGCGGCUGUGUCAUGGAGAAGAGAUGUACGUAGGCAGCUGCUAUGCCAUCGGUGCCGGAGGAUACACAGGUGGAGGCUGAUGUGGUGGGGAGACGGAGCUCGUCGUCGUACUCCGUGGCAUCCGAGUCAUACUCUUUGUGCCAUCCGAGUCGGUGUCAGAGUUGGCGACCGGGAGCCAGUCCUCCGGUGUCUGCUCCUCCCCGCGCUACGGCUGGCCAUGGAGUAUGAUUGCAGCCAUGGGCGGUAGCAGCAGCGACCUCUCCAUCAUCAUCUCACAGUGCGAGCUGUAGUGGCAGCCACAGGCCGCCCACUUGUAUGACGAUGCGUCGGUGGGGUUCAGGUCCCGCAACGGCAUCCACUCCCCGCAGCCGUCCAUGACUUGCCCACUCGUAGCCAGCGCGUGGUUCCUACUACACUCCUUGUACUUCACCCCUUCCACCGCCAAUGCCACGACCGCCUGCCUCACCUUCUUGACGAACCCUUUAGGGUACUUGAUGUCCAUGGCCCCCCUGGUGUCACUCGGCUUCACAAAGAUUACCCACUAGUGUCUAAUGCUUGGAUUUACUAGUUAGGAUCAACGAAGGCGAGGAAAACUCGUAAGGAUAGGAUGCGAAACGAAGUAUGUGAGUUUAGGGUAUAAAAAGAGCAACAAUGACUCUAACGACAGAUAUUAUUAAUCCAUGUAAUUGGUAGUGACUAUAGAAAAGAGAAAAUCUCGAAAGAUCGUAGUGAUAAAUUAAUAUUGGAUCACUCAAGACAGGCACCAUAGAAACCUAACAAUUUUUUGUUUGACCUUGCUCAUUUUUUAGUUCUCAAAAUUACUGCUACAUUGUCAAUAGAUUUUUUUGUCAAAAAUAGCUUUUUGCAGGGGUCUUCGUCUCAUAGAUGGACAGGACGCGUGUAGACCACCAUUGUACAUUUUUUGCCCAUGUAUAGUUGUUAAUCAAUACAAAAUAUAAUUACCCUAGAUUUGAGAUGUUAUCCUAUAUAACUAAGAGAUCCACCCCCACGAAUCUAUUUAUCUUGACAUGCAGCAUAUCGGCCUCAACAUGUAGGCCCCACAUGUGCCACCUUCUGCCACAUCAGCGAAUCUUUACAUGCAGCUUUCAGUUACCAAUGUGCAGAACCGACUGUCCACCUGCCUUCUCUCCGUUUCCACUUUCCAGCCAUAAAUCAUGGAUGCCUCUCUCCCUCCCUCGGAAAUAAACACAAACCGAUCAACCUCUCUCCCCCAGAAAAAUUGACGCCAGUUUUCUCCUUGGCUACAGGUGCAGCAGGUCUGCAGGUGGGAGCCGAUCUGUGCAUUAAGGGUCCCCCCAUGGCACGUCUGUUGGUGCUUCUCGCCUCCGCGGUUCUCUAAAAUUCUCUAUGGAUGAUCACCCUUGGCCCUUGCAGGUUUGGUGCCAUAUGUGCCCUAGUCCUCCCCUCCCGUUUGUGUCUCUAUUCAGGCUAAGACAGCUUUGGUGUCGUUGGGGAGGUCAGUACCGGCCGGUUCCAAUAGAAUCGGACCGGCUAUAGGUGAGUUUCCAAUCUGAAGAUCGCUUUCUUUUCAUCCUGUAAAGAACGAAUUGGACGACGCUGGACAGAGCCUCACCCAUGGCAUGGAGGGGUUAUUAAUACAUAUAUUUGCCUUGAAGGAACGCCUAGUGUACCCGAGUCCAAUCAGGUCACCACACCAUCAAAUUUUCAAUAUUUUUCCUUCUCAUGCUAGAGGGAACGCAUUGGUGUGACGAGGCAGGGCCUCAGCCAUGGCGUUGAGGUUUUUCUUUUGGCUUGGAAGGAACGCCCAGUGUGCAGGAGUCCUUUCAUCUGAAUUUAGAACUCUGAUGUUUCUAACAGUAUGCACAUUUGUAAAUUGCUCCAUUGAACAAAUUAGUAUACAAAGUGCUCUUCCCAUCAGGUUAUUCUCAGCCAUCGUGUGGAUAUUUUUAUUUUGGCCUAGAAGGAACGUCCAGUGUACAUGUGUCCUUUCCUGUGAAUUUAAAACUAUGAUAUUUCUAUUAGUAUACAAGUUUGUACAUUGCUCCAUUGAGCAGGUUAGUAUACAAAGUGCUCUUCCCAUCAGCUUGUUAUAUAUGUAAGCGCUACAAUUUCAAUCCACCAUUGGGUAUGCCUUUAAUUGGCAAAGUUUAUGAUAGAUAUAGAAGCAUCCGCAUUUAAUAUCUUCGUAUCUUAAAUAUGUUAGAAUUUUAGCUGCUAUUUUAUUUAUGAAACACAUAUAAGUAGAUUGAUGUUGACCGAUUCAUAUAAUGAUUCGCUAAUGUGGCCAAAUAAGUUAUUUCAUGCAGUACAUUCUACGUGCUUCUUUACAUAUUGUUGUUAAUUAAUUGCCCUAAGAGAUCUUGAUUUUGCAUUUGUAUACAUUUUUCCUGCCUGCUGCAUCCUGCCGAUUUGGAGAUGGUAUAAUAACUUAUUAUGGCGCCAAUCUAUUUUGUAAUUGUGCAAGUUUAGUGUUCAGUACAGUUGUUUCGAUGCAUUAGGAUACGUCAAUUUUCACAGUAAAAAAAAUACUCUUUAAUGUUUCCUUAAGUUUUGUUACAAGAUCUCCAUAAGAUAUAUAUGAUUUUGGUUAGUCCAUUCCACAUUGUCUGCCAUAGGUAUUGGCAAUUUAAAUACGGUCAUUUUGUUGAUGCAAUUGCAAAUUAAUUGUGGUGGUUAUUUGUAUCGAUUCCAAGUCUAACUGAACAUAGUUCCUUUUCGUAGGUAACUUGUGUAGCUAACAUGUAACAUUCAUAUUAGUGAGGAUGGUUUCUUCAUAUAUGGAGUGUUAAGGAUAAGACAUCGGAUAUCACCGAAACAUAUAGCAACAAUUUCAUGCAGCAACGUGCGGGGUAUUAUUUAGUUCUUAUAAAUCUUACCAACUAUAGCUUUUGCUAAAAAAACAACUAUAUAGCUAACCUCAAAGAUGUAAAUCCAAACAACUAAAAAAUAUCAAACCCCGGUGUCAGGUUUUGCUUAUAACCCUUCGAGGUUCAUAAACCAGCAUAAAAAUCAUCCCUUUUUUCUCAGUAAUCACCAGCUAUGAUAAAUCUCAAGCAUGUGCAAAACAUAGCCAAAAAUAAUUUCGACGGGGCAUAUCAAAUCCCACUAACGCAACACAGCGAGAAUUCUUACUCAAUAAUCUGAAACAUACCAAUAAUGAAACUUUUAAUGAUGUCUAGAAGACCUAGGAAAUGGCAAUGCCAUGUCAUCUUUCUGAAAAUCAUUCUUAAUUUUGCCACGAUGAAGACUUUUGAAUAUCCCUCCUCGGUCAAUGUAACACACCAUCAAAUAGUUAAGCCAGCCACCAGACAUCAUAUUGCGCAAUUCGGUCUUAAUGAUUUUCGUUGCUGAGAAGGCUCUUUCAAUUGUUGUAGUCACUACUGGUACUAGCAAUGCCAACUCAAUGAGGCGAUAAAUCAUAGGAAACAUGAUGUAUUGUUCUAGUUCAACUAUCUUUUUAUCCAGGCUUGCAAUACCAUGACAAGUUUUCAAUCCUUCUCGUAUGAAUAUGAAUAGCUCAAGGUUAUCUUCUAUAUGUUCACGUUCAUACUUAGAGAAAUACUCUUGAUAAAUCUCUAUGAGUCUCAAGCUUUUUCACAUUGAACCCAGAAAAUAAGUCUCUAGGGUCAAGACAAGAGAAGUUCUAGAGCAGCUCUAAAGAUACCUCAUUAAAAUGAUGAUCAGCCUUUGUGGCGAUGGAGUCUAUAGCAGCAUAGAAGGUGUCCACAUGGAAAAAUGAUCAAUAGUGACAUUGUUUGACCCACCUUUUCUUGAUUUUCCCCAUUUAAUAAAUAUGGCAUCCAUAUUUAGUAUCUGAAUUCCAUUUUUUGGUGCAAAAGGCUAUAACAUCUUAAAAGAGUGGAUCCCAACCAUCAUUUCUUCGUUCCCAUAUCUGUAACCAAACACAUUGCCUAGAAUGAAACAAUUACAAUUUUGGAUGCAUGUAUGUUUACAUGAACAGAAUAUCAAGCAAACUGGAUACAUAUAACAUAAUCCAUCACAUACCUGAACAACUUAUUCAACAACCAAAACCCAAUUUGGAGAAGACAACAUGACCAAAUUUAUCAUCCCAUCGGCCAGGCAUAAAAAGAUAUCAACCUAAUCAAUAAGUCAUAUACUUUUGUGCACCAUAUUCCAACCAAACAAAGGCUACAUUACAUAGUUUCACAUAUGAACCAAGAUGUCAUCCAUCUUUGUUUUCCUAAAUCUACAACACAAUCACUACUAACUACAAUUGCAUAAUACAAGUUGUUUAAAAUUCAUAGAAAUAUACCUCUGCCUCUCCCCUUUUCCAUUGGCUUUUUCUAGCCCCUUACCUCUCUAUCUUCUGUCAGGUGUUGGCAACAAACGCAACAAGGCACUGCACCAUACCGAUCAUGAAGGAUGUGAAGCUUGCUUCCACUAACUGCUAGGCCCCACCCUCCAUCGACGCUCGUUGUGCAGUACGCCCUACACAGUUGCACCCAACCACCCGCUUGCUCGAGGCCCUUAUUUGUCGUUAACUGUCAUGUUGUGUGAUGGUAUGUGGCGUCCUAGCCAGCCGCCGCCCUAGCUAGGUUUUGGAGUGAAGCAUGUGCGUCUCGGUCUUGCGAUUUGCGCCCCAUGCAUGCACAUCGUCAGUGGCACUGGGUUCUUGCUCAAUCUACAUGUGGCCCAACUACGUCUUAGAAUCUUAGUGGCCCAUUCUCAGGUGAGCGGGGCUCUUUUGUCCGUUAGAGGCAAGAGUGAGCAUAGGUAGAAAUAAUUACAUCGAGUUAAGGUAUGGUGGGAACAAGACGUUGCUCACUAGAGUCCUCCGCCGUCGAGUAGAUGGCCAUGCGUCCAGGGAACAUUGGGAGAGCCUAUCAAUACUAAUCCACCUCGACGCCACCCCACCGACAAUCAUCAUCGAGUAGAAGCCGCAACCAGACAUCGGUGAUGAAGAUGGUGGCCGACAACACAAAGGUGGACUAAGAUGAGGUCUCAAGUAGCCUCUGGACACAAAGGAUCAACGGCUCGUUUACACAAAGGAUCAUGUAGAACAACAUGCGCUGAAGAGGAAUAAGCCCCUUGAAUGGGUGGUGGCCUCCUUAUAGAAGCUGAAGCAACACUAAAAACCUGACUGCCUGGGAUUUGCAUCCGAAGACCGAAAGUGGGCCUCCAAGAAAGGAGGUUGAGAUGGAUGUCUUCCUCUGCUUGCACAGGGAUUUGACAGACUCCCCACUAGUUUGAUUUGUAGAUGUGGUUGAGGAAAUCUCGAACUCAAGUGAGGAGAAAUGAUGCCUAUUCAUUAAAGAAGAAAGAAUAUGCACCUAUUCGAAAGGACCAUGCAUGCUUUUCUGUCCAGGAGACCAAAAGUGAAGCACGAGAUCUCUGUUCAGGGUUUUAUGUGUCUCUGGAUAUCGGGUAGGGAUAAAAUGGCAGGUGAUUAAGGGAUAGGGUAAGGGCAACGAUCCAGUGAGAUCCUAGACACAACCCUUGGCCGACAUCUUGGCACCACCGUGGUGCCGAGAAUAAAAAAGUAUGAAGAAAUCACUCAAAGGGAAGGGGGUUAUUUAGAAGGGCAUGUUCGGGACGAACCCAACAGAAGCCAUCGAUGAGAAAGCCCAUGACAAAGACCAUGCUGAGGACGACCAUGAGAGGAGCUCAACGGUGCCUCCACUCAUUGUGGAACACCCGGAUCUAUCCAUUAAGGACGCAACCACUCUAAGAAACAAACCUACAACUAUAAAACAGUAGCGGGACCCACCCCCCUGACACCUCACCGGUAUGGGGAGGAGGAUAAUUUCAAGAGGGUUGUGGAGAAGAGAGGCAGAGAGAACAAGGCGAGAGGGGGUUGAGGUGCUUGUGAGCUCUGUUUGACCUCAAUCAGUUUUAGAUGUCAAUUCACAUCGUCGGUAAGAUAGACACGAUGCGUGUACAUACAUCUAUUGCCAAGUAUAGUUGCUAAUCAAUACAAUGGCAUGGCAGUAAAUAUUUUUGAUUGAUUCCCAAUUUGAGAUGUAACUAGACAAACAAGACCUAUAAAUUGUUCUUCAAUACUUGAGUUGUAACUCGGGUCAUUACAUAGUCAAGAAACACGUAAAUCAUUCUUGUUCAAUUUUACUACUAUAGCUAAUAUAAAAGACGUAAAACCCAAACAAAUAAAAAUAUGUAUCUAAAAUAUAAAAUUGUGAACUGAGCAUAGCUCAGAUGGUUAGUUCCUUGUGCUGGAAUUAGCCCACCAGGGUUCAAGUCCUACACUUAGCACCCGUGCUCGCAUUUUUCUGGAUUUAUUUCAAGUCUCCUGGCGAUGUUCGUUUAGUGGGAGAGGGGACAUUUCCGUUGGGUAUGAAGCGCCAGUGGUGACUUCAUCCAUCUCAAGAUUUUGUGUCCGCUUGGUAUUUUGAAGGUGCUCAUAGAAAUAGGUAGUGCGUACAUGGAUUCAUAUGGGUGAGUAUAUGUGCAUAUGUGGUUGUACUAUGUUAAAAAAAUCGUACCAUGGUCAUAUUUUGCUUAUAAACAUCUUAGGUUCAUAUGUGAAACAUAUAAAUCUUUUUAUCAAUUAUCACCAACUAUGAUAAAUCUCAAUCAUGUACAAAACAUAGCCUAAAAUAUUUUCCACAAGCCAUAUCAAACACCAAUAACGGAGCACAACAAGAAUAUUUACUGAUCUUGGAUUUUAAACAUCUUUUGUAUUGUCUAAUACUCAUCCGUUUCAUAAUGUAGUGUGUUAGAUUUUUUUGAAAAGUCAAACUUUGCAAACUUUGACCAAGUUUGUAGAGAAAACUAUUUAUAUCUACAAUAUCAAAUAUAUAAAAUAUGAAACUACAUCUUAUGUUGAAUCUAAUGAUAUAUGUUUGACAUUUUAGAUGUAAAUGUUUUUCUCGAUAAACUUGGUGAAUGUUUGUGACAUUUUACUUUUCAAAAAAAUAUGCACUGCAUUAUGGAACAGAGGGACUACGUGUAAAGGAAUGUGUAACCCAUAUAUUUUAUCCUAUGUCACAAACUGAGCCAUGACAUGGCAUAAUGGCAUACAACAUUUGUUCACCAGCUUAAUUCGCAAAACUCAAAACCAUAAUGCAUCAUUAGUUUUUUCUUGAUCAUUGAAUUAGAGUUGUCAUUUGCAUCAUGAGAUAAGAUAUGUUAAGUUUUUAUCACUUGGCACUAGUUAAAGAAAUUCUUAGAUACAUAACUCUAUAACUUUGUGGCCUUUGGCUAUAUAAUAUCUUGAAAUGACAAUGCAAGUUCUUUUAAUUUAUGGUCCGACAGCCAAUAGUCGUGUAGAUUAUUGGUGUUAGUUGUGGCUAAGGAAAGCAAAAUCUCAAAAAUUAUACAAGGGAUAUGAAUAAAACAAUUGCCUCUCAUUUUUUGGAAAAUGCCAAACCACACCACAAUGAUCAAUUUUGCUUGACCAUGUAUCCGGGUUAUUCAUUUAUCAUCAAAUAAUCAAGAAAGGUUUGAGUCUAUUUUUUAAUCAAUUGCCCGACGAAAUUUUUAAAACCAUAGCAAAUCAUAUAUACCACCAUGUUAUAUGUGUACUAUUAAAACUGUUAUUCGUGAGAAAUGUCAAUCAUGUUUGUUGACAAAAUGUCACAAUGUAUAACUAGGGAAGAAUGUUAAUCACGUGAUUAGUUAGUGGCUAACUAAUCGCAUCUUCAUCUCCUAUUGCAUAACUACUAAUUGGUAUCUUUAGAAAAUAACUAAUGGGUGAAAGCUACUAGUGUAUACAUGUCCAUCUCCUCUUGAAUCACUGAUGAUUUGUAUCUUUAGAAACUAACUAAUGCAUCCUAGUUUCUGUAGUUUUCGCGCUCGAAUACACCUGCACCCAGAUGAUCAGUAAAAUCCGGAAAAAAUGGUGAAAAUAUUUUAAAAAACUGAUUGACAACAAACAUGCUUGAGUAUUAUACUCCCAUACAAAUUUGAUGGAAACAACAUUCGACGUGUCUAGGGAAAAAAACAAAAAUUGUACUCCGAGAAUGCUAUUUUUGAAGCAUUAUUGGAGUGCCUAUAUUUUUUUACCCAAAGAAUGUGAAUGUCAUCUCUUCACAAAAAAUAUGCGUAAGGAGAACACUUAAGAAUGUUUCUCUCCAAAAAAAACUUCAAAUUUUUCUUGCUAUGCAUGUCCAUCUACGAUCAGAAUGACACUUUCACAUCUCCUCUUGCAUCACUAUGGGCUAACGUUAACUAUGUGUUUAACUUGGAGUAAAAUGCAUAGGUGGAUUGUCAAAGAGGACAUGAAUAUUUCUUAGUGAUAGACUAACCCCAGAUGACUUUGAAUUUCUUAUGGUUGUAAUCAUUAACCGUGUAGUUCAUGAGUGGAGGGAAUUAUUUUGCAAAGAAUUCUUAGACAUAGAUCACUAGAACUCACAACCUCCCGUGAACUCACACCCUCCCAUGAACACCCACCCUUCUGUAUGGCUCAAGCGGCAAUGCUACACACCAAGCCAUACCAUGACUGCAUCCAUCAGUUACAAAUAUGCACUAUCUCCUAUCCAACUACACGGCUGGCAUUUGCUAGCUAGAACUCAUUAGCUUCUAAAGGUAUACUAUUAAUUUCUCAAUAUAUACAUGAUUAAUUUCUCAAGAUUUACCAUAAAUAUAUACGCAUUUAUUUGGAGAUUUCUUAUUAUGACCUGGAUUUAUCUCAAGAGAGAACUCAUAUAUAGGAAAAUAGUUGUAUCUAUCAAAUUGUUGAGUAUGUACGCGUAGUAUGCAGUAUAUAAGAAUGUUUAGGUAGUAUAGAUACUACUAUUUUGGUAGUAUGUAUCAUAUUUUGAGUAUGCUUCUUUUUACGUACAAAUAUGUACAUAUUUCACAAAUAUAAUAAAAACAAUGGGUCAACUUGCAGUUUUUUCAUGUAACUUACUUUGAAGUAUCUUAUAUAUAGUGUAUAAACAUGCUUAUAAUGAUAAAGUAUUAUAUAUAUAUAUAUAUUACUGCAUAAUAGUAUGUGAGACAUGAGGGUAACUAACCCCAGGUGGUAGGAUGUACUUUCCAUAUAUAGAGCAACACUAUUCUGAUCUUAGGAUCAUAAUAAUAUUCAAAUUACCGCGCGCCCUAUAUAGGCCCUGAUGGACUUGUUCCCGAACUCCUCACCUGCAGAGACAAAAGAAAAAAGCAACCCACCCGCCCGUCUCCACCUUCCUCCGAAAGCCACCAGCCGUUGGGAUCCUACCGCUGCACUCUGCGCGCCGAUGGCUACCGAGUCCCGACGCUCCACCCAGCACGCUGCCAGCCGUUGUUUCAUGCUCGUCGAUACCCAGUUGUUGCCCGCCGCCGCGUGCAUCCCCAGGCGUUGCCUCCCUCGCACCGUUCCCUAUCUCACCACCCCUUGCCCCGAUUCACCCGCCGGCCUCCGCCACUUCGUCGGGACCAGAUAACCGGCCGCCGUGCCUCCAAGGCCAAAGAAUACGGUCAUUGUCCCACCUUCCUAGUUCCUACCCCAUGCAGUGUCCCUCCUUCCUCCCCCGACCGCACCCGCCUUCAAUGCCAAAAAAUACAGUUCCCGUCCCACCUUACUACCCUGUCUGCGGACCCACCUUCCUCCUCAGGCUGGGUUUCGGCGCCCCACCUUCCGCCUCCGGUCGGGCGCACGACUCGUCUGCUGCCGCCACACAACUUCCCCCAUCGCCUGCAUUUCCCGUAGAAAGCGGCUGCCAUGUGGCGAGUGGCUGCCACUUAAUCACUCUGCGGCUUCACACCACACUGAUUGAUGACAUGGGUCGAGGUGGAGUGGUUGGGUGAGGUAGUUUUGCCUCCGUGAGUCCCGGCAGGCCCUGCCGGGACGUCUUGGACAUUUUCUUCCGGAGGCGACCCUGCCCUCACCGAGCUCGUCUGCCCGGCAAGGGAGGCUUUUCUACUGGUGGUUCUUGCUUCUCUGACUUGAUCUUGCUCCUCUUGAUCUGCAUGCUGGUCAUUCGAAGAUCUCAGUCUCCUGUACUCUGGUAUGGCCUGGUGCCGUAAUUUCGCUCCCGUGCCUGUGUACAGUAUGGGAAACAGACACAGGGUUUGUUGCACCGACAGAAGCCCCCGGGCCUGCCCUGAUCACGCUGCUGAGCAUCAUCAGGGUAGGCCCUAAUAAGUGCACAGGNNNNNNNNNNNNNNNNNNNNNNNNNNNNNNNNNNNNNNNNNNNNNNNNNNNNNNNNNNNNNNNNNNNNNNNNNNNNNNNNNNNNNNNNNNNNNNNNNNNNNNNNNNNNNNNNNNNNNNNNNNNNNNNNNNNNNNNNNNNNNNNNNNNNNNNNNNNNNNNNNNNNNNNNNNNNNNNNNNNNNNNNNNNNNNNNNNNNNNNNNNNNNNNNNNNNNNNNNNNNNNNNNNNNNNNNNNNNNNNNNNNNNNNNNNNNNNNNNNNNNNNNNNNNNNNNNNNNNNNNNNGGGGGGGGGGGGUGCUGAAGAGGCUGGUUUCUUGAGGUCUUCUUCGCUCCUUCAUUAAUCUUGAGCCCGGGCCAGUUUCCGAUUUCUCCGCACGUCAUAUGUGACGUUAUGAAAAAACUCAGAUCGUGGUCCGUCGGGCCCGGGCCAGGUCUACCCUCAUCUUUCAUCCAUGAUUUAUUGUUUGUCGAAGAAACAAAACUAAGUUGAGGUAUUGCUUUCUCAUAUGUGAAUGAGAUGCCAUGUAAAAAAAGUAUAGUAGAAGAGAAAUUGCUUUGUUGUUGUGCUUGCACAACUAUGUAAUUUUUUUGUUUUUGCGAAGGUGAAAAUGGUGUGUUUGAGAAGGUCAAAGUAUGCUGAGUACAUAUUGUCAUUUUUGCAACCACCGAAGGCAAACAAUUGUAAAUUUUAGUAUGAAUGUGACUCGAAGUUCUCUGGAAAAUUAGUAAUAAAAAAUAUGGAUGUCCAGAAUGUACUAAGGGAUGCAGGCCAGGGUGUUGAUUUUCUAUAGAUUUUGCACGGGACUGUAACUUUGUAUAAUUUGCAGCACCCUGUGAUAGGUGGAAACUUGUUUUUUCCUUGUGAUAUUACCACUUCAAAGUCGUGGGGAAAGUCCUGCUUCUAAAGGUAUACUAUUAAUUUCUCAAUAUAUACAUGAUUAAUUUCUCAAGAUUUACCAUAAAUAUAUACACAUUUAUUUGGAGAUUUCUUAUUAUGAGCUGGAUUUAUCUCAAGAGAGAACUCAUAUAUAGGAAAAUAGUUGUAUCUAUCAAAUUGUUGAGUAUGUACGCGUAGUAUGCAGUAUAUAAGAAUGUUUAGGUAGUAUAGAUACUACUAUUUUGGUAGUAUGUAUCAUAUUUUGAGUAUGCUUCUUUUUACGUACAAAUAUGUACAUAUUUCACAAAUAUAAUAAAAACAAUGGGUCAACUUGCAGUUUUUUCAUGUAACUUACUUUGAAGUAUCUUAUAUAUAGUGUAUAAACAUGCUUAUAAUGAUAAAGUANNNNNNNNNNNNNNNNNNNNNNNNNNNNNNNNNNNNNNNNNNNNNNNNNNNNNNNNNNNNNNNNNNNNNNNNNNNNNNNNNNNNNNNNNNNNNNNNNNNNNNNNNNNNNNNNNNNNNNNNNNNNNNNNNNNNNNNNNNNNNNNNNNNNNNNNNNNNNNNNNNNNNNNNNNNNNNNNNNNNNNNNNNNNNNNNNNNNNNNNNNNNNNNNNNNNNNNNNNNNNNNNNNNNNNNNNNNNNNNNNNNNNNNNNNNNNNNNNNNNNNNNNNNNNNNNNNNNNNNNNNNNNNNNNNNNNNNNNNNNNNNNNNNNNNNNNNNNNNNNNNNNNNNNNNNNNNNCAUAAUAGUAUGUGAGACAUGAGGGUAACUAACCCAGGUGGUAGGAUGUACUUUCCAUAUAUAGAGUAGCACUAUUCUGAUCUUAGGAUCACAAUAAUACUCAGAUUACCGCGCGCCCUAUAUAGGGCCUGAUGGACUUGUUCUCGAACUCCUCACCUGCAGAGACAAAAGAAAAAGGCAGCCCACCCGCCCGUCUCCACCUUCCUCCGAAAGCCACCAGCCGUUGGGAUCCUACCGCUGCACUCCGCGCGCCGCCGGCUACCGGGUUCCGACGCUCCGCCCAGCACGCUGCCAGCCAUUGUUUCAUGCUCGUCGAUACCCAGCUGUUGCCCGCCGCCGCCUGCAUCCCCAGGCGUUGCCUGCCUCGCACCGUUCCCUAUCUCACCACCCUUUGCCCCGAUUCACCCGCCGGCCUCCGCCAUGUCGCCGGGACCAGGUAACCGGCCGCCGUGCCUCCAAGGCCAAAGAGUAUGGUCAUUGUCCCACCUUCCUAGUUCCUACCCCAUGCGGUGUCCCUCCUUCCUCCCCCGACCGCACCCGCCUUCAAUGCCAAAAAAUACAGUUACUAUCCCACCUUCCUACCCUGUCUGCGGACCCACCUUCCUCCUCAGGUUGGGUGUCGGCGCCCCACCUUCCUCCUCCGGCCGGGCGCACUACUCGUCUGCUGCCGCCCCAUAACUUCCCACAUCGCCUGCAUUUCCCGUAGAAAGAGGCUGCCAUGUGGCGAGUGGCUGUUAAUCACUCUGCGGCUUGACACCACACUGAUUGACGACAUGGGUCGAGGUGUAGUGGUUGGGUGAGGUAGUUUUGCCUCCGUGAGUCCCGGCAGGCCCUGUUGGGACGUCUUGGACGUUCUCUUCCGGAGGCGACCCUGCCCUCACCGAGCUCGUCUGCCCGGCAAGGGAGGCUUUUCUCCUGGUGGUUCUUGCUUCUCUGACUUGAUCUUGCUCCUCUUGAUCUGCAUGUUGGUCCUUCGAAGAUCUCAGUCUCCUGUACUCUGGUACGGCCUGGUGCCAUAAUUUCGCUCCCGUGCCUGUGCACAGUCUGGGAAACAGACACAGGGUUUGUUGCACUGACAGAAGCCCCCGGGCCUGCCCUGAUCGCACUGCUGAGCAUCGUCGGGGUAGGCCNNNNNNNNNNNNNNNNNNNNNNNNNNNNNNNNNNNNNNNNNNNNNNNNNNNNNNNNNNNNNNNNNNNNNNNNNNNNNNNNNNNNNNNNNNNNNNNNNNNNNNNNNNNNNNNNNNNNNNNNNNNNNNNNNNNNNNNNNNNNNNNNNNNNNNNNNNNNNNNNNNNNNNNNNNNNNNNNNNNNNNNNNNNNNNNNNNNNNNNNNNNNNNNNNNNNNNNNNNNNNNNNNNNNNNNNNNNNNNNNNNNNNNNNNNNNNNNNNNNNNNNNNNNNNNNNNNNNNNNNNNNNNNNNNNNNNNNNNNNNNUUCUUGAGGUCUUCUUUGCUCCUUAAUUAAUCUUGAGACCGGGCCAGUUUCAGAUUUCUCCGCACGUCAUAUGUGACGUUACGAAGAAACUCAGAUCGUGGUCCGUCGGGCCCGGGCCAGGUCCACCCUCAUCUUUCAUCCAUGAUUUAUUGUUUGUCGAAGAAACAAAACUAAGUUGAGGUAUUGCUUUCUCAUAUGUGAAUGAGAUGCCAUGUAAAAAAAGUAUAGUAGAAGAGAAAUUGCUUUGUUGUUGUGCUUGCACAACUAUGUAAUUUUUUUUGUUUUUGCGAAGGUGAAAAUGUUGUGUUUGAGAAGGUCAAAGUAUGUUGAGUACAUAUUGUCAUUAUUGCAACCACCGGAGGCAAACAAUUGUAAAUUUUAGAAUGAAUGUGACUCGAAGUUCUCUGGAAAAUUAGCAAUAAAAAAUAUGGAUGUCCAGAACGUACUAAGGGAUGCAGGCCAGGGUGUUGAUUUUCUAUAGAUUUUGCACGGGACUGUAACUUUGUAUAAUUUGCAGCACCCUGUGAUAGGUGGAAACUUGUUUUUUCCUUGUGAUAUUACCACUUCAAAGUCGUGGAGAAAGUUCUGCUUCUCAUGUUGUUGUACUGCGAACAAUAUAUACACAAAAAGGAUAUAAUGCAUACACAUAAAAGUUCUGGAUGCUUAAAAAAGAUGUUGAAGAUCAUUUACCAAACUUCAUUUUAGUCCAUUAUGUAAUACGACACAAAAUAAUUGGUACAAGAAAGAUAAGACAUUUAAAAAAUUGGGUGAAAAGGGAGAGAGGGUUAGAGCAAAAAAUUAUUAACAAAAGCCACACCCAUAAAAAUUGUUAACUUUAGAAGUUCAAAUUCAAUAAAGCUGAGAGUUCAGGAAUAAUAAUAAAAGCAAAAAGGUGACACACAGAUGUUUGUACAGAUUUCCUCCAUGUAUUUCCUCGUUACUAGUAAUAAACAAAACGUCCAGAUAUCCCUUGUUUGCAACAACCCGAGUAAAUAAUUAUUUUUCAUUUUUUCUUGAAGUUCAAACUGGUGAACCCAGGCCGUUCAAUGUUGCGAACCCAGGCCAUUCAAGUCCCCUGAUCUCCCUCGUUUCUAAAAAAGGAUUUUCCCCAUUUUAAAUUUGAAGUUAUAAAAAAGGAUGUUCCCCGUUUCUAAAAAACUAGAAGGUCAAAUUAAAAUAAGGGAGUGGUUCAAUGUUUUUCAUUUUUUACAAAACUUGGAUUUUUGACAUUAAUGAAAAAUAAAACAAGAAGUCCAAAUUAAAAGAUGGAGCAAUUUAAUGUUUAUAAAAAACUCAGGUUUUCAUCGUUACUAAAGAACAAAACCAAGAAGCCCAAAAGGGAUUUUCUUCAAUACUAAAGAAUAAAGCCAUGAAGUUCAAAUUUGUAAAACGAAGUAGUUUAACCUAUAUAAAAAACUCAGAUUUUCCUUGUCAAUAAAGAAGAAAACCAAGAAGUUCAAUUGAAAAAAGCGGAGCAGUUCGAAAAUUAUAUAUAGGAAAAUAGUUGUAUCUAUCAAAUUGUUGAGUAUAUACGCGUAGUAUGCAGUAUAUAAGAAUGUUUAGGUAAUAUAGAUACUACUUUUUUGGUAGUAUGUAUCAUAUUUUGAGUAUGCUUCUUUUUACGUCCAAAUAUGUACAUAUUUUACAAAUAUAAUAAAAACAAUGGGUCAACUUGCAGUUUUUUCAUGUAACUUACUUUGAAGUAUCUUAUAUAUAGUGUAUAAACAUGCUUAUAAUGAUAAAGUAGUAGGGUAACUAACUCCAGGUGGUAAGAUGCACCUUCUUCUAAUCCCAGGAUUAGAAUAAAUCACGGCGCGCUGUAUAGGGCCCGAUGGAUGUUCCUGAGAUCCGAAAAUUCCACCGAACAGAAUAAUAAAAUAAUCCCCCCGUACCUCCCCACGCCCCCACUUCCUCCCCGAUCCAGCCACCAUGCCCACGCCCCCACUCCCUCUCCCAUCCAGCCACCCACCAUCGUCGGCGUCGGCCCACCAACGCCCCGGGAAUCGGCUGCCGCACCGCCCCCGCUCCGAAAACCGGCCACCGCUUCCCUCCCUUACCGCGCCGCCGCCGCCGCUUCCCUCCCCGGACUGCGCCACCGCCGCUGUCACCCUCCACGGAUCAUGCCACCGCCGCCUCCCUCCCCGGAUUGCGCCGCCACCGUCCGCCGCUAGCUACCGCUGCCUGUGCAGUCCUUCGCUAGCUACCGCUGCCUCUGCAGUCCUUCGCUAGCUACCGCUGCAGUCCACUGCUAGUUCUUGCGGGGGAGGCAGUGCUGCUCCGGCUACCCAUGCGUCACCGGCUGCCGCCGCGAACGGCGUCCGGACGCCAUCACGUACUGCCCCCCGGAGCCGCCUCCAGCGCGUACCUACUACAGCCUCAGGACAAACCUCUUCCACGCGGGCGACUGGCCGCUCAAACUUCCCCUCGCCGGCCGUCAUGGGCCUCUGUAUCCUCUCAUGGCGGCUCCUCCCCUGUGGCACAAGCAAGGUCAACUGCGACUGGAUGAGACUCAAAAAAUGGUGGUACGUACUGGAACAAAUACUCCUGGCAUACCCAUGUCGUUGGCAGCAAAAGGUAUUUCAGUUACUAGUUCUUCCAUAUGCUAGAGGAAUUUCUUUCAACCCACCUUGAGCAGAGCUCGUGGCAUCAAUUCUUCAUUGUUCUGUGUGAAAAUUUAUGAGCAGGAAGGAAUAGUUCUGCCCGAUGAGCAGUUCCAGUUGAGUUCUCCCUACAGAUAGUUUGACUUUUAUUUUCAAGCAUUAAGUUAUCCUAGAUAUUUGAUUGGUACUCCACCUUGCAAUCAAGGAAGCUCUGAAAAUGAAACACGUGAUGUUUGAUACACCUUGGUACACCACGACUCAAGCUCUCUGCAUUUUUUGUUAAAGGUCAUCGGGCUGGGCACCGGCUGCUUAUGUGUUGUACGCCUUGGGCGUCCCUGUGCUGGUGAUGAGCGUGAUGGCCGUGCAUUGACCUGCAUCGCCUGUCCGAACUGUGCCGGCCAUGCGUCCGACAACCUCGUCCAUCCCUGAUCACCUCUUCCGCGCAAUCAGCGGCACAUACACAGACAUGCCUGUGCUGUAUUAUACUUGAACUUCAGAGCUUCUGAACUCUCUGAAUCGGUGUGCAUGUUUUUAUAUUGUGUCAUUGCAUAGCUCCACCACUGAAUUUGGAAAUUCAGUCAAUGCUUAAACUUGAUAAAAAAGAGCAAGAAACAGUGACAGAUUAUGUGUGUUUUUCACGGAAGUGAGCUGGGAAUUUAGAUCUUCCUUUUCAUAAUAUUAAGGGCAUCGAUCAUUCAACUAUUUAUGUUAUCCUUCAUGCUCUGACUUGAGUGAAGUUAUGUGAACUAGCAUAGUAUAUUGUAAUUUUCUGAUUUUGAGUCGUGGCAUAUAGUCCUCACACAAAGUAGUUGCAAAUAUAUUGAAGUAUAUUAUGCACAUAGUUAUCCUCCCUAAUGCCUAAACUGGUACCUUUUCAAUCUUUGUGUUGACUACUAAACAUAAUUAUUGUAGGUCUUCCCUGACCCAUGGUCACGCGAAAGCGGUGCUGCUUCGGCAAGCUCCUCUGUCCCCCGAGCACAGUGUUGUCCAUGACGGUCUCCUCCCUCCUGUUCCCUCAGCGAGGAUGAUGUCAAUUUUUUGCGAAACAGAAAGUUAUGUAGUUCUUCAGUAUAUGUCCAUAGAAACCUAUGACAAUUUCUUCAGUAGCAGUUCAACAGAAAAUCCUGCUGUAGUUCUUGAGUAUUGUUCCAUUAGAAUUUCAUGUUAUCUAAGUAUUUUUAGUACUUGCUAUUGCAGAUAAGUGUUUGUUAGAAUUGACAUUCUGUUAGUAAAGUACCAUUCUUCAGUAUAUGUUCUGAAAAUUUCAUCUUUUGUGUGCCUGGUGUGAAUCGUUGGUCUUCUCUCACUUUUGCUCCUGGAUUAGAGGUAGCAUGUUGAUUUUCGCACUUGAUGAAGAACAUAUCCUAAAAUGUGAAAAAAAUUGUUCCCCAAUGAAUAAUUUAUUGUCGUAAAGAUCUAUUUUCUUCCAGAGUGAUGAAGUUUUGCUCCUAAACAAAGAACUUUAUGUUGGUCCUGAAUGAGGAGGUAGUAUAGGGAACUACAUGUACGUGUUUUUCCAAAAACUUUCUUAAACCAUUUUUGAUGAAGUAUAGGGAACUUCAUGUACGUGUUGCUCCCAAAACGAUAUGAAACUUUGUGUGUACAAUUUUUUAAUAUACAAUAUUGAUUGAGAACUAAAAAGGGCAUGCUUUUUUAAUAAUCUAGAAGUUCAACGACUUCCACAUAGAAAGUUCAAAGGACAUUAUUUUUUAGGGAGAACACAUCCUGCCUAGAAGAUGCAUAUGGAAUAAAAUGUAAAUUUGCAAUGAAGUUCAUAUAUAAAAAGAGUUGAAGUUUGCAUAGAGGAAAAGGUGAAUUUCUGAAAAAAGGUACAUGUUUUCUAAUUCCAGAUGCUUAUAUGGUCGUCCUGUGACACUGAAAUCUUUUACAUUUUAGGUGAGCCAAAUUUUUGUGUGGAUGUGUUGUGCAUGUGCUUGUGCAUAGUACACUGAAUAGAACAAAAAAGAAUAUUAUGGGUGCCCUCUAAAUGUUUGUCCUACUGCUUAGUAGAAUUGACCGAAAAUUUCCUAUUGUUUUUGCACAUGUUGGAUUCAAGGGAAAACGUGUAUAAAAAAGGUGUGAUUUCGAAAGUUCAGGUGUAACGAACAUCGAAGUUCAAACCAAUAAAAUGUAAAAAAAAUCAUGGAAUUCAAAGAAUAAAAACUAUGGAGUUCAUGAAAAAAAUAAUAGCACCCGAAGUUCCCGUUUCAGAAAUUCCGAAGUUCACGUGUACCACGUACAGAAGAAAAAUCAUCAAAUGAAAAAAGGAACCGCCUAGGCCAUUUCACCGAAAAGCAAAAAAUGCAUAAAAAAUGUCACGACAAAAUUCUAUAAGAAGUUCAAAUUUAAAAACCGAAUCAGGUCAAUGUUAAAAAUAUGAAGUUGUUAAUAUCUAAAAGACAAAUUUGGAAGUUCAAAAAAUUUGAGCAAGAAGUUAACAAAAAGUAGUUCAAAAAUCUUUAUAACGUAUUUUCCCCAUUUGUAAAAAAAACAGAGAAGUUCAAAUUAAAAAGAGGAGCAUUUCAAAAGAUUGUAUGAAAAAUGAUUUUCCCCAUUUUAUAAAAACUAGAAGUUCAAAUUAAAAUAACGGCGCGGUAUCAUUGUUUAUAUAAAAAAGCAUUUUCGCCGUUACUAACCAAAAAUCUAAGAAGUUCAGAUUUAAAAAAUGGUGAAGUUCGAUGUCUAUAAAAAAUCGCAUUUUUCACAUUAUUAAAAAAUAAAACCAAGAAGUUCAAAAUUUUAAAACAAAGAAGUUCAAAAAACUGGAUUUUCCUCGUUACUAAAGAAUAAAACGAAUAAGUUCAAAUUAAAAUAACAGAGAAGUUCGCAGUAUAUAAAAAACUCAUUUUUCCCCAUUAUUAAAGAAUAAAUGAAGAAGUUCAAAUUUAAUAUAGGAACACCAAAAAAAGUUCAAGUACUCUGUCUGGAGAAGUUCAAAAAUUCUUGCGAGAGAGGUUCACCUUGUAUUUCCAUGUUUGAUUUUUUUCGUACAAAAAUCGAAUACAAUUCUUUACUCAAAGUAUAAAAAGGUGAAGUUCAAAUUGAAUAACAGAGAAGUUCGGAGUUUAUUAAAACCUAGGAUUUAACUGUUCAAAAAAUAAAAAACACAACGCCAUUUUUUUUACUUUAAAAACAACUCAUAAACGAAAAAAUGGUUGCUAGAAGUUCAAGUGCUCGGCGAGGAAAAGUUCAAAAAAUUCUUGUGAGAGAGGUUCACCGUGUAUUUAGAUGUCCAAAAAUACAUAAAAAAAUAUGUUUUUUUGUGUUUUAAAAUAAUUCUCUCAAACCAGAGAGAAGUUCAAAGUGAUAACAAUCGGACGUUCUCGUACUACAUGGGGUGUAUUUCAUAUAAGAAAAAUACAAUAAAGUGAAACAGAGUGAAGUUCAAACAGACAUGCCCCAGAAGUUCAUUUAUUUCACGCAGUGCAAAAAACAGCACAUCAAAAACAGAGUGAAGUUCAAACAAACAUCCCUAAGAAGUUCAACUACUUCACGCCGUUCAUUUUCCAUUCGCGAUGAAGCCAGAAAUCAUGAUCUCGUCAUUUUCUAAUUUACUUCAAAACGACAGAAAUAUCAUUUGUAUAAAUUCAAGUCCUUGGUUGGAUAAAGUUAAAAAAUAUAUUUUGAGAGAGGUUUGUACAAAAAGAAUAUCAUUUGUGUAACACUGGCGAAAUGGAUGAGAAAAUUACAAACGAAAAUACACAGAAGUUCAACAUGAAAACAGCAGGAAGUUCACCAAGUAUACUGAAUGAAUUUUGGAUGAAAAACUUUUAAAAUCGUCGCGAGUAUGAAAAAAGAUCAACAUGGGAAAGUUGCAUGUUUAUAAUAGCUUUCCACCGGUAUAUCACUUGCUCAAUUCUGGUGAGUGGAUGGAGAGCUGUGAGCAAAAAAAGUACGUGAAAAAACAGAGUGAAAUUCAAGUAGACAUACCGAGAAGUUCAAGUUCUUCACGCGGUACAUUUUCGAAGAAUCUGUUUCGCGAUAAAGGCAGAACGAAUGAUCUCACCGUUUUCGAAAUUACUUGAAAAUGGCUAGGAAUCAGAGAAAACCAUCAAUAUGAAAAAGUUUUGCAUUUUCUGUAGCUUUUCAGCGGUAUAUUAUUUUCCCCAUUCCGAUAAAGUUUGUAGAAAUUACGGUGAAAAUAUAGUUUUGGCCAUUUUCAAAAUUUAUUUAAAACCAUAAGAAAUUGGGAGAAACAAUAUAUACCAAAAAGUUUCGCAUUUCCUCAAGCUUUCCAACUCCAUAUAAUUUGCUGCAAUCGGACGUACGGUUAAAAACUUAGCACGAAAAUACGAACUCGGUGGAACUUGUAUCAUUUUCUAAAUUACUUUUCAACUGUUCAAAAUUAGAAAAACCUUUUAACAUGAACAAGUAGCGCAUUUUCAUAAGUUUCGAACACCAUAUCAUUUGCCUCAAUUGGAUUAACCUUUUGGAAAUGACAUCGAAAAUACGAACUCGGCUGUUCAGUUUGCGAAAUUUUACGAUUUUCUAAAUUACUCUUUAACAAUAGGGAAUUAGAGAAAACUUUCAACAUGUGUAAGGAGCAGUUUUACAGCAGCUUUCCAACGCAAUAUUAUUUGCCUCAUUCCGAUAAACGUUUUAGAAAUGCGAUCGAAAAUACGAUUCAUGUUUUUUGUAUGAAGAAAAAACGAUUUUCGAAACUGCUCUUAAACCGCUUACAUUUUGCAAAAAAUUAACUUGGGUCAUGAUACUGGUUUCCAUAGCUUUCCAUGGGUAUAUCGCAAGCCCCAUUUGGGCAAUGUUGGCGGAAGUUCAAUCUAGCACUGGGAGAAGUUCAGGUCGAACAACUCAGGCAGUAAAAUUGCCAAAAACACAAUUUCAUCAUGACCCGAGAGCAAAAUCCGCUAAUGAGCGAGAUUCCUAUUUAAAACGGGUAUUUAGUUGCUAAAAAACGUUUCUAGAUAUCAGUAACAUCAUAUAGAACACGACUAACUAGAAUAGUUCGCGCAGGGAGGCACGGUUGCGAAGAUAGCCCGAUGGUCGGGGUUCUACAGAGGGAAGUUCAGGCGUGUAACUCAGGAAGUUCAUGUUGUGAUCAGAAUAAUAUUCUGAUCCCGUGAUCAGAAUAGUGUUUAUAUAUAUAUAUAGCACUAUUUUGAUCUUAGGAUCACAAUAAUAUUCAGAUUAUCGCGUGCCCUAUAGAGGGCCUGAUGGACUUGUUCCCGAACUCCUCACCUGCAGAGACAAAAGAAAAAGUCAGCCCACCCGCCCGUCUCCACCUUCCUCCGAAAGCCACCAGCCGUUGGGAUCCUACCGCUGCACGCCGCGCGCCGCCGGCUGCCGGGUCCCGACGCUCCGCCCAGCACGCUGCCAGCCGUUGUUUCAUGCUCGUCGAUACACGGCUCUUGCCCGCCGCCGCCUGCAUCCCCAGGCGUUGCCUGCCUCGCACUGUUCCCUAUCUCACCACCCUUUGCCCCGAUUCACCCGCCGGCCUCCGCCGCGUCACGGGGACCACGUAACUGGCCGCCGUGCCUCCAAGACCAAAGAAUAUGGUCAUUGUCCCACCUUCCUAGUUCCUACCCCGACCGCACCCGCCUUCAAUGCCAAAAAAAAUACAGUUACCGUCCCACCUUCCUACCCUGUCUGCGGACCCACCUUCCUCCUCGGGCUGGGUGUCGGCGCCCCACCUUCCUCCUCCGGUCGGGCGCACUACUCGUCUGCUACCGCCCACAACUUCCCCCAUCGCCUACAUUUCCCAUAGAAAGAGGUUGCCAUGUGGCGAGUGGCUGCCACUUAAUCACUCUGCGGCUUGACACCACACUGAUUGACGACAUGGGUCGAGGUGGAGUGGUUGGGUGAGGUGGUUUUGCCUUCGUGAGUCCCGGCAGGCCCUGCCGGGACGUCUUGGAUGUCUUCUUCCGGGGGCGACCCUGCCCUCACCGAGCUCGUCUGCCCGGCAAGGGAGGCUUUUCUCCUGGUGGUUCUUGCUUUUCUGACUUGAUCUUGCUCCUCUUGAUCUGCAUGUUGGUCCUUCGAAGAUCUCAGUCUCCUGUACUCUGGUAUGGCCUGGUGCCGUAAUUUCGCUCUCGUGCCUAUGCACAGUCUGGGAAACAGACAUAGGGUUUGUUGCACCGACAGAAGCCCCCGGGCCUGCCCUGAUCGCGCUGCUGAGCAUCGUCGGGGUAGGCCGUAAUAAGUGCACAGGCAGGGGGCGCUGAAGAGGCUUGUUUCUUGAGGUCUUCUUCGCUCCUUCAUUAAUCUUGAGCCUGGGCCAGUUUCCGAUUUCUCCGGACGUCGUAUGUGACGUUACGAAAAAACUCAGAUCAUAGUCCGUCAGGCCCGGGCCAGGUCCGCCCUCAUCUUUCAUCCAUGAUUUAUUGUUUGUUGAAGAAACAAAACUAAGUUGAGCUAUUGCUUUCUCAUAUGUGAAUGAGAUGCCAUGUAAAAAAAGUAUAGUAGAAAAGAAAUUGCUUUGUUGUUGUGCUUGCACAAAUAUGUAUUUUUUUUUUGCGAAGGUGAAAAUGUUGUGUUUGAGAAGGUCAAAGUAUGUUGAGUACAUAUUGUCAUUUUUGCAACCACCGAAGGCAAACAAUUGUAAAUUUUAUUAUGAAUGUGACUCGAAGUUCUCUGGAAAAUCAGCAAUAAAAAAUCUGGAUGUCCUGAAUGUACUAAAGGAUGCAGGCCAGGGUGUUGAUUUUCUAUAGAUUUUGCACGGGACUGUAACUUUGUAUAAUUUGCAGCACCCUGUGAUAGGUGGAAACUUGUUUUUUCCUUGUGAUAUUACCACUUCAAAGUCGUGGAGAAAGUUCUGCUUCUCCUGUUGUUGUACUGCGAAAAAUAUAUACACAAAAAGGAUAUAAUGCAUACACAUAAAAGUACUGGAUGCUUAAAAAAGAUGUUGAAGUUCAUUAACCAAACUUCAUUUAGUCCAUUAUGUAAUACGACACAAAAUAAUUGGUACAAAAAAGAUAAGACAUUUAAAAAAAUUGGGUGAAAGGGGAGAGUGGGUUAGAGCAAAAAAUUGUUAACAAAAGCCUCACCCAUAAAAAUUGUUAAAUUUAGAAGUUCAAAUUCAAUAAAGCUGAGAGUUCAGGAAUAAUAAUAAAAGCAAAAAGGUGACACACAGAUGUUUGUACAGAUUUCCCCCAUGGAUUUCCUUGUUACUAGUAAUAAAUAAAACGUCCACAUAUUCCUUGUUUGCAACAACCCGAGUAAAUAAUUAUUUUUCAUUUUUUCUUGAAGUUCAAAUUGGUGAUCCCAGGCCGUUCAAUGUUGCGAACCUAGGCCAUUCAAGUCCCCUGAUCUCCCUCAUUUCUAAAAAAGAUUUUCCUCAUUUUAAGUUUGAAGUUAUAAAAAAGGAUGUUCCCCGUUUCUAAAAAAAACUAGAAGGUCAAAUUAAAAUAAGGGAGUGGUUCAAUGAUUUUCAUUUAUUACAAAACUUGGAUUUUUGACGUUAAUGAAAAAUAAAACAAGAUGUCCAAAUUAAAAGAUGGAGCAAUUUAAUGUUUAUAAAAAAAACUCAGAUUUUCGUCGUUACUAAAGAAUAAAACCAAGAAGUCCAAAAGGGAUUUUCUUCAAUACUAGAGAAUAAGGCCAUGAAGUUCAAAUUUGUAAAACGAAGUAGUUUAACCUAUAUAAUAAACUCAGAUUUUCCUUGUCAAUAAAGAAGAAAACCAAGAAGUUCAAUUGAAAAAAGCGGAGCAGUUCGAAAAUUAUUACAAAACUCGAAUUUUCCCGUACAUAUGAAUAAAAUAAAGAAGUCCACAUUACGGAAAGGAAACAGGGUGAAGUUCAAACAAACAUGCCCCAGAAGUUCAACUUCUUCACGUGGAGCAUUUUUGUAAACUCUGUUUUUUCGACGAAGACAUCACGCAUGAUCUCACCGUUUUCAAAAAUUCUUCACAACGACUUGGAAUUAUAGCAAACUCUCUACAUGCAAAAGUUUCACAUUUUUUAUAGCUUUCCAAUGCUAUAUCAUUUGCGCCAUUCUGAUAAAUUAUUAAAAUAUGACGACAAAAAAUUAGUUUUGACCAUUUUCAAAAUUGACUUCAACACAUUUAAAACUCAAAUUCUUUUCGUAUCUAAGAAAAAUACAAGUAUGAAGUUCAAUUUUAAAAAGAAAUUUUUGAUGCUUAUUUAAAACCGUAUUUCUUCUAAGCAGUUCAAAUUAUAAUAGAAGAGAAGUUCAAAGGCUAUAAAAACUCAGAUUUUCUCUCGUUACUAAAGAAUAAAAUGAACAAGUUCAAAAAAAUAAAAAUGAGCAACUAAAAAAUUUAAAAAAUAUUUCCCCCUUUUUAAAAAACUAGAAGUUGAAAUUAAAAUAAUGAAGUGGUUCAAUGGUUAUUAAAAACUAAGAUUUUACGAUUAUUUAAAAACUUAUGUAUCCCUUGUUAUUAAAGAAUGGAACGUGAAGUUCAAGAUGAAAAAAUAGGCAAAUUUGAUGUUUAUUUAAAAAACAAAAAUAAUUCUUUACUCAAAAAUACAAAAAAGGUGAAGUUCAAAUUAGAAUGACACAGAAGUUAAAAGUUUAUUAAAACCUAGUAUUUAUGAGUUCAAAACACUAAAAAAGUCAACCAUUUUGGGCAUUUUUAAAGACAACUCAUAAACGGUGAUUCAAUUUUGAAAAAACUCUCUAAAUGCCAAAGUUUCUCCUAUUCAAACUCUCUCCAGCAGGAUAUCAUAUGAUCUAUUUGAUUAAAUUGUUUAAAGUUUUGGUCUAUAGUGUUCAAAAAAAAUAAGUUUUAACAUACUCAAAAAAUGAUCCUAAAAAUGUCGCGAAUUAGAAAAACUGCUCAACACGUAAAGUUGCGCCUUUUGGAUGGCUUUCUAACGGUAUAUAUUUUUCUCAGUUUCGAUGAAUGUUUUAGGAAUUAUGGUUAAAAAAGCAAAGAGAAGUUAAAAGUGAAAGCAACCAGCGAUUCAAUUAUUACAUGGAAUGUGUUUCAUAUAAGAAAAAAAGAAUAAAAAGACAAAGUCUAAAAAGACUUUAGCUAUAAGUUCUCGUGGUCGGCCCACGAAGUUCAAAAAUUCUUGUAAAGGAGGUUCACUCUGUAUGUAUUUACUUGCACAAAAAUAAAUGUUGUUUUUUGUGUUUUCAAACAAUUUUCUCCAUCCAUUACAAAUUUGAAACAAAAAAGCUCGACACAAAAAAUGUUUAUUCAACAAAUUUCCAAGGGUAUAUUAUAUUCUUAUUCCAAAAUAAAUGAUUAAAAAUGGUCUAUGUUGUUCAAAAAAUAAGUUUAACCGUAUGAAAAAAAGUUGCGUAUUUUCAACCAGUUCCUAAUGGUUUAUCAUUUGUGAAACUCCGAGGAACGGGUGAGGAACUACAAACAAAAAUACGUUACCAAAGUUCAAUGUGAAAAUGGCGAGUAGUUCAACUACUAUACGGAAUGGGUUUCAGAUGAGAAUAAAAGAAUACAAAACUAAAAGCCUUAAACAUUUUUUGCAAGAAGUUCACGUGCUCCACCCUGCACGGUUCAAUAAUUAUAUUAGAAGAUGGCCGACCUUCAAUUAGAUGUUAAAAAAGGCAAAAACAACAUUAUUUUUGCCAUUUUUAAAACUGCUCUCAAAUGGCAACGAGUUUGUAACAUCUGUCUGCAUGAAAAUUUUGUUCCUAUUCAUAAGCUCUCCAACGGUAUAUUAUAUGCUACAUUCUGAUGAACGGUUUAAAAGUUUCAUGUAUACCGUUAAUAACAUCUUACAAACCGUUGCGAGUAUGAAAAAAUGGCCGAACACGGGAAAGUUGCGUGCUUUCAACAGCUUUCCAUCGGUAUAUUAUUUUUCCAAUUCCGGGUAAGUGGUUGGGGAGUUACAUGCAAAAAUCAACACGUCAAGAAUAGAGUGAAGUUCAGACACACAUGCCUUAGAAGUUCAACUUCUUCACGCAGUGCAUUUUUGAAGACUCGGUUUUUGCUAUGAAGGCAGAACGCAUGAUCUCGUCGUUUUCAAAAUUACGUAAAAACAGCUAGGAAUCAGAGAAAAUUUUUUGUAUGGAAAAGUUUCACAUUUUAUAUAGCUAUCCAGUGGUAUAUUAUUUGCCCCAUUCCGACAAAGUUUGUUAAAAUUAUGGCCAAAUUUUUUUAGGCAUUUUCAAAAUUCACUUAAAACCGUAAAUAAUUGGGAGUAACAUUAUACAAAAAGUUUCGCAUUUGUUCAGGAUUUCCAAUGUCAUAUCAUUUGUUGUAUUCCGACUAACCAUUUAGGGAAAAACCCAAAAAUACGAACUCGGAGGAGCUUCGAUCUUUUCUAAAUUACUUUUAAACCGUUCAAAAUUAGAAAAAAUAUUCUACAUGAAAAAGAAGCGCACUUUCAUAAGCUUUCCAACAUCAUAUCCUUUGCAUCAAUACGACUUGCCAUUUUCAAAUUACGCCAAAAUACGAGCUCAGCUGGUCGGUUUGAGAAAUUCCACCAUUUUUCAAACUGCUCUCUAACCGUUGUGAAUUUGGGAAAAAUUUAUAUAUGUCGAGUGAGCAGAUUUGCAGCAGCUUUGCAAUGCCGUAUUAUUUUCCUCAUUCCGAUAAACGUUUUAGAAAUGGUCUCGAAAAUAGGAUUCAUAUUUUUCUGUACGAUAUGAAGAAAAAUGGUUUGUAAAACUGCUCUUAAUCCGUGUAGAUUUUGACAUAAGUUUAACUUAGGUUGUGAUCCAUGUGUCGACAACUUUCCAACGGCAUAUUGCAAGACCCAUUUUGACAAUGUUCGCGAAAGUUCAAACUCUCCUUGGAUGAAGUUCAACUACUACUACUACGACAGGUCGGUUAGUUAUUAGUGUGUGUGUGUGUGUGCGUGUCUAUAUAUAUUUCAUUUCAUGUGAUUGAUAGGUAUGUCCUCUUAUAGAUGAAUUAGGACCACGGUCCCCUUGUUAUUGCCCGGUACGCUCGCUACGCAGUUAACUAGUUACGUCCACAACAUAGGCGAUGAUUCUUGAUGCUAGAUUAAGUUUCGGGGUGUGUGAAAGAAGAGACUUAAUUAAAAGUCUCGUCCCCCACACUAAACUUCGUCAAAUACACAUGACCCCUUAGAAGAUCGUUCAUCUUCAUCACCCUCUUGUGUACACAACGGUUCACUAUUCUCAACUACGGUGAACCCCAAGGAACUGCUAGCAGAUCGUCGACAGCCAGAGUCGGUCGAUUGUCAGAACCUUGUAACAAAGCGACACCAUAUUGUCGACGAAUUGAACCAAAGCAACACUCGAGGAAGCAUAGAAAAAACAUCAACCCUCGAUCACAACCUACACCUACCCAUAUAACUGGUCUUGAUGCAACCGUUGGAAAACGUAGUAGAAAACAAAAAAAAUCGCGCCUACGCACACCCAAGAUCAAUAUGAAGAUGCAUAAUGGGUUGUGAUCACGAUCGUUACCAUCACGUAGUAGAAAACAAAAAAAUCGCGCCUAUGCACAGCGAAAGAAGAACGUGUCUGUGUAGGUCGUAAUUGGAGUCCCUCGAACCGUUGAUGAAUGAUACCGCGAACCGCCCACAAACAGUCCCUCAAACCAAAGACCUAAAGCACGGCCUCUCUACUUGGUUGCAAACGUGCAUCCUUCACAAUCCGGCAGCGCUUUGUUGUCCAAAGCUAGUCAUUGCGAGAGAACUGGAGGGACGAGAUUAGAACCACACGGGGCUUCUAAUUAUGAGGAUUAGAGGAUUAGUCUAGCUCUAAUUAGUCAAAUAGGAACCACUAGAACUAGAAGAACUAGAGGAGGCUCCAAAACAUGUGUAUGCAAAAGAGCAAAAUCCCCUAGUAUAUGUAGGUUGAAGGUGAGAGGGAGGGCUGCCACCAAGGGGGGAGGAAUCCCCCUUGGUGCGCCAGCCAAGGGGAGGAGUCCUCCUCCCCUUCGCCAAUUUGGCCUCCUACCUUAGGGAAGGAGGCGCCAAACCCACUUGGGCCUUUGUGCCCCAAGUUUCCGUCCACCUCUUGGCCUUUUAAGGCCCGUUGACAUCUAUACCUACUAAUAAAUCAAGGUGAUAUUCUUGGUUUGGUCUCGCAUCCAAUCCUACGUUAUGUAGAAAUACACGCGGCGGUACUAAUUCGUAGAGCCAAGUUUUUCGUUAAAAAGGUUUGUAUUGGCUGGGCUGCGUUCCUCCACUUGGGCCUUCACACGUUGUAUUUAUACCUGGCCAUGGGAAACCCGGCCCGGUCGUCCCGAAAAAGCCCGACCCGACCCGACCUGAUCUUGCCCGCGGGCCGGGCCUAGGCCUAAGUUUUUAGCCCAAAGGCUAGGACGAGCUUGGGCUUGACAUAUUCUUGUUUUAGGGAAGAGGCCCGACAGGUUUUUCACCGAUAGCCCCGGCCUGGGCCUGAAAUCUAGGCCUGAGCCGGACCCAAGCCUAGGGUUUUUGCUACGGGCAUUAUUAGGCCCGGUCUGAAGCCCAUCCUGACACAACUUAUGGCCUGGUAUUGUUGUACCUUAUUGCCUGUACUAUCGAGGCUAGCUACUGUGUUUGUACCCCUAAAAAAGCUAGUGUGUUUGUGUACAACUUCUUCUAGCUUAUUUAUAUAUGCACAAAUCAAACCCAUCCCACUGGUUCUUCCUGUAUUUGCCUUAUCUUGGUGUCACGGCAGCCGAUCGAAUCUUGGCUUCGCGGUGACGGUGUAACCAGCAUAGCAAGAUUUGGGGCAGUUCGGCUUCUAGUGACCAUUUUCUUUGCAGUAGAAGCACAUAGUUUCAGGCUUGGGUCUAGCUUUGGGCUUCUUCAUGGGAGUGGCAACUUGCUUGUCAUACUUCUUGAAGUUCCCUUUCUUUCCCUUGCCCUUUUACUUGAAACUAGUGGUUUUGUCAACCAUCAACACUUGAUGCUUUUCUUGAUUUCUACCUUCGCCGAUUCAGCAUCGCGAAGAGCUCGGGGAAUCGUUUUCGUCAUCCCUUGCAUAUUAUAGUUCAUCUCGAAGUUCCAGUAACUUGGUGAUAGUGACUAGAGAACUCUGUCAACCACUAUCUUAUCUGGAAGAUAAACUCUCACUUGAUUCAAGCAAUUGUAGUACUCAGACAUUCUGAGCACAUGCUCACUGGUUGAGCUAUUCUCCUCCAUCUUGUAGGCUAAGUACUUUGUCAGAGGUCUCAUACCUCUCGACUCGGGCAUGAGUAUGAAAUACCAAUUUUGACUCCUGGAACAUCUUAUAUGCUCUGUGGCGUUCAAAACAUUUUUGAAGUCCCGGUUCUAGGCCGUAAAGCAUGGUGCACUAAACUAUCAAGUAGUCAUCAUACCAAGCUUUGUCAAACGUUCAUAACGUCUGCAUCUGGUCUGUCACCUAGCGGUGCAUCAAGGACAUAAUUCUUCUGUGCAGCAACGAGGAUAAUCCUCUGAUCACGGAGAAAGUCCGCAUCAUUGCUACUAACAUCUUUCAACAUAGUUUUUCUCUAGGAACAUAUCAAAAAAUAAAUGGGGAGCUACAUCGCGAGCUAUUGAUCUACAACAUAGUCAUGCAAAUACUACCAGGACUAAGUUCAUGAUAAAUUAAAGUUCAAUUAAUCAUAUUACUUAAGAAAACCCACUUAGAUAGACAUCCCUCUAAUCAUCUAAGUGAUCACGUGAUCCAAAUCAACUAAACCAUGUCCGACCAUCACAUGAGAUGGAGUAGUUUUCAAUGGUGAACAUCACUAUGUUGAUCAGAUCUACUAUAUGAUUCACACUUGACCUUUCGGUCUCCAGUGUUCCGAGGCCAUAUCUGCAUAUGCUAGGCUCGUCAAGUUUAACCCGAGUAUUCCGCGUGUGCAAAACUGGCUUGCACCCGUUGUAUGUGAACGUAGAGCUUAUCACACCCGAUCAUCACAUGGUGUCUCGGCACGACGAACUGUCGCAACGGUGCAUACUCAGGGAGAACACUUAUACCUUGAAAUUUAGUGAGAGAUCAUCUUAUAAUGCUACCACUGAACUAAGCAAAAUAAGAUGCAUAAAUGAUAAACAUCACAUGCAAUCAAAAUAUGUGACAUGAUAUGGCCAUGAUCAUCUUGCGCCUUUGAUCUCCAUCUCCAAAGUACCGUCAUGAUCUCUAUCGUCACUGGCAUGACACCAUGAUCUCCAUCAUCUUGAUCUCCAUCAACGUGUCAUCACAUGGUCAUCUCGCCAACUAUUGCUCUUACAACUAUUCCUAUCGCAUAGCGAUAAAGUAAAGCAAUUAUUUGGCGCUUGCAUCUUAUGCAAUAAAGAGACAACCAUAAGGCUUCUGCUAGUUGCCGAUAACUUCUACAAAACAUGAUCAUCUCAUACAACAACUUAUAUCUCAUCACGUCUUGACCAUAUCACAUCACAACAUUCCCUGCAAAAACAAGUUAGACGUCCUCUACUUGGUUGUUGCAAGUUUUAUGUGGCUGCUAUGGACCGAGCAAGAACCGUUCUUAUCUACGCAUCAAAACUACAACGAUUUUUCGUCAAGUAUGUGUUGUUUUAACCUUCAACAAGGACCGGGCGUAGCCACACUCGAUUCAACUAAAGUUGGAGAAACUCAUGUUGGAAAUAUGCCCUAGAGGCAAUAAUAAAUUGGUUAUUAUUAUAUUUCCUUGUUCACGAUAAUCGUUUAUUAUCCAUGCUAGAAUUGUAUUGAUAGGAAACUCAGAUACAUGUGUGGAUACAUAGACAACACCAUGUCCCUAGUAAGCCUCUAGUUGACUAGCUCGUUGAUCAAUAGAUGGUUACGGUUUCCUGACCAUGGACAUUGGAUGUCGUUGAUAACGGGAUCACAUCAUUAGGAGAAUGAUGUGAUGGACAAGACCCAAUCCUAAGCCUAGCACAAGAUCGUGUAGUUCGUUUGCUCAGAGCUUUGCUAAUGUCAAGUAUCAUUUCCUUAGACCAUGAGAUUGUGCAACUCCCGGAUACCGUAGGAAUGCUUUGGGUGUGCCAAACGUCACAACGUAACUGGGUGGCUAUAAAGGUGCACUACGGGUAUCUCCGAAAGUGUCUGUUGGGUUGGCACGAAUCGAGACUGGGAUUUGUCACUCCGUGUAAACGGAGAGGUAUCUCUGGGCCCACUCGGUAGGACAUCAUCAUAAUGUGCACAAUGUGACCAAGGAUUUGAUCACGGGAUGAUGUGAGUUACGGAACGAGUAAAGAGACUUGCCGGUAACGAGAUUGAACAAGGUAUAGGGAUACCGACGAUUGAAUCUCGGGCAAGUAACAUACCGAUAGACAAAGGGAAUUGUGUACGGGAUUGAUUGAAUCCCCGACAUCGUGGUUCAUCCGAUGAGAUCAUCGUGGAACAUGUGGGAGCCAACAUGGGUAUCCAGAUCCCGCUGUUGGUUAUUGACCGGAGAACGUCUCGGUCAUGUCUGCAUGGUUCCCGAACCCGUAGGGUCUACACGCUUAAGGUUCGAUGACGCUAGGGUUAUAGGGAAAGUAUGUACGUGGUUACUGAAUGUUGUUCGAAGUCCCGGAUGAGAUCCCGGACGUCACGAGGAGUUCCGGAAUGGUCCGGAGGUAAAGAUUUAUAUAUGGGAAGUCCUGUUUUGGUCAUCGGAAAAGUUUCGGGUGAUAUUGGUAAUGUACCGGGACCACCGGGAGGGUCCCGGGGGUCCACCAAGUGGGGCCACCAGCCCCAGAAGGCUGCGUGGGCCAAGUGUGGGAGGGGACCAGCCCCAGGUGGGCUGGUGCGCCCCCCCACCAAGGCCCAAGCGCAUGGGAGAGUGGGAGGGGGCAAACCCUAGGUCCAGAUGGGCCUUAAGGCCCACCCUAGUGGCGCCCCCCCUCUCCUCCCCUUGGCCGCCCCCCCUAGAUGGGAUCUAGGGCUGGCCACCAGCCCUUGGGGGUGGAAUCCCUAGAGGGGGCGCAGCCCCUCCCCCCCAUAUAUAGUUGAGGUUUGGGGCUGCCAUAGACAUGAGAACGUCUCUCCUUUGGCGCAGCCCUACCCCUCUCCCUCCUCCUCCUCUCCCGCGGUGCUUGGCGAAGCCCUGUGGGAUUGCCACGCUCCUCCAUCACCACCAUGCCGUCGUGCUGCUGCUGGAUGGAGUCUUCCCCAACCUCUCCCUCUCUCCUUGCUGGAUCAAGGCGUGGGAGACGUCACCGGGCUGCACGUGUGUUGAACGCGGAGGCACCGUUCUUCGGUGCUUAGAUCGGAAUCAACCGCGAUCUGAAUCGCUACGAGUACGACUCCCUCAUCCGCGUUCUUGCAACGCUUCCGCAUCGCGAUCUACAAGGGUAUGUAGAUGCACUCCCCUUCCCCUCGUUGCUAGAUUACUCCAUAGAUUGAUCUUGGUGAUACGUAGAAAAUUUUGAAUUUCUGCUACGUUCCCCAACAGUGGCAUCAUGAGCUAGGUCUAUGCGUAGUUUCUAUGCACGAGUAGAACACAAAGUAGUUGUGGGCGUAGAUGUUGCCAGUUCUUCUUGCCGCUACUAGUCUUAUCUUGUUUCGGCGGCAUUGUGGGAUGAAGCGGCCCGGACCGACCUUACACGUACGCUUACGUGAGACAGGUUCCACCGACUGACAUGCACUAGUUGCAUAAGGUGGCUAGCGGGUGUCUGUCUCUCCCACUUUAGUCGGAACGGAUUCGAUGAAAAGGGUCCUGAUGAAGGGUAAAUAGAAAUUGGCAUAUCACGUUGUGGUUUUACGUAGGUAAGAAACGUUCUUGCCAGAAACCUAUACAAGCCACGUAAAAACUUGCAACAACAAUUAGAGGACGUCUAACUUGUUUUUGCAGCAUGUGCUAUGUGAUGUGAUAUGGCCAGAAGAUGUGAUGAAUGAUAUAUGUGAUGUAUGAGAUUGAUCAUAUUCUUGUAAUAGGAAUCACGACUUGCAUGUCGAUGAGUAUGACAACCGGCAGGAGCCAUAGGAGUUGUCUUUAUUUUUGUAUGACCUGCGUGUCAUUGAAUAACGCCAUGUAAAUUACUUUACUUUAUUGCUAAGCACGUUAGCCAUAGAAGUAGAAGUAAUUGUUGGCGUGACAACUUCAUGAAGACACAAUGAUGGAGAUCAUGGUGUCAUGCCGGUGACAAAGAUGAUCAUGGUGCCCCGAAGAUGGAGAUCAAAGGAGCAAAAUGAUAUUGGCCAUAUCAUGUCACUAUUUGAUUGCAUGUGAUGUUUAUCAUGUUAUGCAUCUUAUUUGCUUAGAACGACGGUAGUAAGUAAGAUGAUCCCUUAUAAAAUUUCAAGAGAAGUGUUCCCCCUACCUGUGCACCAUUGCGAAGGUUCGUUGUUUCGAAGCACCAUGUGAUGAUCGGGUGUGAUAGAUUCUAACGUUCGAAUACAACGGGUGUUGACGAGCCUAGCAUGUACAGACAUGGCCUCGGAACACAUGCGAAACACUUAGGUUGACUUGACGAGCCUAGCAUGUACAGACAUGGCCUCGGAACACAAGAGACCGAAAGGUCGAACAUGAGUCGUAUAGCAGGUACGAUCAACAUGGAGAUGUUCACCGAUGAUGACUAGUCCGUCUCACGUGAUGAUCGGACACGGCCUAGUUUGACUCGGAUCAUGUAUCACUUAGAUGACUAGAGGGAUGUCUAUCUGAGUGGGAGUUCAAUUAUCAGAUGAACUUCAUUAUCAUGAACAUAGUCAAAAGGUCUUUGCAAAUUAUGUCAUAGCUUGCGCUUUAGUUCUACUGUUUAAGAUAUGUUCCUAGAGAAAAUUUAGUUGAAAGUUGGUAGUAGCAAUUAUGCAGACUGGGUCCGUAAACUGAGGAUUGUCCUCAUUGCUGCACAGAAGGCUUAUGUCCUUAAUGCACCGCUCGGUGUGCUGAACCUCAGCUUGUCUGUAGAUGUUACGAAACAUCUGACAUACACGUUUUGAUGACUAAGUGAUAGUUCAGUGCGUAAUGCUAACGGUUUAGAAUUGUGGCACCAGAGACGUUUUUGAAAUGUCGCAGAAUAUGUGAGAUGUUCCGAAGACUGAAAUUGGGAUUUCAGACUAGUGCCCACGUCAAGAGGUAUGAGACCUCUGACAAGUUUCUUAAGCCUGCAAACUAAGGGAGAAAAGCUCAAUCGUUGAGCAUGUGCUCAGAUUGUCUGAGUGCUACAAUCACUUGAAUCGAGUGGGAGUUAAUCUCCCAGAUGAGAUAGUGAUGGUUCUCCAUAGUCACUGCCACCAAGCUAGUAGAGCUUCGUGAUGAACUAUAACAUAGCAGGGAUAGUUAUGAUGAUCCUUGAGCUAUUCACAAUGUUUGACACCGCGAAAGUAGAAAUCAAGAAGGAGCAUCAAUUGUUGAUGGUUAGUAAAACCACUAGUUUCUAGAAGGGCAAGGGCAAAAGGGAUACUUCAUGAAACAGCAAAUCGUUUGCUACUCUAGUAAAGAAUCCCAAAGUUGAACCCAAACCCGAGACUAAGUGCUUCUGUAAUGAGGGGAAUGGUCACUGAAGCAGUACUACCCUAGAUACUUGGUAGAUGAGAAGGCAGGCAAGGUCGACAGAAGUAUAUUGGAUAUACAUUAUAUGAAUGUGUACUAGUACUCCUAGCAGCACCAGGGUAUUAGAUACCGGUUCGGUUGCUAAGUGUUAGUAACUCGAAAUAAAAGCUGCAGAAUAAACGGAGACUAGCUAAAGGUGAGAUGACGAUAUGUGUUGGAAGUGUUUCCAAGGUUGAUGGGAUCAAGCAUCGCAUGCUCCCUCUACCAUCGAGAUUUGGUGUUUGCGUUGAGCAUGAUUGGAUUAUGUUUAUCGCAAUACGGUUAUUCAUUUAAGGAGAAUAAUGGUUACUCUGUUUAUUUGAAUAAUACCUUCAAUGGUCUUGCACCUAAAAUGAAUCUCGAUCGUAGUGAUACACAUGUUCAUGCCAAAGGUAAUGAUAGUACCACAUACUUGUGGCACUGCUAUUUGAGUCAUAUUGGGAUAAAACGCAUGAAGAAGCUCCAUGUAGAUGGAUCUUUGGACUCACUCUUUUUGAAAAGAUUGAGACAUGCGAACCAUGUCUAUUGGUAUAUGUGCAUGAAGAAACUCCAUGUAGAUGGAUCGUUUGGACUCACUUGAUUUUGAGACAUGCAAAUCAUACCACAUGGGCAAGAUGACUGAAAGGCCUCGUUUUCAGUAAGAUGGAACAAGAGAGCAACUUAUUGGAAGUAAUACAUUUUGAUGUAUGCAGUCCAAUGAGUGCUGAGGCAUGCAGUGGAUAUCGUUAUGUUCUUACUUCACAGAUGAUUUGAGUAGAUGUUGAGUGUAUUUACUUGAUGAAACACAAGUCUGAAUUAUUGAAAGGUUCAAGUAAUUUCAGAGUGAAGUUGAAGAUCGUCGUGACAAGAGGAUAAAAUGUCUGUGAUAUGAUCAUAGAGAUGAGUAUCUGAGUUACAAGUUUGGCACACAAUUAAGACAUUGUGGAAAGUGUUUCACAAUUAAUACCGCCUGGAACACCAUAGUGUGAUGGUGUGUCCGAACAUCAUAACUGCACCCUAUUGGAUAUGGUGCAUGCCAUGAUGUUUCUUAUCGAAUUACCACUAUCGUUUAUGGGUUAUGCAUUAGAGACAACCGCAUUCACUUUAAAAGGGGUACCACGCAAUUCCGUUGAGACGACACCGUUUAGAGAAACCUGAGUUGCCGUUUCUUAAAAGUUUGGGGCUGCGAUGCUUAUGUGAAAAAGUUUCAGGCUGAUAAGCUCGAACCUAAAGCGGAUAAAUGCAUCUUCAUAGAAAACCCAAAACAGUUGGGUAUACCUCCUAUUUCAGAUCUGGAAGCAAAAGUAAUUACUUCUAGAGACAGGUCCUUUCUCGAGGAAGAGUUUCUCUCGAAAGAAUUGAGUGGGAGGAUGGUGGAGACUUGAUAAGGUUAUUGAACCGUCACUUCAACUAGUGUGUAGCAGGGCACAGGAAGUUGUUCCUGUGGCACCUACACCAAUUGAAGUGGAAGCUUAUGAUAGUGAUCAUGAAACUUCGGAUCAAGUCACUACCAAACCUCGUAGGACGACGAGGAUGCGUGCUACUUCAGAGUGGUACGUGAUCCUGUCUUGAAAAUCAUGUUGUUAGACAACAAUGAACCUACGAGCUAUGGAGAAGCGAUGGUGGGCCCAUAUUCUGACAAAUGGUUAGAAGCCAUGAAAUCCGAGAUAAAUGGAUCUUUAAGAAGAAGACGGACAUGGACGGUAAUGUUACCGUCUAUGAAGCUCGACUUGUGGCAAAAAGUAUUUCCACAAGUUCAAGGAGUUGACUACGAUGAGAUUUUCUCAUCCGUAGCGAUGCUUAAGUCCGUCGGAAUCAUGUUAGCAUUAGCUGCAUUUAUGAAAUCUGGCAGAUGGACGUCAAAACAAGUUUCCUUACCAGUUUUCGUAAGGAAAGAUUGUAUGUGAUACAAUCAGAAAGGUUUUGCCGAUCCUAAGGAUGCUAAAAGGUAUGCUAGCUCCAGCGAUCCUUCCAUGGACUAGAGCAAGCAUCUCGGAGUCAGAAUAUACGCUUUGAUGGAGUGAUCAAAGUUUUUGGGUUUAUACAAAGUUUGUUAGAAACUUGUAUUUACAAUAAAGUAAGUGGGAGCGCUACAACAUUUCUGAUAAGUAUAUGUGAAUGACAUAUUGUUGAUCUGAAAUGAUGUAGAAUUUCUGGAAAGCAUAAAGGGUUGUUUGAAAGGAGUUUUUCAAAGGAAGACCUGGAUAAAAGCUGCUUGCAUAUUGGGCAUCAAGAUCUAUAGAGAUAGAUCAAGACGCCUGAUGAUACUUUCAAAGAACGCGCACCUUGACAUGAUUUUGAAAGAGUUCAAAAUAGAUCAGCAAAGAAGGAGUUCUUGGCUGUGUUACAAGGUGUGAGUAUUGAGUAAGACUCAAGACCUGACCACAGCAGAAGAGAGAGAAAGGACGAAGGUCGUCCCCUAUGCUUCAGACAUAGGCUCUACAGUAUGCUAUGCUGUGUACCGCACAUGGAGUGUGCCUUGCCAUGAGUUGGUCAAGGGGUACAAUAGUGAUCCGGGAAUGGAUCACAUGACAGUGGUCGAAUUUAUCCUUAGUAUCUAGUGGACUAAGGAAUUUUCUCGAUUAUGGAGGUGAAAAGGAGUUCGUCGUAAAGGGUUACGUCGAUGCGAACUUUGACACUAAUCCGGAUGACUCUGAGUAGUAAACCGGAUUCGUAUAGUAGAGCAAUUAUUUGAAAUGGCUCCAAAUAGCGCAUCGUAGCAUCCACAAGAUGACAUAGAUAUUCGUAAAGCACACACGGAUCUGAUAGGUUCAGACCCGUUGAUUAAUAACCUCUCUCACAAGCAUAACAUGAUCAAACCAGAACUCAUUGAGUGUUAAUCACAUAGUGAUGUGAACUAGAUUGUUGACUCUAGUAAACUAUUUGGAUGUUGGUCACAUGGUGAUGUGACCUGUCACUGUUAAUCACAUGGUGAUGUGAACUAGUUUAUUGACUGUAGUGCAAGUGGGAGACUGUUGGAAAUAUGCCCUAGAGGCAAUAAUAAAUUGGUUAUUAUUAUAUUUCCUUGUUCACGAUAAUCGUUUAUUAUCCAUGCUAGAAUUGUAUUGAUAGGAAACUCAGAUACAUGUGUGGAUACAUAGACAACACCAUGUCCCUAGUAAGCCUCUAGUUGACUAGCUCGUUGAUCAAUAGAUGGUUACGGUUUCCUGACCAUGGACAUUGGAUGUCGUUGAUAACGGGAUCACAUCAUUAGGAGAAUGAUGUGAUGGACAAGACCCAAUCCUAAGCCUAGCACAAGAUCGUGUAGUUCGUUUGCUCAGAGCUUUUCUAAUGUCAAGUAUCAUUUCCUUAGACCAUGAGAUUGUGCAACUCCCGGAUACCGUAGGAAUGCUUUGGGUGUGCCAAACGUCACAACGUAACUGGGUGGCUAUAAAGGUGCACUACGGGUAUCUCCGAAAGUGUCUGUUGGGUUGGCACGAAUCGAGACUGGGAUUUGUCACUCCGUGUAAACGGAGAGGUAUCUCUGGGCCCACUCGGUAGGACAUCAUCAUAAUGUGCACAAUGUGACCAAGGAUUUGAUCACGGGAUGAUGUGAGUUACGGAACGAGUAAAUAGACUUGCCGGUAACGAGAUUGAACAAGGUAUAGGGAUACCGACGAUCGAAUCUCGGGCAAGUAACAUACCGAUAGACAAAGGGAAUUGUAUACGGGAUUGAUUGAAUCCCCGACAUCGUGGUUCAUCCGAUGAGAUCAUCGUGGAACAUGUGGGAGCCAACAUGGGUAUCCAGAUCCCGCUGUUGGUUAUUGACCGGAGAACGUCUCGGUCAUGUCUGCAUGGUUCCCGAACCCGUAGGGUCUACACGCUUAAGGUUCGAUGACGCUAGGGUUAUAGGGAAAGUAUGUACGUGGUUACUGAAUGUUGUUCGAAGUCCCGGAUGAGAUCCCGGACGUCACGAGGAGUUCCGGAAUGGUCCGGAGGUAAAGAUUUAUAUAUGGGAAGUCCUGUUUUGGUCACCGGAAAAGUUUCGGGUGAUAUUGGUAAUGUACCGAGACCACCGGGAGGGUCCCGGGGGUCCACCAAGUGGGGCCACCAGCCCCAGAAGGCUGCGUGGGCCAAGUGUGGGAGGGGACCAGCCCCAGGUGGGCUGGUGCGCCCCCCCACCAAGGCCCAAGCGCAUGGGAGAGUGGGAGGGGGCAAACCCUAGGUCCAGAUGGGCCUUAAGGCCCACCCUAGUGGCGCCCCCCCUCUCCUCCCCUUGGCCGCCCCCCUAGAUGGGAUCUAGGGCUGGCCGCCAGCCCUUGGGGGUGGAAACCCUAGAGGGGGCGCAGCCCCUUCCCCCCUAUAUAUAGUUGAGGUUUGGGGCUGCCAUAGACAUGAGAACGUCUCUCUUUCGGCGCAGCCCUACCCCCCUCCCUCCUCCUCAUCUCCCGCGGUGCUUGGCGAAGCCCUGCGGGAUUGCCACGCUCCUCCAUCACCACCAUGCCGUCGUGUUGCUGUUGGAUGGAGUCUUCCCCAACCUCUCCCUCUCUCCUUGCUGGAUCAAGGUGUGGGAGACGUCACCGGGCUGCACGUGUGUUGAACGCGGAGGCACCGUUCUUCGGUGCUUAGAUCGGAAUCAACCACGAUCUGAAUCGCUACGAGUACGACUCCCUCAUCCGCGUUCUUGCAACGCUUCCGCAUCGCGAUCUACAAGGGUAUGUAGAUGCACUCCCCUUCCCCUCGUUGCUAGAUUACUCCAUAGAUUGAUCUUGGUGAUGCGUAGAAAAUUUUGGAUUUCUGCUACGUUCCCCAACAACUGACACCCGCCAGCCACCUGUGUGCGAAGCACGGCGGUAGAACCAGUCUCGCGUAAGCGUACGCGUAAUGUCGGUCCGGGCCGCUUCAUCCAACAAUACCGCUGAAUCAAAGUAUGACAUGCUGGUAAGCAGUAUGACUAGUAUCGCCCACAACUCACUUGUGUUCUACUCGUGCAUAUAACAUCUGCACAUAAACCUGGCUCGGAUGCCACUGUUAGGGGACGUAGUAAUUUCAAAAUUUCCUACGCACACGCAAGAUCAUGGUGAUGCAUAGCAACGAGAGGGGAGAGUGUCGUCUACGUACCCUCGUAGAUCGAAAGCGGAAGCGUUAUGACAACGCGGUUGAUGUAGUCGUACGUCUUCACGAUCGACCGGUCCUAGCACCGAAGGUACGGCACCUCCGCGAUCUGCACACGUUCGGCUCGGUGACGUCCCACGAACUCACGAUCCAGAAGAGUGUCGAGUGAGAGCUUCGUCAGCACGACGGCGUGAUGACGGUGAUGAUGAAGCUACCGGUGCAGGGCUUCGCCUAAGCACUACGACAAUAUGACCGAGGUGGAUUAUGGUGGAGGGGGUCACCGCACACGGCUAAGAGAUUAAUGAUCAACUUGUGUGUUCAUGGGGUGCUCCCUGGCCACGUAUAUAAAGGAUGGAGGGAGGAGGAGGCCGGCCCUCAUAGGGCGCGCCCAAAGUGUGGAGUCCUACUAGGACUCCCUAGUCCUAGUAGGAUUCCACCUCCCACAUGGAAUAGGAAAAGGGGAAGGGAGAAGGAGAAGGAAGGAAGGGGGCACCCCCUUUCCCUAGUCCAAUUCGGACCAGUCCAUGGGGAAGGGGCGCAGCCACCCUUGAGGCCUUUUUCUCCUUUCCCGUAUGGCCCAUUAAGGCCCAAUACGAAUUCCCGUAACUCUCCAGUACUCCGAAAAAUACCCGAAUCACUGGGAACCUUUCCGAUGUCCGAAUAUAGUCGUCCAAUAUAUCGAUCUUUACGUCUCGACCAUUUCGAGACUCCUCGUCAUGUCCCCGAUCUCAUCCGGGACUCCGAACUACCUUCGGCACAUCAAAACACAUAAAGUCAUAAUACCAAUCGUCACUGAACGUUAAGCGUGCGGACCCUACGGGUUUGAGAACUAUGUAGACAUGACCGAGACUCAUCUCCGGUCAAUAACCAAUAGCGGAACCUGGAUGCUCAUAUCGGUUCCUACAUAUUCUACGAAGAUCUUUAUCGGUCAAACCGCAUAACAACAUACGUUGUUCCCUUUGUCAUCGGUAUGUUACUUGCCCGAUAUUCGAUCGUCGGUAUCUCAAUACCUAGUUCAAUAUCGUUACCGGCAAGUCUCUUUACUCGUUCCGUAAUGCAUCAUACUGCAACUAACUCAUUAGUCACAUUGCUUGCAAGGCUUAUAGUGAUGUGCAUUACCGAGAGGGCCCAGAGAUACCUCUCCGACAAUCGGAGUGACAAAUCCUAAUCUCGAUCUACGCCAACUCAACAAGUACCAUCGGAGACACCUGUAGAGCACCUUUAUAAUCACCCAGUUACAUUGUGAUGUUUGGUAGCAUACAAAGUGUUCCUCCAGUAUUCGGGAGUUGCAUAAUCUCAUAGUCAUAGGAACAUGUAUAAGUCAUGAAGAAAGCAAUAGCAAUAUACUAAACGAUCAAGUGCUAAGCUAACGGAAUGGGUCAAGUCAAUCACAUCAUUCUCUAAUGAUGUGAUCCCGUUGAUCAAAUGACAACUCAUGUCUAUGGCUAGGAAACUUAACCAUCUUUGAUCGAACGAGCUAGUCAAGUAGAGGCAUACUAGUGACACUCUGUUUUUCUAUGUAUUCACACAUGUACUAAGUUUCCGGUUAAUACAAUUCUAGCAUGAAUAAUAAACAUUUAUCAUGAUAUAAGGAAAUAUAAAUAACAACUUUAUUAUUGCCUCAGGGCAUAUUUCCUUCAGCGGUGUGGUAGCUGGUCGUAGCGGCCGCUGCUGGUGCUCUCGCUCGCGGAGGAGCCGCCACCGCUCGACGAACCGCGGCCGUCAUCAAGGGCAAGAUCGCCCUCAGCGUCGUCACGACCGUUGUCAAGGCCAAGCGCAUCGUCGCCGCCGCUGUCUUCGGGGCAGCACCCUGCGCGACGACCAUCUUCCCCAAACAUCCUCACGAAGAGGGUCGUGACGCCGUCGUACUUGAAGUGGAGGGUGCGCCUCCUGCUCAGGCCGCGCGCGCGGGCGAACGCCUGCCAGCCGCGGGCCAGGGCAACAUUGCCCGCGGCGGAGACCUCCACCACAACCCACGAGGACUUGCUGCAGCAACCAUCGGUCCGCAACCAGAGGCCGUCAAGACCCACGGCCGGCAGCUCGCUGGUAAAGGAGCGCAGAAGCUGGAGCCAGGUGCCGGACGGACUCUCCGACCACACGACGAACUCCGGGAGCACCUCCUCCAAGUGGAAGCGGGGCCGGGGAAGCCGGGCAACAAGGCGCACCUCCCCUCGUCAAAGGGGCUGCGCCUCGCCUUGGGUGGCUCCCGCCAUGAGAAGAGACACCGCCGUGGCCGCCAAGGAUGACGCCGGUCCAUGAAGGAGUGCGCCCACGCCCCCGAGGAGGCACCACAGGGGUCGCGGCGUGCUUACGAGGGCGGCCCUGCCUCUCUUGGGUGGCGGCAAGUCGGGUCCCUCCUGGCGAGCCUUCCCCUUCUCGGUGGCGGCGAACCUCUUUGUUGGCGCCAUGGGAGCUGCGGUGAGGCGAAGAGGAAGGAGACAGAGCGUGCGGCGAGAAGAAGGAGAUGAGCAAAGAGGGCUCCGCCCCUCUCCUCAUUUAUAGCCAGGAGGAGGCCAACUGACGGCCUCCACGAUCGCAUGUAAUGAUGAUUUUUCUCAGCAUGCAGCAGAGUCUCGUCAAGUCGAACGGUUGCCGAGGCGGCGUGGGGAAGUGCAGGCGCCCAUGUCCCAUCAAUCGCCAUGCGUCAACUGAGGCCGCAAGUGGUUGGGGCCCGCGGCGCUCCACACUUGCCCUUUGGAUUCGCCUCGGGGCCAAGUUCGAGCGCGCCUUGGGUCCGGGGGCUAUUGUCGGCGUCCUAGGAAUGGGGGUACCUAGACUUGCCUGCCUGCGGCCCGUGGCGUGGCUCCAUCAAUGGCCCGGUACGGCCCAGCUUUAGCAGCAACAACUCAAGACCCUCGCGAGGGGCAAAGCCUCGCAAGGCGGAUGACACCAAGACCUCCCUGGGGGCGGCCUCACUAGGCCAUCUCCCGAGGAGCGGAGAUAUCUAUGCAAGGUGCACCUCGUGAGGUUCAUGUGACAUGAGCCAUGAUGACCAAGGCCAGGCGGGAGCCAGCGGGCGCAGUGUACUAGUUUCCUCUUUGGUGCUAAGGAGGCAAGCGCAGGCGCGGAGUCCCGAGGAAUCAAGCAAAGGUUUCCACUCCAGUGCAACAAGACCAAGAACGUCAGGACGAUGGGACGGAGGUCAUCGCGGAGCCCACCGCAGCGUCACCACCAGAGCCUUUUGCAGGCGAAGACUACUUUUGUCAGGAUAGCUUGUACUAGUUGUCUCCCUUCAAAUUUGGCCGUUGUGGGAUCCCUUCCCGCCUACAUUUGGGAAGAGGACCAAGGCCACUAUAAAUAGGAUUUAGCCACCACCAUAGAUGGAAGGAUAGAUCCAUUCCACCCUGACCACCUCACUAGCUCAUCGAGCUCAAGAACACCUCACCUCUUGAGGUUGUUCCACCACUGUACUAGUUCAUCCUCAGCCCCUCGAGGCAAUCCACCACAAAGCUGGAGUAGGGUAUUACACCGCAAGGUGGCCCGAACCAGGAUAAAUCCCUGUGUCUCUCAUUCUCUGGGUUCGUGGAGCUAGGCCGUGGAAUCGUUGAGCAGGCAGACUGGGAGAGAGAGUUCUUCGCACGCACCCCAUAGUUCGAACCUCUCAAGGGUCUGCGGAACCCCGAAUCCGACACACACGAGGUGGCCACAAGGACGGGGGCGCGCCCUCCACCAUUGUGGUGGCCUCAUGUCUCUUUUGGACUAUUUUAAUUUUCCUAAUUUUUUAAAUAUCCCAAAACGGAGAAAAUUUAUCAUUGGAAAACUUUUGGAGUCGGUUUACUUACCGUACCACAUACCUAUUCCUUUUCGGAGACUGAAACAUUCUGGAAAGUGUCCCUUAUGUACUCCUCCGGUGUUACGGUGUCAAUUAUAUUUAUUUCAACAUUUAUGGCAGUACCUGAGAUAUAAUGUUUGAUUCUUUGACCGUUACCACCUUCUGAUUUGUGCCUUCAGCGUUGUUGAUUUUUAUGGUACCGGAAUGAUAGACCUCCUCGAUAAUGUAUGGACCUUCCCAUUUAGAGAGAAGUUUCCUACGAAAAAUCUUAAACGAGAGUUGUAUAGUAAAACAUGAUCACCUAUAUUAAAAUCACGCUUUUGUAUCCUUUUGUCAUGCCAUCUUUUAACUUUUUCUUUAAACAACUUGGCAUUCUCAUAGGCUUGGGUUCUCCAUUCAUCGAGUGAGCUAAUGUCAAAUAACCUCUUCUCACCGGCAAGUUUAAAAUCAUACUUGAGCUCUUUAAUAGCCCAAUAUGCCUUAUGUUCUAGUUCAAGAGGUAAAUGACAUGCUUUUCCGUAAACCAUUUUAUAGGGAGACAUACCCAUAUAGGAUUCUUAUAAGCAGUUCUAUAGGGCCAUAUAGCAUCAUCAAGUUUCUUCGACCAAUUCUUUCUAGAUUUAUUAACAGUCUUUUGCUAAAUUAAUUUAAUCUCUCUAUUGCUCAAUUCUACUUGACCACUAGACUAAGGAUGAUAAGGAUAUGCAAUUUAUGGUUAACAUCAUACUUAGCAAGCAUUUUACGAAAAGCACCAUGAAUAAAAUGUAAACCACCAUCAGUCAUUAAAUAUCUAGGGACUCCAAACCUCAGAAAAAUAACUUCUUUAAGCAUCUUAAUAGAAGUGUUAUGAUCAGCACUACUAGUUGGAAUAGCUUCUACACCCACUUAGUAACGUAAUCAACAGCAACUAGAAUAUGUGUAUACACAUUAGAGGAAGGAAAAGGUCCCACAUAAUCAAAGCCCCAAACAUCAAAUGCUUUAAUAACAAGUGAAUAGUUCAUGGGCAUUUCCUCUCGUCUACUAAUAUUGCCAAUUCUUUGACAUUCAUCACAAGACAAGACAAACUUACGAGCAUCCCUGAAGAGAGUGGGCCAACAAAAACCGGAUUGCAAUACCUUGUGUGCAGUUCUAUCUCCAGCAUGGUGUCCUCCGUAAGCUUCGGAGUGGCACUUGCGUAGGAUCUGUUCAUGUUCAUACUCAGGUACACAACGUCUAAUAACACCAUCUACUCCAUUAUAAAGGUGUGGAUCAUCCCCAAAGUAAUGUCUUAAAUCAUAGAAAAACUUUUUGUUUUGCUGGUAUGUGAAACUAUGUGGUAUAAAUUUAGCAGCAAUAUAAUUAGCAUAAUCAGCAUACCAUGGAGUAUUACGAGAAGCAUUUAUAACAUUUAAUUGUUCCUCAGGAAAGCUAUCAUCAAUAGGUAGUGGGUCAUCAAGAACAUUUUCUAACCUAGAAAAGUUGUCUGCAACGGGGUUCUCAGCUCCCUUUCUAUCAAUAAUAUGCAAAUAAAAUUCUUGUAGCAAGAGAACCCACCUAAUAAGUCUAGGUUUAGCAUCUUUCUUUUCCAUAAGAUAUUUAAUAGCAGCAUGAUCAGUGUGAAUAGUUACUUUGGAAUCAACAAUAUAAGGUCUAAACUUAUCACAUGCAAAUACAGCUGCUAAACAUUCUUUGGGCACUGUCUAGAGUUUUACUAGCAUACUAAAUAACAUUUAAUUUCUUAUGAACUCUUUGUCCUAGAACAGCACCAACAGCAUAAUCACUAGCAUCACACAUAAUUUCAAAGGGUAAAAUUCCAAUCAGGUGGCUAAACAAUAGGUUCAGAAAUCAAGGCUUUCUUAAGUACUUCAAAUGCUUCUACACAAUCAUCAUCAAAAACAAAGGGAACAUCUUUUUGCAAGAUAUUAGUGAGAGGACAAGAAAUUUUAGAGAAGUCUUUAAUAAACCUCCUAUAGAAACCAUCAUGACCAAGGGAACUUCUUAUACAUUUGAUAUCUCUUGGACACGGCAUCUUUUCAAUAGCAUCUACUUUAGCUUUAUCAACUUCAAUACCUCUUUCAGAAAUUUUAUGCCCCAAGACAAUACCUUCAUUAACCAUAAAGUGGCACUUUUCUCAAUUCAAUACAAGAUUAGUUUCUUAAGAUAUCUGCAUAACUCGGUCAAGGUUGCUUAAGCAAUCAUCAAAAGAAGUUCCGUAAACGGAGAAAUCAUCCAUGAAAACCUCAACAAUCUUUUCACGGAAAUCAGAGAAUAUAGUAGUCAUACAUCUUUGAAAGGUAGCAGGUGCAUUGCAUAAACCAAAUGGCAUACGUCUACAAGCAAAGGUACCGAAAGGGCAAGUAAAAGUGGUUUUCUCUUGGUCAUCUUUUGACACAGGUAUUUGAGAGAAACCAGAAUAACCAUCUAGAAAGCAAAAUGUGUAUGCUUGUACAAUGUUUCUAGCAUUUGAUCAAUAAAUGGUAAAGGGUAAUGAUAUUUUCUAGUAGCUUUAUUAAAUUUGCAAAAAUCAAUUACCAUUCUAUAACCUAUAACAAUUCUUUGUGGAAUCAAUGCAUUCUUAUCAUUAGGAACAACAGUAAUACUUCCCUUCUUAGGGACACAGUGAACAUGGCUUACCCAUUGACUAUCGGCAAUAGGAUAAAUUAUACCUGCCUCUAAGAGGUAGAACUUAUAGCUUACAGAACACUAAUGGACAAGAGGUAGAACUUAUUUUUUUUGGCUUGCCGGAGAUCGCAAUGUUGGUCCAUCUUCCCAACUCCUUGUAGAGGCUAAGUUCACAACAGGAACCUGCAACUUCAUGCAGAUGGGAAUGAUGCAAGAUGCGGUCCUAUAUAUAUGCAUAUGCAAAUGCUCAUGAAAUGCUUAUGCAGUGCUCUUGGAAUGCUCAUGCAUGGAUGCAACUUGGUCAGGGGCCCCCUAGUGCUUCGUUUAUUUCUCUCUUGCUCAGGGUCAUUGCCCUGGCUUUGUACAAGGGGUUACAUGCAGUUGAGGCAAGGCCUGUACAAAAGGGUGGCUGCCGGGCAGGGCCCGAGAGCCGCGCCUUACUGGUAGAACUUGCGGAGGUGCUCAAUAUUCCAUGGGUUUUGCAAUUGAAUGCCAUCUCCAGUCUCUAGACAGACUGCGCCGGGUCUGGUGACUCGUACUACCCGGUAAGGGCCUUCCCACUUUGGCGUCAACUUUUUUGUACCCUUGGCAGACUAAAUGCGCCUAAGGAUAAGGUCGCCUUCCUCAAAACACCGGGCAUGAACCCUACGGCUAUGAUAGCGACACAGGGCUUGCUGAUAGCGUUCAGCACGCGUAGCAGCCCGGAGACGGUUCUCCUCGAUUAGCAUAGCAUCGUCACGCCAGUGCUGAUCUAGCGCUACUUCAUCGUAGGCAAGCACUCGAGGCGACCCCUAAAUGAGUUCCGUGGGGAUAAUUUCUUCUGCCCCGUAGACCAGGGAGAAGGGAGUCUACCUGGUAGCUCGACUUGGUGUUGUUCUGAGGGACCAGAGAACUACCGGCACCUCAUCGAUCCACCGCCUGCCGUGCUUCUGCAGCAUAUCAAAGGUUCUCGUCUUCAGUCCUCGCAGCAUUUCACGUUCGCCCUCUCAGCUUGUCCAUUGCUUUUGGGAUGUGUAACAGAGGCAAAUGAGAUCUUGCAUCCAAGGGCAUGAAUAUAUUGCAUGAAGGCGCGGCUCGUGAACUUGGUGCCAUUGUCGGUAAUGAUCCUUGCCGGGACUCCAAAGCGACACACCAAUUCUUUCAAGAACUUAAUAGCUGACUGAGCAGUCACCUUUCUCACGGCAGUCACUUCCGGCCACUUUGUAAACUUCUCGAUAGCAACGAACAAGAAUUCAAAGCCCCCGAUUGCUCGGGGGAGAGGGCCGAGGAUAUCGAGCCCCCAGACCGAAAAUGGCCAUGAUAAAGGGAUUGUCUGAAGAGCUUGGGCAGGCAGGUGGAUGUUCUUCGAAUGGAACUGGCAGGCUUCACAUUUGGUGACUAGCUCGACCGCAUCUUGGAGGGCUGUGGGCCAAUAGAAUCCUUGCCAGAAUGCUUUCCCAACUAAUGCCCUCGAUCCAAUGUGGGAGCCGCACUUGCCUUUGUGUAUUUCAGCUAGCAGUUCCUUUCCUUGUUCCUGGCAGAUGCACUUCAAUUUCACACCAUUGGGCCUCCUUCUGUAUAGAGUUUCAUCGACAAACUGAUACAUACUGGCCCUCCGGGCUACUCUUUCAGCUUCAUCUUGGUCGCGGGAAGCUCUCCGGUUUGGAGGAAGUGGACUAUGUGCCUUGCCCAAGUUGCGGUCCGGCAUAUGGUGAGGAGUUGUUUCCAGUAGGGUCUCUGCCAGGAGCGGACGGCUCUACUGGGAGAGGCUUACCGGAGUCCAACUUUCUCCUUUUCUAGGCCAUUGUUGUUGGGGAUACGGAGGGCUGAGUUAGAUGGAGAAUAAAAGUCCCUGGUUCCACAGGAAGCUUCUGCGCAGCACACUUUGACAGAUGAUCAGCUAUGCUGUUUUCCGCACGGGGUACGUGCCCUGUUUGCAAUCCGUCAAAGCGUUCCUCCAAUCUUCUCACUUCCUCAACAUAUGCCUCCAUCAAUGGGCUUUGGUAAUCCUUGUUGGCUUGUCUCACCACAAGUUGUGAAUCUCCUCGGAUGAUCAGCUUCUUAAUUCCCAAUUCUGCGGCAAUCCUGAGCCCGGCAAGGAGCCUUUCUACCUCUGUUGUAUUGUUGGUUGCCUCUUCCCGGGCAAAAUGCAUCUAGACGACGUACUUCAAGUGCUCCACAGAGGGGGCGACAAGAAGCACGCCAGCCCCUGCACCUUGUAGGGAAAAGGAACCAUUAAAAUACAUAAUCCAUUCUUGGGGUGAUUCCUUGCCGGGGAUAACUGUCUCUGGUACCUCCUCAUCAGGGGUUGGCGUCCAUUCUACAAUAAACUCUGCCAAUGCCCUGCUUUGGAUAGUUGAUGUGCUCUCAGACUUCAAACCAAAACUGGAUAACUCCAAAGCCCACUCCACUAUUCUACCGGUAGCCUCAGAGUUUCGGAAUAUCCUUUGCAACGGAAAACGAGUGACAAUCGUAAUCUCGUGAGCUUGGAAGUAGUGGCGCAGUUUCCUUGAGGCCAUGAUGAGACCAAAGAUCAACUUUUGCACGCCAGAGUACCUCGAUCUAGCCCCCCAUAACAAGGAGCUGACGAAGUACACUAGGCGUUGCACCAGUUUCUUCCUUGUCGGGUCCUUGGGGUUGCUCUCGCUGCCGUGCUCAUUGCUGUCUUGAUCCUUCUCUGCCUCUGCUGGUCCUUGCUCACUCUCUGCCUAAUCCACUUCCCGCUGCACCACCAAGGCUGCACUAACCACUUGGUUGGUUGCCGCUAAGUAUAGCAGCAAUGGCUCUUGUGGUUUGGGAGCAACCAGGGUAGGCACAGAGGACAAGUAGGUCUUCAACUCUUCCAAAGCUGCAUCUGCUUCCGGAGUCCACUUCAUGGGCCCUGCCUACUUCAAAAUUUUGAAGAACGGUAGUCGUGCUCGGCAGACUUGGAGAUGAAUCUGCUUAGCGCGGCAAUGCAUCCUAUCAGACGCGUCACAUCCUUAAAUGUCCUUGUUAGGAUUGGCUUCGAUCCCCCGAUGGGACACAAAGAACCCAAGCAGCUUGCCAGAUGGAACGCCAAACACACACUUCUUCGGGUUAGGCUUCAAGUUGAUCUUGCGCAGAUUAGCAAAUGUCUCCUCCAAAUCCUGAAUAAGGGUGGCUCUAUCCUUGGUCUUAGCCACAAUAUCAUCCAUAUAAGCUUCAAUGUUUCUGUGCAACUGUGGCUCGAAACCAAUCUGGACUGCCCUUGCAAAAGUGGACCCGGCACUCUUUAACCCAAAUGGCAUGCGGAUAAUACAGUACGUACCACAUUGAGUGAUGAACGAUGUCUUCUCUUCAUCUUCCUUAGACAUGAAGAUUUGGUGAUACCCAGAAUAUGCAUCCUAAAAGGAGAGCAAAUCGCAGCCUGAAGUGGAAUCCACAAUCUGAUCGAUGCUCGUCAAGGGAAACGGGUCCUUCGGGCAAGCUUUGUUGAGAUCGGUGAAAUCUAUGCAAAGCCUCUGUUGGGGAACGUAGUAAUUUCAAAAAAAAUCCUACGCACACACAGGAUCAUGGUGAUGCAUAGCAACGAGAGGGGAGAGUGUGUCCACGUACCCUCGUAGACCGAAAGCGGAAGCGUUAGCACAACGCGGUUGAUGUAGUCAUACGUCUUCACGAUCCGACCGAUCAAGUACCGAACGCACGGCACCUCCGAGUUCAUCACAUGUUCAACUCGAUGACGUCCCCUCGAACUCCGAUCCAGCCGAGCUUUGAGGGAGAGUUCCGUCAGCCCGACGGCGUGGUGACGAUGAUGAUGUUCUACCGACGCAGGGCUUCGCCUAAGCACCGCUAUGAUAUUAUCGAGGUGGAUUAUGGUGGAGGGGGCACUGCACACGGCUAAGAGAUCCAAGGGAUCAAUUGUUGUGUCUAUGGGGUGCUCCCCUCCUCCGUAUAUAAAGGGGGGGGGGAGAGGGCCGGCCAAGGGGAGGAGGCGCGCCCAAGGGGGGCAAUCCUACUCCAAGUAGGAUUCCCCCCUCUUUCCUAGUCCAAGUACGAGAGGAGAAGGAAGGGGAGGAGGACAAGAAGGAAAGGGGGGCGGCCCCCUAGUCCAAUUCGGUUUGGGCUAGGGGGGCUGCGCACCCCUAGCUGGCCGCCUCUCCUCUUCCACCACUUGGGCCCAUGAGGCCCAAUAACCCCCCGGGGGGUUCCGGUAACCCCCCGAUACUCCGGUAUAUGCUCGAUACUCUUCGAAACCAUUCCGGUGUCCGAACAUAGUCGUCCAAUAUAUCAAUCUUUACGUCUCGACCAUUUCGAGACUCCUCGUCAUGUCCGUGAUCACAUCCGGGACUCCGAACUACCUUCGGUACAUCAAAAAACAUAAACUCAUAAUAUAACCGUCAUCGAACUUUAAGCGUGCGGACCCUACGGGUUCGAGAACUAUGUAGACAUGACCGAGACACGUCUCCGGUCAAUAACCAAUAGCGGAACCUAGAUGCUCAUAUUGGCUCCCACAUAUUCUACAAAGAUCUUUAUCGGUCAAACCGCAUAACAACAUACGUUGUUCCCUUUGUCAUCGAUAUGUUACUUGCCCGAGAUUCGAUCGUCGGUAUCUCAAUACCUAGAUCAAUCUCGUUACCGGCAAGUCUCUUUACUCGUUCCAUAGUACAUCAUCCCGCAACUAACUCAUUAGUUGCAAUGCUUGCAAGGCUUAUAAUGAUGUGCAUUACCGAGUGGGCCUAGAGAUACCUCUCCGACAAUCAGAGUGACAAAUCCUAAUCUUUAAAUACGCCAACCCAACAAGUACCUUCGGAGACACCUGUAGAGCACCUUUAUAAUCACCCAGUUACGUUGUGACGUUUGGUAGCACACAAAGUGUUCCUCCGGUAAACGGGAGUUGCAUAAUCUCAUAGUCAUAGGAACAUGUAUAAGUCAUGAAGAAAGCAAUAGCAACAUACUAAACGAUCAAGUGCUAAGCUAACGGAAUGGGUCAUGUCAAUCACAUCAUUCUCCUAAUGAUGUGAUCCCGUUAAUCAAAUGACAAUUCUUUGUCUAUGGCUAGGAAACAUAACCAUCUUUGAUCAACAAGCUAGUCAAGUAGAGGCAUACUAGUGACACGCUGUUUGUCUAUGUAUUCACACAUGUAUUAUGUUUCCGGUUAAUACAAUUCUAGCAUGAAUAAUAAACAUCUAUCAUGAUAUAAGGAAAUAAAUAAUAACUUUAUUAUUGCCUCUAGGGCAUAUUUCCUUCAGUCUCCCACUUGCACUAGAGUCAAUAAUCUAGAUUACACAGCAAUGAUUCUAACACCCAUGGAGCCUUAGUGCUGAUAAUGUUUUGCUCGUGGUAGAGGCUUAGUCAACGGGUCUGCAACAUUCAGAUCCGUAUGUAUUUUGAAAAUCUCUAUGUCUCCCACCUGGACUUGAUCCCGGAUGGAGUUGAAGCGUCUCUUGAUGUGCUUGGUUCUCUUGUGAAAUCUGGAUUCCUUUGCCAAAGCAAUUGCACCAGUAUUGUCACAAAAGAUUUUCAUUGGACCCGAUGCACUAGGUAUGACACCUAGAUCGGAUAUGAACUCCUUCAUCCAGACUCCUUCAUUUGCUGCUUCCGAAGCAGCUAUGUACUCCGCUUCACAUGUAUAUCCCGCUACGACGCUUUGUUUAGAACUGCACCAACUGACAGCUCCACCAUUUAAUAAAAACACGUAUCAGGUUUGUGAUUUAGAAUCGUCCGGAUCAGUGUCAAAGCUUGCAUCGACGUAACCAUUUACGACGAGCUUUUUGUCACCUUCAUAAACAAGAAACAUAUCCUUAGUCCUUUUCAGGUAUUUCAGGAUGUUCUUGACCGCUGUCCAAUGAUCCACUCCUGGAUUACUUUGGUACCUCCCUGCUAAACUAAUAGCAGGGCACACAUCAGGUCUGGUACACAGCAUUGCAUACAUGAUAGAGCCUAUGGCUGAAGCAUAGGGAACAUCUUUCAUUUUCUCUCUAUCUUCUACAGUGGUCGGGCAUUGAGUCGUAGUCAACUUCACACCUUGUAACAUAGGCAAGAACCCUUUCUUUGCUUGAUCCAUUUUGAACCUCUUCAAAACUUUGUCAAGGUAUGUGCUUUUUGAAAGUCCAAUUAAGCGUCUCGAUCUAUCUCUAUUGAUCUUGAUGCCCAAUAUACAAGCAGCUUCACCGAGGUCCUUCACUGAAAAACUCUUAUUCAAAUAUCCUUUUAUGCUAUCCAGAAAUUCUAUAUCAUUUCCAAUGAACAAUAUGUCAUCCACAUAUAAUAUCAGAAAUGCUACAGAGCUCCCACUCACUUUCUUGUAAAUACAGGCUUCUCCAAAAGUCUGUAUAAAACCAUAUGCUUUGAUCACACUAUCAAAACAUUUAUUCCAACUCCGAGAGGCUUGCACCAGUUGCUACCUCUUGAGCACUGCGUUGGUUUUCCCUUGAAGAGGAAAGGGUGAUGCAGCAAAGUAGCGUAAGUAUUUCCCUCAGUUUUUGAGAACCAAGGUAUCAAUCCAGUAGGAGGCUACGCGCGAGUCCCUCGCACCUACACAAAACAAAUAAAUCCUUGCAACCAACGCGAUAAGGGGUUGUCAAUCCCUUCACCGUCACUUACGAGAGUGAGAUCUGAUAGAUAUGAUAGGAUAAUAUUUUUGGUAUUUUUGUGAUAAAGAUGCAAAGUAAAAUAAAAGCAAAGUAAAAGCAAAGGAAAUAACUAAGUGUUGGAAGAUUAAUAUGAUGAAGAUAGACCCGGGGGCCAUAGGUUUCACUAGUGGCUUCUCUCGAGAGCAUAAGUAUUUUACGGUGGGUGAACGAAUUACUGUUGAGCAAUUGACAGAAUUGAGCAUAGUUAUGAGAAUAUCUUGGUAUGAUCAUGUAUAUAGGCAUCACGUCCGAGACAAGUAGACCGAAUCCUGCCUGCAUCUACUACUAUUACUCCACUCAUCGACCGCUAUCCAGCAUGCAUCUAGAGUAUUAAGUUCAUGAAAACAGAGUAACGCCUUAAGCAAGAUGACAUGAUGUAGAGGGAUAAAUUCAUGCAAUAUGACAAAAAAAACCGUCUUGUUAUCCUCGAUGGCAACAAUACAAUACAUGCCUUGCUGCCCCUACUGUCACUGGGAAAGGACGCCGCAAGAUUGAACCCAAAGCUAAGCACUUCUCCCAUUGCAAGAAAGAUCAAUCUAGUAGGCCAAACCAAACUGAUAAUUCGAAGAGACUUGCAAAGAUAACCAAUCAUACAUAAAAGAAUUCAGAGAAGAUUCAAAUAUUGUUCAUAGAUAAACUUGAUCAUAAACCCACAAUUCACCGGUCUCAACAAACACACCGCAAAAGAAGAUUACAUCGAAUAGAUCUCCAUGAGAGAGGGGGAGAACAUUGUAUUGAGAUCCAAAAAGAGAGAAGAAGCCAUCUAGCUACUAACUAUGGACCCGAAGGUCUGAAGUAAACUACUCACACUUCAUCGGAGAGGCUAUGGUGUUGAUGUAGAAGCCCUCCAUGAUGGAUGCCCCCUCCGGCGGAGCUCGGGAACAGGCCCCAAGAUGGGAUCUCGUGGGUACAGAAGGUUGCGGCGGUGGAAUUAGGUUUUUGGCUCCGUAUCUGAUCGUUUGGGGGUACGUAGGUAUAUAUAGGAGGAAGGAGUACGUCGGUGGAGCAACAGGGGGCCCACGAGGGUGGAGGGCGCGCCCUGGGGGGUAGGCGUGCCCCCUACCUCGUGACCUCCUCCUUUGUUCCUUGACGUAGGGUCCAAGUCUCCUGGAUCAUAUUCUUCCUAAAAAUCACGUUCCCGAAGGUUUCAUUCCGUUUGGACUCCAUUUGAUAUUCCUUUUCUGCGAAACUCUGAAAUAGGCAAAAAACAGCAAUUCUGGGCUGGGCCUCCGGUUAAUAGGUUAGUCCCAAAAAUAAUAUAAAAGUGAAUAAUAAAGCACAAUAAUGUCCAAAACAGUAGAUAAUAUAGCAUGGAGCAAUCAAAAAUUAUAGAUACGUUGGAGACGUAUCAAGCAUCCCCAAGCUUAAUUCCUGCUCGUCCUCGAGUAGGUAAAUGAUAAAAACAGAAUUUUUGAUGCGGAGUGCUACUUGGCAUAAUUUCAAUGUAAUUCUUCUUAAUUGUGGUAUGAAUAUUCAGAUCUGAAAGAUUCAAGACAAAAGUUUAAUAUUGACAUAAAAAUAAUAAUAAUACUUCAAGCAUACUAACAAAGCAAUCAUGUCUUCUCAAAAUAACAUGGCCAAAGAAAGUUAUCCCUACAAAAUCAUAUAGUCUGGCUAUGCUCUAUCUUCACCACACAAAGUAUUUAAAUCAUGCACAACCCCAAUGACAAGCCAAGCAAUUGUUUCAUACUUUUGACGUUCUCAAACUUUUUCAAUCUUCACGCAAUACAUGAGCGUGAGCCAUGGACAUAGCACUAUAUGUGGAAUAGAAUGGUGGUUGUGGAGAAGACAAAAAGGGAGAAGAUAGUCUCACAUCAACUAGGCGUAUCAACGGGCUAUGGAGAUGCCCAUCAAUAGAUAUCAAUGUGAGUGAGUAGGGAUUGCCAUGCAACGGAUGCACUAGAGCUAUACGUAUAUGAAAGCUCAACAAAAGAAACUAAUUGGGUGUGCAUCCAACUCGCUUGCUCACGAAGACCUAGGGCAUUUUGAGGAAGCCCAUCAUUGGAAUAUACAAGCCAAGUUCUAUAAUGAAAAUUUCCCACUAGUAUAUGAAAGUGACAAAAUGAGAGACUCUCUAUCAUGAAGAUCAUGGUGCUACUUUGAAGCACAAGUGUGGUAAAAGCAUAGUAACAUUGUCCCUUCUCUCUUUUUCUCUCAUUUUUCUAUUUGGGCCUUUUUUUUAUGGCCUCUUUUUUUUCGUCCGGAGUCUCAUCCCGACUUCUGGGGGAAUCAUAGUCUCCAUCAUCCUUUCCUCACUUGGGACAAUGCUCUAAAAAUGAAGAUCAUCACACUUUUAUUGUCUUACAACUCAACAAUUACAACUCGAUACUUAGAACAAAAUAUGACUCUAUAUGAAUGCCUCCGGCGGUGUACCGGGAUAUGCAAUGAAUCAAGAGUGACAUGUAUGAAAGAAUUAUGAACGGUGGCUUUGCCACAAAUACGAUGUCAACUACAUGAUCAUGCAAAGCAAUAUGACAAUGAUGGAGCAUGUCAUAAUAAACGGAAUGGUGGAAAGUUGCAUGGCAAUAUAUCUCGGAAUGGCUAUGGAAAUGCCAUGAUAGGUAGGUAUGGUGGCUGUUUUGAGGAUGGUUUAUGGUGGGUGUAUGAUACCGGUGAAAAGUGCGCGGUAUUAGAGAGGCUAGCAAUGGUGGAAGGAAGAAGAGUGCGUAUAGUCCAUGGACUCAACAUUAGUCAUAAAGAACUCAUAUACUUAUUGUAAAAAUCUACAAGUUAUCAAAGCAAAGUAUUACGCGCAUGCUCCUAGGGGGAUAGAUUUGUAGGAAAAGACCAUCGCUCAUCCCCGACCGCCACUCAUAAGGAAGACAAUCAAUAAGUAAAUCAUGCUCCGACUUCAUCACAUAACGGUUCACCAUACGUGCAUGCUACGGGAAUCACAAACUUUAACACAAGUAUCUCUCAAAUUCACAACUACUCAACUAGCAUGACUCUAAUAUCACCAUCUUUAUAUCUCAAAACAAUUAUCAAGCAUCAACUUUUCAUAGUAUUCAACACACUUAUAAGAAUUUUUUACUAUUAUUGAAUACCAAGCAUAUUAGGAUUAUUCAAGCAAUUACCAUGCUAUUCAAGACUCUCAAAAUAAAAUAAGUGAAGCAUGAGAGAUCAAUAGUUUCUAUAAAACAAAUCCACCACUGUGCUCUAAAAGAUAUAAGUGAAGUACUAGAGCAAAACUAUAUAACUCAAAAGAUAUAAGUGAAGCACAUAGAGUAUUCUAACAAAUUCCAAAUCAUGUAUGGCUCUCUCAAAAGGUGUGUACAGAAAGGAUGAUUGUGGUAAACUAAAAGGCAAAGACUCAAAUCAUACAAGACGCUCCAAGCAAAACACAUAUCAUGUGGUGAAUAAAAAUAUAGCUUCAAGUAAAGUUACCGAUGGAAGUAGACGAAAGAGGGGAUGCCUUCCGGGGCAUCCCCAAGCUUUGGCUUUAUGGUGUCCUUAGAUUAUCUUGGGGGUUCCAUGGGCAUCCCCAAGCUUAGGCUCUUGCCACUCGUUGUUCCAUAAUCCAUCAAAUCUUUGACCCAAAACUUGAAAACUUCACAACACAAAACUUAACAGAAAAUCUCGUGAGCUCCGUUAGCGAAAGAAAACAAAAGACCACUUCAAGGUACUGUAAUGAACUCAUUCUUUAUUUAUAUUGGUGUUAAACCUACUGUAUUCCAACUUCUCUAUGGUUUAUAAACUAUUUUACUAGCCAUAGAUUCAUCAAAAUAAGCAAACAACAGAUGGAAAACAGAAUCUGUCAAAAACAGAACAGUCUGUAGCAAUCUGUAACUAACUUAAACUUAUGGAACUCCAAAAUAGGAAGACCUAGACAAUUUGUUUAUUGAUCAGCAGCAAUUGGAAUCACUAUUUUAUCACUUCCUGGUGAUUUUUAACAAUUGUUUUCGUGAACAGAAAGUUUCUGGAAAUUUCUGCAAGAUCAAAUAACUAUCAUCCAAGAAGAUCCUAUAGGUUUAACUUGGCACAAACACUAAUUAAAACAUAAAAACGCAUCUAACCAGAGGCUAGAACAAAUAUUUAUUCCUAAACAGAAGCAAAAAGCAAAAAAAAACUAAAAAUAAAAUUGGGUUGCCUCCCAACAAGCGCUAUCGUUUAAUGCCCCUAGCUAGGCAUAAAAGCAAGGAUAGAUCUAGGUAUUGCCAUCUUUGGUAGGCAAUCCAUAAAUGGCUCUCAUGAUAGAUUCAUAUGGUAAUUUUAUUUUCUUCCUAGGGAAGUGUUCCAUGCCUUUAUUAAAUGUAAAUUGGAAUCUAAUAUUCCCUUCCUUCAUAUCAAUAAUUGCACCAAUCGUUCUAAGGAAAGGUCUACCAAGAAUAAUAGGACAUGAAGGAUUGCAAUCUAUAUCAAGAACGAUAAAAUCUACGGGCACAUAAUUCCUAUUUGCAACAAUAAGAACAUCAUUAAUUCUUCCCAUAGGUUUCUUAAUAGUGGAAUCUGCAAGGUGCAAGUUUAGAGAGCAAUCAUCAAAAUCACGGAAAUCUAGCAAAUCGCACAAAGUUUUGGGAAUAGUGGAAACACUAGCACCCAAAUCACAUAAAGCAUAGAACUCAUGAUCCUUAAUCUUAAUUUUAAUAGUAGGUUCCCACUCAUCAUAAAGUUUUCUAGGAAUAGAAACUUCCAACUCAAGCUUCUCUUCAUAAGAUUGCAUCAAGGCAUCAACGAUAUGUUUAGUAAACGCUUUAUUUUGACUAUAAGCAUGAGGAGAAUUUAGCACGGAUUGCAACAAGGAAAUACAAUCUAUCAAAGAGCAAUUUUCAUAAUUAAAUUCCUUGAAAUCCAAAAUAGUGGGUUUAGCAACAUCUAGGGUUUUGAUCUCUUCAAUCCCACUUUUAUCAAUUUUGGCAUCAAGAUCUAAAAACUCUGAAUUUUUGGAAUGCCUUCUAGGAAAAGGUGGAUCAUAUUCAGUCCCAUCAUUAUCAAGAUUCAUAUUGCAAAACAAACAUUUAAUAGGAGACACAUCAAUAACUUUUAGAUCUUCAUCUUUAUUUUCAUAGAAAUUUGAAGAACGCGCUUUCAUAAAGAAAUCUUUCUUAGCAUGCAUUCUAGCGGUUCUUUCUUUGCACUCAUCAAUGGAAAUUCUCAUGGCUUUGAGAGAAUCAUUGAUAUCAUGCUUAGGAGGAAUAGAUCUAAGCUUUAAAGAAUCAAGAUCAAGAGAAAUUCUAUCAACGUUCCUAACCAAUUCAUCAACUUUAAGCAAUUUCUCUUCAAGCAAAGCAUUGAAAUUCUUUUGCGAAUUCAUAAACUCUUUAACACUAGUCUUUAAUUCAGAGGGCAUCUUAUUAAAAUUUCCAUAAGAGUUGUUGUAGGAAUUACCAUAAUUAUUAUAGGAAUUUCUAGGAUAAGGCCUAGGAUUAAAGUUUCCUCUAUACGCGUUGUUACCAAAAUUAUUCCUACCAACAAAAUUCACAUCCAUAGAUUCAUUAUUAUUCUCAAUCAAAGUAGACAAAGGCAUAUCAUUAGGAUCAGAAGAAACACUCUUAGUAGCAAAUAAUUUCAUAAGUUCGUCCAUCUUUCCACUCAAAACAUUAAUUUCUUCUAUCGCAUGCACUUUUUUAUUAGUAGAUCUUUCAGUGUGCCAUUGAGAAUAAUUAACCAUAAUAUUAUCUAGGAAUUUAGUAGCUUCUCCUAAAGUGAUUUCCAUAAAAGUGCCUCCCGCGGCCGAAUCUAAAAGAUUUCUAGAAGCAAAAUUCAAUCCGGCAUAAAUUUUUUGUAUAAUCAUCCAUAAAUUCAAACCAUGAGUAGGGCAAUUACGUAUCAUUAAUUUCAUCCUCUCCCAUGCUUGUGCAACAUCUUCAUGAUCAAGUUGCUUAAAAUUCAUAAUAUCGUUUCCAAGAGAGAUGAUCUUAGCGGGAGGAAAAUACUUAGAGAUAAAAGCAUCUUUGCACUUGUUCCAAGAAUCAAUACUAUUUUAGGCAAAGACGAAAACCAAGCUUUAGCACGAUCUAUAAGUGAAAAAGGAAACAGCUUUAGUUUAACAAUAUCAUUGCCAAUAUCUUUCUUCUUUUGCAUAUCACACAAAUCAACGAAGCUAUUUAGAUGAGUAGCGGCAUCUUCACUAGGAAGGUCGGCGAAUUGAUCUUUCAUGACAAGAUUCAACAAAGCAGCAUUGAUUUGACAAGAUUCAGUAUCGGUAAGAGGAGCAAUCGGAGUGCUAAGGAAAUCAUUAUUGUUGGUAUUGGUAAAGUCACAUAAUUUGGUAUUAUCUUGAGCCAUCGUGACAAACAAGCAAUCCAACACAUGAGCAACCAAAAAGCAAGCGAAAAAGAGGCGAACGAAAAAGAGAGGGCGAAUAAAAUGGCAAGGGUGAAGUGGGGGAGAGGAAAACAAGAGGCAAAUGGAAAAUAAUGUAAUGCGGGAGAUAAGGGAUUGUGAUGGGUACUUGGUAUGUUGACUUUUGCGUAGACCUCCCCGGCAACGGCGCCAGAAAUCCUUCUUGCUACCUCUUGAGCACUGCGUUGGUUUUCCCUAGAAGAGGAAAGGGUGAUGCAGCAAAGUAGCGUAAGUAUUUCCCUCAGUUUUUGAGAACCAAGGUAUCAAUCCAGUAGGAGGCUACGCGCGAGUCCCUCGCACCUACACAAAACAAAUAAAUCCUCGCAACCAACGCGAUAAGGGGUUGUCAAUCCCUUCACGGUCACUUACGAGAGUGAGAUCUGAUAGAUAUGAUAGGAUAAUAUUUUUGGUAUUUUUGUGAUAAAGAUGCAAAGUAAAAUAAAAGCAAAGUAAAAGCAAAGGAAAUAACUAAGUGUUGGAAGAUUAAUAUGAUGAAGAUAGACCCGGGGGCCAUAGGUUUCACUAGUGGCUUCUCUCGAGAGCAUAAGUAUUUUACGGUGGGUGAACGAAUUAUUGUUGAGCAAUUGACAGAAUUGAUCAUAGUUAUGAGAAUAUCUAGGUAUGAUCCUGUAUAUAGGCAUCACGUCCGAGACAAGUAGACCGACUCCUGCCUGCAUCUACUACUAUUACUCCACUCAUCGACCGCUAUCCAGCAUGCAUCUAGAGUAUUAAGUUCAUGAAAACAGAGUAACGCCUUAAGCAAGAUGACAUGAUGUAGAGGGAUAAAUUCAUGCAAUAUGAUAAAAACCCCAUCUUGUUAUCCUCGAUGGCAACAAUACAAUACGUUCCUUGCUGCCCCUACUGUCACUAGGAAAGGACACCACAAGAUUGAACCCAAAGCUAAGCACUUCUCCCAUUGCAAGAAAGAUCAAUCUAGUAGGCCAAACCAAACUGAUAAUUUGAAGAGACUUGCAAAGAUAACCAAUCAUACAUAAAAGAAUUCAGAGAAGAUUCAAAUAUUGUUCAUAGAUAAACUUGAUGAUAAACCCAAAAUUCAUCGGUCUCAACAAACACACCGCAAAAGAAGAUUACAUCGAAUAGAUCUCCACGAGAAAGGGGGAGAACAUUGUAUUGAGAUCCCAAAAGAGAGAAGAAGCCAUCUAGCUACUAUCUAUGGACCCGAAGGUCUGAAGUAAACUACUCACACUUCAUCGGAGAGGCUAUGGUGUUGAUGUAGAAGUCCUCCGUGAUGGAUGCCCCCUCCGGCGGAGCUCCGGAACAGGCCCCAAGAUGGGAUCUCGUGGGUACCGAAGGUUGCGUCGGUGGAAUUAGGUUUUUGGCUCCGUAUCUGAUCGUUUGGGGGUACGUAGGUAUAUAUAGGAGGAAGGAGUACGUCGGUGGAGCAACAGGGGGCCCACGAGGGUGGACGGCACGCCCCUGGGGGGUAGGCGCGCCCCCUACCUCGUGGCCUCCUCCUUUGUUUCUUGACGUAGGGUCCAAGUCUCCUGGAUCAUAUUCUUCUUAAAAAUCACGUUCCCGGAGGUUUCAUUCCGUUUGGACUCCGUUUGAUAUUCCUUUUCUGUGAAACUCUGAAAUAGGCAAAAAACAGCAAUUCUAGGCUGGGCCUCCGGUUAAUAGGUUAGUCCCAAAAAUAUUAUAAAAGUGAAUAAUAAAGCCCAAUAAUGUCCAAAACAGUAGAUAAUAUAGCAGGGAGCAAUCAAAAAUUAUAGAUACAUUGGAGACGUAUCACCAGUCCAUAAAUGGAUCGCUGGAGCUUGCACACUUUGUUAGCUCCCUUUGGAUCGACAAAACCUUCCGGUUGCAUCAUAUACAACUCUUCUUCCAGAAAUCCAUUCAGGAAUGCAGUUUUGACAUCCAUUUGGCAAAUUUCAUAAUCAUAAAAUGCGGCAAUUGCUAACAUGAUUCGGACAGACUUAAGCAUAGCCACGGGUGAGAAGGUCUCAUCGUAGUCAAUCCCUUGAACUUGUCGAAAACCUUUUGCAACAAGUCGAGCUUUAUAGACAGUAACAUUACCGUCAGCGUCAGUCUUCUUCUUGAAGAUCCAUUUAUUCUCGAUGGCUUGCCGAUCAUCGGGCAAGUCAACCAAAGUCCAUACUUUGUUCUCAUACAUGGAUCCCAUCUCGGAUUUCAUGGCCUCAAGCCAUUUUGCGGAAUCUGGGCUCACCAUCGCUUCUUCAUAGUUCGUAGGUUCAUCAUGGUCUAGUAACAUAACCUCCAGAACAAGAUUACCGUACCACUCUGGUGCGGAUCUUACUCUGGUUGACCUACGAGGUUCAGUAAUAACUUGAUCUGAAGUUUCAUGAUCAUCAUCAUUAACUUCCUCACUAAUUGGUGUAGACGUCACAGGAACCGGUUUCUGUGAUGAACUAUUUUCCAAUAAGGGAGAAGGUACUGUUACCUCAUCAAGUUCUACUUUCCUCCCACUCACUUCUUUCGAGAGAAACUCCUUCUCUAGAAAGGAUCCAAAUUUAGCAACAAAACUCUUGCCUUCAGAUCUGUGAUAGAAGGUGUACCCAACAAUUUCUUUUGGGUAUCCCAUGAAGACACAUUUCUCUGAUUCGGGUUCGAGCUUAUCAGGUUGAAGCUUUUUCACAUAAGCAUCGCAGCCCCAAACUUUAAGAAACGACAACUUUGGUUUCUUGCCAAACCACAGUUCAUAAGGCGUCGUCUCAACAGAUUUUGAUGGUGCCCUAUUUAACGUGAAUGCAGCCAUCUCUAAAGCAUAACCCCAAAACGAUAGCGGUAAAUCAGUAAGAGACAUCAUAGAUCGCGCCAUAUCUAGUAAAGUAUGAUUACGACGUUCGGACACACCAUUACGCUGUGGUGUUCCAGGUGGCGUGAGUUGCAAAACUAUUCCGCAUUGUUUCAAAUGUAGACCAAACUCGUAACUCAAAUAUUCUCCUCCAUAAUCAGAUCGUAGAAACUUUAUUUUCUUGUUACGGUGGUUUUCCACUUCACUCUGAAAUUCUUUGAACUUUUCAAAUGUUUCAGACUUAUGUUUCAUUAAGUAGAUAUACCCAUAUCUGCUUAAAUCAUCUGUGAAGGUGAGAAAAUAACGAUACCCGCGGCGAGCCUCAACAUUCAUUGGACCACAUACAUCUGUAUGUAUGAUUUCCAACAAAUCUGUUGCUCGCUCCAUAGUUCCAGAGAACGGCGUUUUAGUCAUCUUGCCCAUGAGGCACGGUUCGCAAGUACCAAGUGAUUCAUAAUCAAGUGGUUCCAAAAGUCCAUCGGUAUGGAGUUUCUUCAUGCGCUUUACACCAAUAUUGUAACACCCCGGAUGUAACUUUCCAUAUUUGUAACUCCAACUCUUGCCAUUUCUGGCUAUGUGUUAUGAUAUUCCCUUCAUGGUCGGGUUUUGUCUUUUGUUUUGCAUUUUUUUCAUGUCAUGCAUCUCAUACCAUGUCAUCAUGUGCAUUGCUUUUGCAUACGUGUUCGUCUCAUGCAUCCGAGCAUUUUCCCCGUUGUCCGUUUUGUAAUCCGGCACUCCCACCUCCUCCGGCGCACCCCUCUUGUUUUCUUUUCGUAAGCGGGUGUUGAACGUUCUCGGAAUGGACCGAGGCUUGUCAAGUGGCCUUGGUAUACCACCGGGAGACCACCGGUCAAGUUUCGUUACAUUUGGAGGUCGUUUGGUACUCCAACGGUUAACCGGGUAACCGCAGAUGCCUUUUAUGUGUUGCAGCAAAAAACCCCUCCAAACAGCCCAAAACCCCUCUAAGUCAUCUCCAUGCUCUAGGUCGUUCGAUCACGAUCGUGUGGGCGAAAACCGCACUCCAUUUGGAGUCUCCUAGCUCCCUCUAGCUAUAUAUAUGUGAGUCCCCCCGAAACAUUCGCAGAUCAAACCCUAAAAUCGCCCCUCCGCGCGCCGGACGUGUCCGUACCGCCGCCGGACGAACCCGCCACCGCCCUCGCCCACUCGCAGAGUGCCACAUGGCAGCCCGUACGCCGGCCGCCGCCGAAGCCCGCGAGCCCGGGGCCGGCCCCCGCGGCCCGCAACGCUGCCGGCCGCCCGGGUCCCCGCUCCCCGCCGCCCGAGCGCCCUCCCCGCGCCGCCUCCUCUCCGCCAUCGCCGCCACGCCGCCGCUGCAGCACCCCGCGCCGCCUCCUCUCCGCCGGCGCCGCCGCGCCUCGCCGUCUCCAGCGCCGCCCGAGCCCUGCUCCCCUCGCCGCCGUCUCCCUCUCCCUCCUCUCCGCCGGCGCCGCCCCUCUCCAUCUCCGGCAGCAGCUCCGGCCGCCCCGUCGCCUCUACCUCCGGCGAGCUUCGGCAGGCCAGAUCUGGAUCGAACCUAGGUUGACUUUUUCCCCCUGUCAAAAUAUUUCUAAGUCCUAAUAUUUUUACAGUACUUGCCCCUGUUCAUCGCAUCAUAACUCUCUGCAUAUAGCUCCGUAUCGCGUGUGUAAUAUGUCGAAAUGUUCGCCUCUUGAUGAUCUACAUUUUUUUCCAUUGCACCAUGUUCAUUUGAGUCCAUCUUGAUGUCCAAAUCUCUGGUGCAAGAGUGCUACUUGCUGUUAACUGCUGUUACUUAUCAGAACUUGGAGAUUUGUUAUUUUUGUUGCAUUUAAUCUGUGCAUCUUAUGAGUAUGAGCUCUACUUGGGUUUUGUUGUAUGCCAUGCCAUCUUUAUAGAGGUGUAUGACAUGUAUUUCUGUGAUCUCUGUGGUGACUAGCCCAAGCAUGCAAACUAGGCUUCGUAAUGUUUCUGAUUUCAGGGACUUGGUAAUUUUACCAAGUCUGUGACUGCGGUUAUUUUGUUGCUAUGUAUCCAUGUGGUUACAGAGAGAUCCAUGCUUAUUUUGGUGAUGUUCAAUAAGGAUGUUUUGUAGAUAUUAUUGUAAUUGAUCCAUUAAUGCCCUUGUUUGCAAUUAUGGAGUGCCAUAGCAUGACUAAAUCUUGCUCUACUUUUUGCUAUAAAAUAUUUCUGGCAGAUUCUUAACAUGAUAUUCAAUUUUGCCAAGCUUUUUGUAGUUGUUUCAUACAUGCUAUGUAUUUGCUCUUGCCAUGGAUAGCUUCAAACACAUGCCAUCUUGCUGUAGGUAUGCUUGUUUUUUCAUGAAUGUCUUUGUGGUGGGUGCAUCAAGCUCACCAAGAUGCCUUCAUAUUAUUGUUUCUGCCAUGCUCUGUUUUCUGCUAAGUCUGAAACCUGUUAACGAAACUUGCUAUGUUUAUAUGGUUACCAUCAUAUCUUCUGGUCCUUUUUUGCUUAUGGUCAUUAAGGGACUUUUGUCAUAUGCAUUUAGUAGAAUACUUCCAUGCCUUGUUUUGCCAUGUUAAGUUCCCGUAGCAUGUUUAUUUCGUGCUCUGAACAUUGCUACGUGAUGCUGUUUCAGUCAUGUCCAGUAAUUUCACUAAGUCUGUAAACCUGUUAUCUUUUGCACUUUUGCCAUGCUUGUUUGAGCCUGCUAUAUUGUGAUCUAGCCGUAGCUCAGUGUUCAUCUUUUGUCAAGCAUCUCCUGUAGAUUACUUUCAUAUGCUUUGUUGCUAUGUUGGAGUGCUGUAGCAUAGUUUCUCGGUGUAUUUUAAGUGCUAUCAUGCUGUUAAUUGCAGAUUCCUGUCAUUCUUGUUUUGCUUGCCAUUUGCAAACCGUGCAUCCGUUUCCGGUGAUCUUUAUAUCGGUUUCGACCGAAAUCAUCUCAUCUUUCGAGUGGCAUACUUGGUUUGCCAAGUUACUGCCUUGUUCAUCAUUUUCCUUCCGGAGCACGCAUAUGCAUAUCAUAUCUUGCAUAUCAUUCGUGUAUUGCAUCAUUUUGCUUGUGCAUUUCCCGUGAUUGAUUGUGGUUCCGUUGCUUGUGUUCUUAUUUUGGGUAGAGCCGGGAGACGAGUUCGUGAACGAGGAACCUGUUGAGUACGUUUACGAGGAUCAAGCUUUCGACAACUCUGAGAACCUUGCAGGCAAGAUGACCACACCCUCGAAAUCACUUCUAUCUUUGCUUUGCUAGUUGUUCGUUCUAUUGCCAUGGUGCGCUACCUACCACUUGCUAUAUCAUGCCUCCCAUAUUGCCAUGUCAGCCUCUAACCAUCCUUUCCUAGCAAACCGUUGUUUGGCUAAGUUACCGCUUUUGCUCAGCCCUUCUUAUAGCGUUGCUAGUUGCAGGUGAAGAAGUUUGUUCCAUGUUGGAACAUGGAUAUGUUGGGAUAUCACAAUAUCUCUUAUUUAAUUAAUGCAUCUAUAUAUUUGGUAAAGGGUGGAAGGCUCGGCCUUAUGCCUGGUGUUUUGUCCCACUUUUGCCGCCCUAGUUUCCGUCUUACCGGUAUUAUGUUCCUUGAGUUUGCGUUCCUUACGCGGUUGGGUGAUUUAUGGGACCCCCUUGACAGUUCGCCUUGAAUAAAACUCCUCCAGCAAGGCCCAACCUUGGUUUUACCAUUUUCCACCUAAGCCUUUUCCCCCGGGUUUUCGCGAGCCUGAGGGUCAUCUUUAUUUAAACCCCCGGGCCAGUGUUCCUCUAAGUGCUGGUCCAAACUAGAGCCACUUGCAGCGCCACCUUGGGGAAACUCGAGGAUUGGUUUUAGUUGUACAUAGUGUUCAUCCGGUGUGCCCUGAGAACGAGAUAUGUGCAGCUCCUAUCGGGAUUUGUCGGCACAUUCGGGCGGCUUUGCUGGUCUUGUUUUACCAUUGUCGAAAUGUCCUAUAAACCGGGAUUCCGAGACUGAUCGGGUCUUCCUGGGAGAAGGUUUAUCCUUCGUUGACCGUGAGAGCUUAUGACGGGCUAAGUUGGGACACCCCUGCAGGGUAUUAUCUUUCGAAAGCCGUGCCCGCGGUUAUGAGGCAGAUGGGAAUUUGUUAAUGUCCGGUUGUAGAGAACUUGUCACUUGACCCAAUUAAAAUACAUCAACCGUGUGUGUAGCCGUGAUGGUCUCUUCUCGGCGGAGUCUGGGAAGUGAACACGGUUUGAGUUAUGCAUGAACGUAAGUAGUUUCAGGAUCACUUCUUGAUCAUUUCUAGCUUCGCGACCGUUGCGUUGCUUCUCUUCUCGCUCUCAUUUGCGUAUGUUAGCCACCAUAUAUGCUUAUUGCCUGCUGCAGCUCCACCUCAUUACACCAUCCUUUCCUAUAAGCUUAAAUAGUCUUGAUCUCGCGGGUGUGAGAUUGCUGAGUCCUCGUGACUCACAGAUUCUACCAAAACAGUUGCAGGUGCCGACGAUGCCAGUGCAGGUGACGCAACCGAGCUCAAGUGGGAGUUCGAUGAGGAACGUGGCCGUUACUAUGUGUCUUUUCCCGAUGAUCAGUAGUGGAGCCCAGUCGGGACGAUCGGGGAUCUAGCAUUUGGGGUUAUCUUAUUUUCAUUUAGAUUUGACCGUAGUCGGUCUAUGUGUGGAUUUUGGAUGAUGUAUGAAUUAUAUUUAUGUAUUGUGUGAAGUGGCGAUUGUAAGCCAACUCUCGUUAUCCCAUUCUUGUUCAUUACAUGGGAUUGUGUGAAGAUGACCCUUCUUGCGACCAAACCACAAUGCGGUUAUGCCUCUAAGUCAUGCCUCGACACGUGGGAGAUAUAGCCGCAUCAUGGGCGUUACAAAUAUGACCUAAACGGUAGUGCCACAAAUAAGUUGCACUAUCAUUAUCAACUCUGCAUCUUUUGGCCUCAAUAUUAUGAAUAUGUGUAUCACUACUAUCCAGAUUUAAUAUAAAUAGACCACUCCUCAAGGGUGCAUGACCAUAAAAGAUAUUACUCAUAUAAAUAGAACAACUAUUAUUCUCUGAUUUAAAUGAAUAACUGUCUCGCAUCAAACAAGAUCCAGAUAUAAUGUUCAUGCUUAACGCUAGCACCAAAUAACAAUUAUUUAGGUCUAAAACUAAUCUCGAAGGUAGAUGUAGAGGUAGCGUGCCGAUCGCGAUCACAUCGACUUUGGAACCAUUUCCCACGUGCAUUGUCACCUCGUCCUUAGCUAAUCUUCGCUUAAUCCGUAGUCCCUGUUUCGAGUUGCAAAUAUUAGCAACAAAACCAGUAUCAAAUACCCAGGUGCUACUGCGAGCAUUAGUAAGGUACACAUCAAUAACAUGUAUAUCACAUAUACCUUUAUUCACCUUGCCAUCCUUCUUAUCCGCCAAAUACUUGGGGCAGUUCCGCUUCAGUGACCAGUCUGCUUGCAGUAGAAGCACUCAGUCUCAGGCUUAGGUCCAGACUUGGGUUUCUUCUCUUGAGCAGAACCUUGUUUGUUGUUCUUCUUGAAGUUCCCCUUCUUCUUCCCUUUGCCCUUUUUCUUGAAACUAGUGGUCUUAUUGACCAUCAACACUUGAUGCUCCUUCUUGAUUUCUACCUCCGCAGCCUUUAGCAUUGCGAAGAGCUCGGGAAUCGUCUUAUCCAUCCCUUGCAUGUUAUAGUUCAUCACGAAGCUCUUGUAGCUUGGUGGCAGUGAUUGAAGAAUUCUGUCAAUGACGCUAUCAUCUGGAAGAUUAACUCCCAGUUGAAUCAAGUGAUUGUUAUACCCAGACAUUCUGAGUAUAUGCUCACUGACAGAACUAUUCUCCUCCAUCUUGCAGUUGUAGAACUUAUUGGAGACUUCAUAUAUCUCAAUCCGGUCAUUUGCUUGAAAUAUUAACUUCAACUCCUGGAACAUCUCAUAUGCUCCAUGACGUUCAAAACGUCGUUGAAGUCCCGGUUCUAAGCCGUAUAGCAUGGCACACUGAACUAUCGAGUAUUCAUCAGCUUUGCUCUGCCAGACGUUCAUAACAUCUUGUGUUGCUCCUGCAGCAGGUUUGGCACCUAGCGGUGCUUCCAGGACGUAAUUCUUCUGUGCAGCAAUGAGGAUAAUCCUCAAGUUACGGACCUAGUCCGUGUAAUUGCUACCAUCAUCUUUCAACUUUGCUUUCUCAAGGAACGCAUUAAAAUUCAACGGAACAACAGCACGAGCCAUCUAUCUACAACAAACAUAGACAUGCAAAAUACUAUCAAGUACUAAGUUCAUGAUAAAUUUAAGUUCAAUUAAUCAUAUUACUUAAGAACUCCCACUUAGAUAGACAUCCCUCUAAUCAUCUAAGUGAUCACGUGAUCCAAAUCAACUAAACCAUGUCCGAUCAUCACGUGAGAUGGAGUAGUUUCAAUGGUGAACAUCACUAUGUUGAUCAUAUCUACUAUAUGAUUCACGCUCGACCUUUCGGUCUCAGUGUUACGAGGCCAUAUCUGCAUAUGCUAGGAUCGUCAAGUUUAACCUGAGUAUUCCGCGUGUGCAACUGUUUUGCACCCAUUGUAUUUGAACGUAGAGCCUAUCACACCCGAUCAUCACGUGGUGUCUCAGCACGAAGAACUUUCGCAAUGGUGCAUACUCAGGGAGAACACUUUUAUCUUGAAAUUUAGUGAGAGAUCAUCUUAUAAUGCUACCGUCAAUCAAAGCAAGAUAAGAUGCAUAAAAGAUAAACAUCACAUGCAAUCAAUAUAAGUGAUAUGAUAUGGCCAUCAUCAUCUUGUGCUUGUGAUCUCCAUCUCCGAAGCACCGUCAUGCUCACCAUCGUCACCGGCGCGACACCUUGAUCUCCAUCGUAGCAUCGUUGUCCUCUCGCCAACUUAUGCUUCUACGACUAUCGCUACCGCUUAGUGAUAAAGUAAAGCAUUACAGGGCGAUUGCAUUGCAUACAAUAAAGCGACAACCAUAUGGCUCCUGCUAGUUGCCGAUAACUCGGUUACAAAACAUGAUCAUCUCAUACAAUAAAAUUUAGCAUCAUGCCGACCAUAUCACAUCACAACAUGCCCUGCAAAAACAAGUUAGAUGUCCUCUACUUUGUUAUUGCAAGUUUUACAUGGCUGCUACGGGCUUAGCAAGAACUGUUCUUACCUACGCAUCAAAACCACAACGAUAGUUCGUCAAGUCAGUGUUGUUUUAACCUUCUCAAGGACCGGGCGUAGCCACACUCGGUUCAACUAAAGUUGGAGAAACUGACACCCGCCAGCCACCUGUGUGCAAAGCACGUCGGUAGAACCAGUCUCGCAUAAGCGUACGCGUAAUGUCGGUUCGGGCCGCUUCAUCCAACAAUACCGUCGAACCAAAGUAUGACAUGCUGGUAAGCAGUAUGACUUGUAUCGCCCACAACUCACUUGUGUUCUACUCGUGCAUAUAACAUCUACGCAUAAAACCAGGCUCAGAUGCCACUGUUGGGGAACGUAGUAAUUUCAAAAAAAAUCCUACGCACACACAGGAUCAUGGUGAUGCAUAGCAACGAGAGGGGAGAGUGUGUCCACGUACCCUCGUAGACCGAAAGCUGAAGCGUUAGCACAACGCGGUUGAUGUAGUCGUACGUCUUCACGAUCCGACCGAUCAAGUACCGAACGCACGGCACCUCGGAGUUCAGCAUACCGAUCCAGCCGAGCUUUGAGGGAGAGUUCCAUCAGCACGAUGGCGUGGUGACGAUGAUGAUGUUCGACCGACGCAGGGCUUCGCCUAAGCACCGCUACGAUAUUAUCGAGGUGGAUUAUGGUCGAGGGGGGCACCGCACACGGCUAAGAGAUCCAAGGGAUCAAUUGUUGUGUCUAUGGGGUGCCCCCCUCCUCUGUAUAUAAAGGGGGGAGGAGGAGAGGGCCGGCCAAGGGGAAGAGGCGCGCCAAAGGGGGGCAAUCCUACUCCAAGUAGGAUUCCCCCUUCUUUCCUAGUCCAAGUAGGAGAGGGGAAGGAAGGGGAGGAGGAGAAGAAGGAAAGGGGGACCGGCCCCCUAGUCCAAUUCGGUUUGGGCUAGGGGGGCCACGCGCCCCUAGCUGGCCGCCUCUCCUCUUCCACCACUCGGGCCCAUGAGGCCCAAUAACCCCCCGGGGGGUUCCAGUAACCCCCCGGUACUCCGGUAUAUGCUCGAUACUCUCCGAAACCAUUCCGGUGUCCGAACAUAGUCGUCCAAUAUAUCAAUAUUUACGUCUCGAACAUUUCGGAACUCCUCAUCAUGUCCGUGAUCACAUCCGGGACUCCAAACUACCUUCGGUACAUCAAAACACAUGAACUCAUAAUAUAACCAUCAUCGAACUUUAAGCGUGCGGACCCUACGGGUUUGUCGUGGAAUUAACACGUCAGAUGUCCUAGGUGUAAGGACUUAGUCGUGAGGUCAGCGCAUCUAUGUAGUAGCUUGAGAGGGGUUGAUUGGGAUGAGAGACGCAGGGCAGAUUGACGCACAAGACAAGGGUUUAGACAGCUUCGGGCCCCGGGAAACAUCAUCCGGUAACAACCCUACAUGCUGUUUGAGGCUAGGUCUCAUUAUGAUCACGGGAGAGUCGCCGCAUAAGCCGGCUCUCGGUGUUUAGCCCUAGAGAUUAUUUCUUGUUGCCUGUCCCUCUUCGGGGAGCCCUGCCCCUCCUUAUAUAAGUUAGAGGGGCGGGUUACAUGUGGAGUCCUAGUAGGACUAGGACUAGUCUAUCUUCUCUUACAAGUUAAUUACAAGUCCGGGUCUUGCUUCCCUGUAAAGGAAAUAUUCGUCACCCCUUCCUUCUUAAGCCGGCCCAUCAUAAAUGUGAGCCGGCCUUCUGGGCCUUGGGCCUUGUUGUCCAUCUGACCCGCCCGCCGGGUUACUAAUGAGUCGCCAAGAUCGGGCAGGUUAUCUGUGAAUCGCCAAGCUCCGGGCGGGUCACCAGUGAGUCGCCAAUUCCGGCCGGGUCAUACCGCGGGGUAUAUCCCCGACAUUAGCCCCCAGUUUGAUUUGGAUUCAUCCAUGUUAAACUGAUCCUGUAAAAUAAACACAAGAACAAACUUGAUAGGUUGUGCUCUGGGUUAAAUAUUCUUUGUAAGCCGGCACCUGAUCAUCUUUAAAUCCUUGUCAUUUCCUUCUUGAUACAUGCCCAUGAACUCAUCGCAAAUCUCCUUUAGUAGAUAUGUUCAAACUUUGUGAAUGCAAAAAAUCCAGAUACUUCUUUCAAGAAAUCCGGGUCAAUAGGCCAGCUUCAGAGUCAAUUUGCUCGCAUUGGUAUCCUGACUUUCAGCCGGCUUGAAGAGGUAAAACUUGCCGGUUUAUCAUAACCAAAAUUGCCGGUUUGUAAAUAUUUAUAGCACCGGGUCAUAACUGUUGCCGACGCCGGGUCAUAAUUAUUGGUGACACCGGAUCAUGAUUGUUGCAAACACCGGGUCAGUCUGAUCUACUCAAAAUGGAGAAUUUGAAGAUUUUUUCUCCCUUAUAUGCAUAUCACCUGUAGCCCCCAAGUCUUAAGAGGAGAACAUAGUGAUAACUUAAGACUUGCUUCAAUAUAAGUGUUGCAACCUUGAAGAAAACCGGAUUAUUCAUCUCAAUCAUUAGUCAUAAACUGAAUAUUCCACAUAUGUAGCCCCCAAGUGUCGGGUUGUCAUACUUGCAGCAACCUGGGACUUGUAAUUGCCUUAUGCUCAUAAAAACUUCAACCAAUGUAGCCCCCAAGGGCCGGGUCAUUAUACAAUAAUGAGCAGGGACUUUGUAAAUAUGAUCAUGUAAGCUUUGACUAGCAACUUGUAGUCUCCAAGGGCCGGCUUAGUAAGAUAAUACUAAGCUAGGACUUUGUAUAUAAUUUAUUGAUAAUAACAUCAUAUAAUAUAAUCUCCACCAUGAGGCUUGAACCCACGUCCACAAGGUUAAAAGCUUUGUACUCUACCAACUGAGUAGUGGACCGUUCAAUAUAAUGGAUUAAUGCUUGUGUACCUUGAAUUUUUGACAGGACCAAUUGGUAGCCCCCAAGGGCCGGCUCAUUUAGAAUGUGAUGAGUCGGGUCUUCAAUAAGUUGAGCAAAAAAUGAUUUUACAUUAGCCCCCAAGUGCCAUGGUACAUGCUGGCAGUAACAUGGGACUUGCAUAUUCGACGUAAUAUCAAUUUGAAUAAUGUAGCCCCCAAGUGCCGGGUCGUAAGCCUGCAGCGACUCGGGACUAUUCCUUCCAUUGUAGAGUAAAUCAUAUCCAUUGAUAAAAUAAUAGCCAUUGCGCCAAAGCGACUUUGAAUACCUCAUAUGUUGAUAAGUAAAUCCGGAGUUUAAAUACCCGGCGGCUCUUGGCCGAUGGCAAUUUAAUACGCCUCCAUUGUAAGCCGGAAUUUGUACAACCCGGCGGCUUAUAGCCUUUGAGAAAAUCAAGAAUUGAUAACCCUUUUGAGACACCAAUUUCCAUCUAUGAUGACGUGCUUGAAUUUAAUCAUUUAUGUAAGUCAUAGUUCUGUAAAUCCUGCAGAGUUUAAACAACAUAUGCCCUGGCGACUUAACGUCAAAAACCAGGACGGGUAACCACCCAAAUGUAGUCUUAUCCUGCACACAAGUAUAUCACAAGACACCUUGGUGGUUUACCGCAGGGCGGGUCAAAAUAUCUUACAUAUGACCACUGUGAUAUUUGAACUGUACCGCCGGCUUAUGAUACCUGUGCAGUAAGUGUGAUAACCCAAUCCUUAGAAGCCAAUGCUCUCACAUAGAUGAUGAUUGUCAUAAGCCGGUGACUUAUCAUCGAAAAUCAAGCCGGGUUUAAAUAGAAACCGCUCAUAUACACUUUAGAUGUGUUCAAAAGAGCUUCAAAUAAAAUCCCAAAAAUUAUUGGCAAAAAGAAACUUCAAAAAAUCUUGAGGCUUCUGAUUCGAAUACGAUCGGAAAACCGUCCCAAAGGGGUUAAGCUAAGAUUCGAAUACGAUCAUAUAGCCCCCAGUGGCUUUGGCGUUGCCGAUCAAGAGGGUACCGACAGCUAUGUUCUCUUUGGUUCGAAUACGACCUAUGUUUGAACAGGAAGCCCCCAAAUGACCUUGAGAGUUGUUUAACGACGCUGAUUCGAAUACGAUCCACGUCGGUUCCCAAAGGGGGUUGAGCUAUGGUUCAAAUAUGACCAAGAAACUCCCCAAUGAGCUCGGCAGUGUGCCGAUCAAAAGGGUAUCGACAGCUAUGUUCUCUUUGGUUCGAAUGCGACCUAUGUUUGAACAGGAAGCCCCCUAGUGAUCAUGAGAAUAUUUAACGACUCCGAUUCGAAUACGAUCAGGGUCACACCAAAAGGGUUAAGCUAAAUUCGAAUACGAUCAGCUCCCGAUGGUCAUUAAAGCAGGGUACCUAUAUUUGAGUUGUGCUUUGUAACAGACUCUCUUUGGUCCCUUUAAUUUUUCCUGAAAAUUCAAACUUGAGUCGGACGUUUGAACCGGAUUUGAGAGCUUCAAAACCUUGCGGGAGAAAGAUAUCUCUUGAACCGGAUUUUAAACCGGAAUCUUUAUUUGAACCGGCAAUUUUCUGACGGGCUUUAAGGUUCCAUCGAUAUGGUAGCAGCCUCCGGAACCGGGUUAUCAUUCCCUCCAACGACCCGGGGUUCCCGAGUCAUGUCACUGUAGCCCCCGAGUCUCAAGAUGACUCGAGGAGUUGGCUUGAGAUUCUCCAUAUUUAACCGUGAUAUAAACCGGCAUAACUUGUAUAUCAUUGGUGUUGAUAACACGAUGUGUAUCCACAGAAGGUUGAGGUGACUGCGGCGGGUUAUAAAUGAUCCCUUAUGAGCUGUGUCAGCAACUCGGCCAAUGGUUCCUUCCAACUGGCUGUUUGACGCUUAACCAAACUGUAGUGAUGGCGACUUGUGCGCAUGUCCAUUGAGCCGUCCAGGUGCAGACGGCGGCUGAUAACAUAUGAUAAUUUGCCUCCAAUUUGUUGGAAGAAAACCGGGCUUCCCAAGUAGUGACCUGCUCAUACUCAAUACACAGCUCAUGCAGAUAAGUGCUGCUCGGUGUGUUGAUGUAGACCAGGCCACGAGAGGCGGACGGAAAAGACGACCUCAGCAUCAGAGGCGGCCCAGACAGACGAACCGGCCGCGGUGUUAUAAACCGGCGCAGUCGGGCGAGUUAACCACGCCGUUUUGAUGUAGUGAACAAUUGUCCUGCAUCAACAAUAUUGCAGACCUAGACAAAGAUAAACUGCUCUUUGACAAAAUAAUAUGUACCAAUAAAAUAUAUUUUAGAUGGAUAUCACCUGAUGUGCCAGGCCGGAAAUAAUCCGCCAUGAAAUUGAUGAUCGCUAGGUGAAGUUGAAGUCGCUCACGGGUGAACCGGCCACGGCGUGGUAAACCGAUGUGGACGGGUGAGUCGGCCGUGACUUUUGUAAGCCGGCGCGGACAGCGAGUCGGCCACGGUGUUGUAAGCCGGUGCAAACGGGCAAAUUGUCCUCCUCGUUGUAAACCGGUGUGGUCGCGAGAGACGGCCACGUCGUUGUAAGCCGGCGUGGUCGCGAGAGACGGCCACGGCGCUGUAAGCCGGUGCAAACGGGCAAAUUGUCCUCCUCGUUGUAAACCGAUGUGGUCACGAGAGACGGCCACGUCGUUGUAAGCCGGCGUGGUCGCGAGAGACGGCCACGGCGCUGUAAGCCGGUGCGGGAGUCCGUUGAGUAACGACGACCACCCGUGCCAAAAAAUGUUGGCGUGCCUCCAUCUCCUCGGUAUAAUACCACUUUUUGUCAUAAAUAAUUGCCCUGUAUAAACAAUAUUGUAGACCAAGGCAAAGAUAAACUUGUUUUUUGACAAAAACAACAUGUGCUAAUAAAACAAACUUGGAUGGGUAUCACCUGAUUUGUCUGGAUGACGGACGGCGAGUCAAUCACAUGGCAAGCCACACGGACAGCGAGUCAAUCGCAGGCAUGGUAAGCCGUGCAGACUGACGAGUUGAUGUAGACCGGGCCACAGGAGCGGCGACUUACGCACGUCCGUUCAUCGGGUAGUGUGGCACGAACGGAACACUAGGCCAGAACGUUUGCCAGUGUGCGCUCCGUACCCGUAGUAUUACAAUUGUCUGUGAAACAAUAUUACACGCCAAGUAAUUGUUCUCAGACGAAUUAACAUAUUGAUAAAAUACAGUAGAAAGAUAUCACCUGAUUUGCUUUGACGGUAGAUGAUUUGCAUGCAGACUACUAGCACCAAUUAAUUCAUCUGCUGCGUGAUCUCCCAUACUUUUGUCUUUUCCUUUUGUUGACUCUGGUCAUCAUGCGGUUAGUAAUCCACUUUUCCCAUCGCAGCCUCAAAGAUGUAAGGUAACAUGCAGGCGCUUAUUAGGAUGUAUCCUUUUUCCCUCGCCCUCUUCUCACCCACAGUAGCACAGAACUGCAGAGAGCCCGUUCAGAGGUGGAAGGCGGCUGAAACAAACAUGGCCGAGGCGGCGGCAGCCAACACGAGGACAGGCCCGAGGCCGCGGGCUACAGGCGCGGUGACUCGAGGCAGAAGGACAGCAGCUUGAUCCGCCCGAGUUAGUAGCGAUUUUGGCGAUCAGUGUCUCAGAAGCCAUGGCUCAUAGAACAGCUCAUGGUGUCACCCGCAGUGACGGAGGCUGGCGACUUAACCCGUUUUGCGAUCCGGCGGCUGAGGCCUGGCGGCAACUCAUGGUCGGUCGAUUCUCAGGGUGAUUCAAAGAGUGAGCCGGCGCGGCAACAGAGUGAACCGGCGUAGCAAUUUGAGGAAACCGCGCGAGGCCGCGGCGACUCACGGCGCAAGGGACUCAAUGGCUGUGACCCGGCGGGGAGUCGCGGGACCAGGGCGGUUUGCCGAUGCGGGCGAGACUGCAGAAACAGCAAAGCAGGGCACCCCACAGCGGGUUGACGGGCCGGUCGGGCCUCUCGCGGGUCGAGCCAGAGGAGAUCCCGCAGUGGUAAACCGGCAGCUCAUCAGCGGCGGCAGGAAGGCGGCCCUGCACUAGCGCACCAACACGGCCAGGUGGAGGAGGGCGUCCAGCACGAGAGCCUGGCGCGGCGCGAACGGAGGCGUCGGGCGGCUGAUUCAGAGCAAUGGUGGCUUAGAGGCAUGACAGCGGCGGAGGCAGGAUCGCAAGGCCGCCAAGUCCGAGUCGAUCCUCCGGUCCCAUGCUCGUCCUGGUCGUGGUCGGUUUUACCAUCCCCGAUCCGUCUCCUCCAGGUUGUGGGCUCAUGACCCUUUUUUUGACUUAUAGCUACUGCAGGAUAUGCAUGCAUAGUUCGCCCGGUGGGCAGUCCGUGAUUUCAGAGUUCCAGGUGCUUUCAACUUGUACUGACUGCUUAUCCUUCUUGGUAACUUCCUUGGGUAGACGUAGUGUUUAGAGAAAAAACCAAUCUGAACUUGCAGCUCCGCUCGGCCUUCAUGUGACAAACAGAGUACUAGUUGACAACGACUUGAGAGAUCAAUCAUGACAUCGACCACAUACUAGAAGUAUAGUACUAGUAGAUCAAGUAGUAUCAGUUUUGAUUUCCAUGUGAGAUGUUCCUGAUCCGUCAAAUCUGGAAUAGCAGCGAAAAAAACUGCGGUUGCCCUGGGCCCGUGGCUGCCGUCAAGUAAAGGUGAAUCACGCGUGGAGCUGCUGUAAGUCAAGCACACGCAACGCUGUGUACAGUACGCGAACGAAACAAAACGGAUUGAUGCAACUGAUUGAAUUCCUGUCGGUCUCGGCCACGCAGCACAACGCUCCAAAAAUCGAUCUGGUUUUUGGAUUGAUGACUCGCUCUCGUCGGCCUUGGCGACUCUCCAGCGGUUUCAGCAAAAAUCAAUCUGGCUUUUGCGACUCAUCCGGUCGUGGCGGCGCAUAACAGGCACUCUCAUCCCCUUGAUCCAGAGUAGAGCUUCACGCACCAUCUGUUAAUUAUUUAGCUGAUUGCGAACUUCUCGAUCCUUAGGAAAAUCCCUUCAAGAACUCAACACCACUAUGCGCGGGCCCCACGGUGGGCGCCAACUGUCGUGGAAUUAACACGUCAGAUGUCCUAGGUGUAAGGACUUAGUCGUGAGGUCAGCGCAUCUAUGUAGUAGCUUGAGAGGGGUUGAUUGGGAUGAGAGACGCAGGGCAGAUUGACGCACAAGACAAGGGUUUAGACAGCUUCGGGCCCCGGGAAACAUCAUCCGGUAACAACCCUACAUGCUGUUUGAGGCUAGGUCUCAUUAUGAUCACGGGAGAGUCGCCGCAUAAGCCGGCUCUCGGUGUUUAGCCCUAGAGAUUAUUUCUUGUUGCCUGUCCCUCUUCGGGGAGCCCUGCCCCUCCUUAUAUAAGUUAGAGGGGCGGGUUACAUGUGGAGUCCUAGUAGGACUAGGACUAGUCUAUCUUCUCUUACAAGUUAAUUACAAGUCCGGGUCUUGCUUCCCUGUAAAGGAAAUAUUCGUCACCCCUUCCUUCUUAAGCCGGCCCAUCAUAAAUGUGAGCCGGCCUUCUGGGCCUUGGGCCUUGUUGUCCAUCUGACCCGCCCGCCGGGUUACUAAUGAGUCGCCAAGAUCGGGCAGGUUAUCUGUGAAUCGCCAAGCUCCGGGCGGGUCACCAGUGAGUCGCCAAUUCCGGCCGGGUCAUACCGCGGGGUAUAUCCCCGACAGGGUUCGAGAACUAUGUAGACAUGACCGAGACACGUCUCCGGUCAAUAACCAAUAGCGGAACCUGGAUGCUCAUAUUGGCUCCCACAUAUUCUACGAAGAUCUUUAUCGGUCAAACCGCAUAACAACAUACGUUGUUCCCUUUGUCAUCGGUAUGUUACUUGCCCGAGGUUCGAUCGUCGGUAUCUCAAUACCUAGUUCAAUCUCGUUACCGGCAAGUCUCUUUACUCGUUCCGUAAUACAUCAUCCUGCAACUAACUCAUUAGUUGCAAUGCUUGCAAGGCUUAUAAUGAUGUGCAUUACCGAGUGGGCCUAGAGAUACCUCUCCGACAAUCGGAGUGACAAAUCCUAAUCUCGAAAUACGCCAACCCAACAAGUACCUUCGGAGACACCUGUAGAGCACCUUUAUAAUCACCCAGUUACGUUGUGAUGUUUGGUAGCACACAAAGUGUUCCUCCGGUAAAUGGGAGUUGCAUAAUCUCAUAGUCAUAGUAACAUGUAUAAGUCAUGAAGAAAGCAAUAGCAACAUAGUAAACGAUCAAGUGCUAAGCUAACGGAAUGGGUCAUUUCAAUCACAUCAUUCUCCUAAUGAUGUGAUCCCGUUUAUCAAAUGACAACUCUUUGUCUAUGGCUAGGAAACAUAACCAUAUUUGAUCAACAAGCUAGUCAAGUAGAGGCAUACUAGUGACACUCUGUUUGUCUAUGUAUUCACACAUGUAUUAUGUUUCCGGUUAAUACAAUUCUAGCAUGAAUAAUAAACAUUUAUCAUGAUAUAAGGAAAUAAAUAAUAACUUUAUAAUUGCCUCUAGGGCAUAUUCCUUCAGCCUCCACUUCCUGUUAGCCUUCGGGACUACCACUGGAUUUGCCAACCAUGUGGGAUGUAACACUCCUCUGACCAAACCAGCUGCUUCAAGUUUCUUGAUCUCUUCCGUAAUAAACUGCUGCCUCUCCAAGGCCUGCUUCCGGACUCUCUGCUUGACAGGUCGGGCGUGUGGGUAGACAGCAAGCUGGUGCUCGAUUACCUCCUUGGGAACACCGGGGAUAUCAGAUGGUUGCCAGGCAAACACAUCGAUAUUCACCCGCAGGAAGGCAACGAUCGCGCUUUAUUAUUUGUCAUUGAGGGUGGCGCUGAUAGUGAAAGUGCCAUCAACGCCAGCCAGCCCUGCUGGGACCUUUUUCACUUGGCUGCAGUGACCUUGGAUCUCUUGCUGUUGGAGCUCUCUGGCAAGUCUUCGAUAGGCGCAACGCACUCCGAAGAAGUACGCUUCCCGGAUGCCUUGCCAGCGUCCUUGCUACCCUUCUUCUUUCCUCUGUCCUCCUUGGCGGGAACUACUGCUACCACUGCCUCUGCCGCGGCUGCGUCCUGGUACAUCUUGUCCACGCAAAUGAUAGCAUCAUUCUCGUCUGAUGGGAUGGUAAUGACUCCCACAGGCCCAGGCAUCUUCAAGGUGUUGUAGGCAUAGUGGGAUGCUGCCAUGAAUUUAGCUAGGGUUGGGCGUCCAAGAAUCCCAUUGUACGGCAGGGGGAGGUCGACCACAUUAAACACAAUCUUCUUAGUUUGGUAGUUCAGCUCUUCCCCAAACGUCACCAGCAACGUGAUCUUUCCCUUAGGAUGACUCCUGCCGGGAUUAACUCCUUGAAACGUGCCAGUGGCCUUCAACUCAUCUUCUGCUAUCUGAAGUUUGCUGAUGAAUGCCGGCGAAAUCAGAUUCAACCCGGCCCCGCCGUCCACCAACAUUUUUGUGACCUUGAGGUUGCGAAUUGUUGGAGAGACCAACAAUGGCAAACACCCUACCGUUGUGGUGCGGUUAGGAUGAUCCUCUUCGUCAAAGAUGUUGGGCGUGCGUGACCAUUUGAGCGGCUUCCGGGCCUCUGGCGCUGGUUCCACGGCAUUGACUUCUUGUGCCCACCGUUUGAGCUGGCGGUGAGAGGUGUGCAAAGAUGCACCCCCGUCCAUGCACAGGGGGUCAGUGGCCUUCUGAAACUCCUGCUCAUUGGUUUCCUCUUCAUCCCCUCCAUCGCUCUCAUCAUCACAGGUCUCCUUCUCUCGACCUCUGGCGGGUUUUCCUUGGUUCCGGAAGGGUUUGCCGGGGCGAUUUACUUCACCACCUCGGCCCUUACCGCCAGCGACAUUCUGACCUUUUUCAUUGUCGCGCUUCUCAUACUCUGCUCUCUCUCUCUCUCUCUCUCUCUCUCUCUCUCUCUCGUAACAAGCUGCUCAACCUGAUAACACUCUUGAAGAUCCUGGCCUUUGGUCCUAUGAAUCUUGCAAUACGGCCCAUCACCUUUCCCGGCCUUCUCGGCAGCCGUGACCUCCUGGCAGUCAGCGCACACGGCAGCUUCCUUGUCGGGGACCUCAGCUUUGGCCUUCUUGCCGGUACUAGGUGUACCUGAUCCUUCAACAGUCAUCACUGCCUUAUCCUUCCUCUUCUUACUGCACUUCUUGCUCUUCUUCUGACUGGUUGAUUCAUCAUCAUCCUCUGAAUCGAUGUUGGUGCAAUAUUCCUCUCCGGGCAACUUCCUUCCCUCCUCCAUCCGAGCACACUUGUCCACCAAGGUGUAGAGCUCCUUCACAGUCUUGGGCAACCCCACGUUCAUCUUGGAACGAAUCUGGCGGUUGCGCACAUUGGACUGGAAGGCAGCUAUCACAGCUGUCGGAUGGAUAUUCGGGAUGUUCCUAUGCAGGGUCUCUCCUUCCUUCUGUUGGAGAAACUGCAAGUCGCUGGGUCGACCUAGCUCUUGAUGGCCGCCAGCGAAGGAGCCAAUGAAUUCAUGGCACAGGUCAGCCCACGACGAGAUGGAGUUCUCCGGCAGGUGCAUCAGCCAAGACCUCACAUUGGACUUGAGGGCCAAAGGGAAGUAGUUGGCAAACACCUUCUCAUCUCUUCCCCCGGCAGCCUGAACAUCGAUGGUGUAGAUGCUCAGAAACUCUGCCGAGUUCAGCCUCCCAUCAUGCUUCUCUGGUAUCUCUGGCCAAUGGACUUGCCGCGGGUCAUGAGUAAAGGCAGGGUACCCAACCUCGAAAGGUAGGCACCGGCCAAUACCGAGCGCAGGCUCGUCGACGUCGAGGCCAUCGCACCCGUUGGACUGGCAGUGGUUGUCGCAGUGUCGCUUGACGACGACACGUGCUCUACUCCCCGCCUAUCCUCCGAGGCUCGCCGUUGGCCUGGACGCGCUCGAGGGUCACAAGAGGCCAUCGAGCCAUCGUCAGGGUCUUGGUUCUGCUGCGCUCGCGCAGGCUGCCGUGGCGGGGACUGCACCGUGGGGGUGGCCCCUUUCGUACGGCCAGCAUCAUGAGCCGUCAUCGUCGCUUGGGGAGGCCGUGGCGGGCCAGCUCGCUGCGAGCCCCGGGCUUCGGCGAAAUCGAGCACACUUUGGAUGGAAGCACACCAUUCGUCCAUCUGCUCGGCCGCUGGCAGAAACCUCAGCAGCAGCUGAGCCCGCGCCAUGGCCUCUGUGGCUGUACUCGGCAUGGGUGAUGAUGAAGUAGAUCGCACCGUUGCUCAGCUCCUGACGGUGCCAGUGGUGGCAGCACCGCGUCUUCGCGGUUGCGGAGUGGCCACCUGGAUGGCUGGGUGGUGCGGCAAAGGCGCUCGAGGGCCAGCUCUGUCGGGUGCAGCGACUUGGUCGACCUGUCCCGGGGGAGACGCACGUGCUACGGUCGCUCCCGUGAUGGGGGCGGCCGGAGGGCGGCGAUUUGCCCCAUACCUAGUGCCGUUGCUGCGGUUGUGCCCGUCGGCGAGAGGAGGAGACGUAGAUGGAGUAACCCCCUCACCCGUACCUUGCGGAGCAUGCCGUCGGGGCGUUGCUGAUGUUGUUCUACUCCGAUGCCUCCUACCCUUGUGUCGGCCGCGGGGGAAGUAGUGACGGUGUCGCCUGCUCCGACUACGCCCCCAGCAGCGUCCACAUCCUCAUGUACCUCCGUGUCCCCCGCGGCAUUAGAGGUCGCGGGCGGCGCAUCCUUCGAGGUGGACGGAUGAGCCGAAGCACCGGAUUUCUACUUGGGCGCCAUGGUCGAUGGCGCCGUCGAAGGUGAAGAAGGUGAUGAAGAUGAUGUGCUGCACACGCCUUCAGGUUCGCGCAAGCGAUCCCCCUACCUGGCGCGCCAAAGAUGUCAUGGGAAACCACAGCCACCUAUGGGAUCAGAGGGCCCCUUGCUGGUUUGGCAGGGGGACGUCGCAUCGCACAAAGAGCAGACGAGCAUGGGGCAGCACGACAGCGAUCACACAAGAAAUUUUACCCAUGUUCUGGCCGCCGUGAGGCAUAAAACCCUACUCCUGCUUUGGUGGAUUGAUGGUGGAAGAAUGGUGGUAGAGCGUAGUACACUUGCCUGGCAGGGGCGGUAGUGGCUACGUGCGUAUGGGUGUGUGUGUGUUAUCCAACCUUCCAACCCUUUCUAUGGUUGCCAUGCCUCCUUUUAUAGAUUAAGGGGUUACCACAAUGGCAAAGUAGUAAUUAUGCACUGAUAAGAUAGCAAACAGUGCUAUCAUACCUAACUCUGCAGGCUGACAGGGUGCAUUAAAUGCGUCGCUUAACGUCACGUCACUGGUUGCCCGGCAAGCCUUGCCGGGCUGUCUCGCUAGCUCCACGCCUGCUCGCUCGACACGUCGUAGGACGGGUGUCAUCUGUAGGCAUUUCCUGUGGAAAGAGGCCGCCAUGUGGCAAAUGGCUCCCACUUAGUCACUUUGCGGCUUGACACCGCACUGAUUGACGACGUGGGUCAUGGCGGAAUGGUUAGGUGAGGUGGUUUUGCCUCCGUGAGCCCCGGCAGGCCCUGCCGGGACGUCUUGGACAUCUUCUUAUGGGGGUGACCCCGUCCUUGUCGAGAUCGUCUGCCCGGCAAGGGAGGCUUUUCUCCUGGUGGUGUCUUGUUUCUCUGGCUUGAUCUUGGUCCUCUUGAUCUGCAUGUUGGCUCUUCGAUGAUCUCGGUCUCUUGUACUCUAGCAUGGCUUGGUGUUGUACUCUUGUUCCCGUGACUGUGCACAGUUUGGGCAACAGACCCAGGGUUUGUUGCAACGACACCGAGGUUUUGGGACCAAGAUCGAAUACAAGAGAUGAACUAGGGUUUGAGAGGAGAUGGUGGUGGUGAAGAUGUUGGUGGAGAUUGACCCCCUCUCGAUGAGAGGAUCGUUGGUGAUGACGAUGGCUUCGAUUUCCCCCUCCCGGAGGGAUAUAUCCCCGACAGAACAGCUCCGCCGGAGCCCUUGAUUGAUUCUGCACAGGUUCCGCCUCGAGACGGCGGCGCUUCGUCCCGAAAGCUUCCUUUUGAUUUUUUUUCCAGGUCAAAACACACCGUAUAGCAGAAGAUGGGCGUUGGAGGCCUGCCAGGGGGCCCACAAGGACGGGGGGCGCGCCCUCCAACCUUGUGGCUGGCUGGUGGCCACCCUCUGGUACUUUCUUCGCCCAAUAUUUUUUAUAUAUUCCGAAAACAUGCUCCGUGAAGUUUCAAGACUUUUGGAGUUGUGCGGAAUAGGUCUCUAAUAUUUGCUCCUUUCCAGUCCAGAAUUCCAGCUGUCGGCAUUCUCCCUCUUCAUGUAAACCUUAUAAAAUAAGAGAGAAAAGGCAUAAGUAUUGUGAUAUAAUGUGUAAUAACAGCCCAUAAUGCAAUAAAUAUCAAUAUAAAAGCAUGAUACAAAAUGGAUGUGUCAUUACUCUCAUUAGAAGGUGGGAAGGGGUAGCUAAUCCGCUCUUCCUCCUUUUGUUCUUCGUUCUCCUCGUCAUCUUUUUCAUCCAAUGAGCUCACAGUGUCAUCAGUUUCUUCUUCCAUAUAUUCCUGCAAAAUAUUAGUCUCUUCUUGGACAGCAGAGACUUACUCAAUAAACUCAUUAAUAUCAGCAUUAUACACAUAACUAACAAAGUGGUCCGCUCGAUGCGCGGGCUAGUAUUUAAUAAAUUUAUUAAUUAUAACAUAUAUUUUUUGUUCUAAAGAACAAAUGAAACCGAAUGUGAUGGCAUUUACGGAUAUAAAACUUCUACAAACAUAAUUUGUUUUUCUUUGUUGUUUUAAAGUUCUAUUCUUACAUGGAUAUAUUUAUUAGUAUAUUGAAUGCAAUAAUGUUUGAGGCAUAAAAAUAUAGAUAGACGCAUGGGAGUUGAAAAACUAAAACUACUAUGUUGCAUAGAGAGUAAGGGUCAACAAAAUUAUGGAUAUAGGUAUGUAGAUCUAAAUGUUGUGCUUCAUUUAUUGAAAAAAGGUUCACCAAAUUACCGUUCUUGUUAUAGUUAGCUUAUCACAUACUUUUAAUAUAGUUGAAUUUCAUAUCACAUUAGAUAUUUGUUAACAAAUUUAAUUUUUUAUCAUAUGGGUUGUUUGGUUCUUUUCCUAUUUUGGAUUUGUGAUAUAAAUUUAAAAUCUAGAGGAAUAUGUAGUCAACAAAAUCUUGAUUCCUUUUUUUGUUAAUAUUCCUCAUAUAUUUGUAAUGUAUUACUUAUGCUGCACAUAUUUAAAAGAAUUAAGUAUCGGCCCACUCAUUCAUUGGGCAAAAUUUUGUAUGUAAUGGUCACAUAUUGACAAAGUUUUUUUCUGGAGAGUUGUUUCAGUUUUCCUCUGAUUUGAGUUGAGUUCUCGAGAUAGACAUCGAAAAUAACAUAGAGUGUGUGUGUAGCCAAAAGAAUUAUGCACCACAUUGAGAUACGUAGCUGACUAAUAAAAAAUGGAUGAGAUGCGUGCACCCGUUCGUCAUGUCAAAGCAAAGGAAAAAUAUUAUCGGAUGCAUUUUUGUUGUUGUAACACAUGUAAUGAUGUCAGAUGUGAGGAUGCUCAGGAUAUCCUUAAUUAAUAAUGUAGUAGGGAAUAUAUGUGUGCCUAUUUCUUUCAAUAUGUCAUAUUCAAAGUGUGCAAGGAUGACCAUUUAGGUUUUAUCUUCUGCUGUUUAUGGCUUCACAGCUCCAAAUAUGCAAUCAUGUAGUAGUGUCUCCCAUGUUUAUUUGCUGUCUGCCUCUAAAGUAGUCUAGAAAGUUGUCAUCUAUAAGAAAUUUGUGUUCUUUGUUUUAUCAUUGGCGAGUCAAGAAAGUAUCUUCCUUGCUCAUUAUAUAGGUUGAUCUGCAGAAAAUCAAAUAGGUGAAAAUAUGUUUCCCAUGCAUCUGGGUAGGACUUAAUUUGCAAGGCAUUAAGAAGGAACCAUACAGACGGACAUUGGAAAUACAUGAGACACUAGUAGAAAAAGGGUCAUCUGUCCCGGUUGGUAAGGGCCUUUUGUCCCGGUUUUUGAACCGGGACUAAAGGGUCGUUACUAAUGCCCUAGCCCUUUAGUCCCAGUUCUUACACGAACCGGGACAGAUGGGCCUCCACGUGGCCGGUGCGGCGAGCCCAGGCAGGAGGGCCGUUGGUCCCAGUUGGUGGCACUAACCGGGACCAAUAGGCAUCCACGCGUCAGCAUUUCAGGGGCUGGGGUUUUUGUUUUUGUUUUNNNNNNNNNNNNNNNNNNNNNNNNNNNNNNNNNNNNNNNNNNNNNNNNNNNNNNNNNNNNNNNNNNNNNNNNGAGGUGCUCCUACUGUUUCAGGUUCAAAAAAAAACCGGGACCAAUAGGCAUCCACGCGUCAGCAUUUCAGGGGUUGGGUUUUUUUUUUGAAAGGGGGGGGGGGUUGGGGGUUUUGGGGGGGUUAAUUUAGGUGUUUCAUAUAUUGUGUUAGCUAGCUAAUUAAUAGAGAGAAGUGUCCUCUCUUAUCUCCGUACUUGGUCGACGCUACGUACUAUAUACGUAUAGAGAGGACUAGACACGCUAGCUAGUAAGCAAAUGAAGGAAACAAAAGAUCGUCAUGAACAUAUGCAUACAGAGAGAAGUGAUAUCGACCACCUCUCCUUCUCUGAGAGAUUGGUCGAACAACAAGUUCUCGUAUAUCUAUCCGACACUACCGGCUACAUAUAUACAAUAAUUAUCUCUUACAAUAUAAUCUCCUAAUUAAAUUGUAAGAACACAGGGUCCACAUAGUAUUCUCCGUUUUCAACGAUCAUGGUCAGGGAAGAAUGUCGCCAAUUCCUCUUGAAUUGCUCGCAUACGAUCUGGUGCUAGGAGUUCAUCCCGCAUCCGAAAGAUCUAAUUUGAAGAAGGGGUAAAUACACACACACACACACACAUAUAUAUAUAUAUAUAUAUAUAUAUAUAUAUAUAUAUAUAUNNNNNNNNNNCAAUAUAAUCUCCUAAUUAUAUAUGAACACAGGGUCCACAUAGUAUUCUCCGUUUUCAGCGAUCACGUGGUCAAGGAAGAAUGCCGCCAAUUCCUCUUGAAUUGCUCGCAUACGAUCUGGUGCUAGGAGUUCAUCCCGCAUCCGAAAGAUCUAAUUUGAAGAAGGGGGUCAAUACAUAUAUAUAUAUAUAUAUAUAUAUAUAUAUAUAUAUAUAUAUAUAUAUAUAUAUAUAAAUAAAUGAAACUCAACACAAAUGAUGGUAAUAAAAUAAAAUUGUGAAUAUUAUUGCUUACGUACUUCAUAUUGUUCAUCAGAGUAGCCCCGCUCACAGGUCGUGUGGCGGAUGGACUCGCAAACGUAGUAUCCACAGAAAUCAUUCCCUUGUUCCUGCCACAACCACUUUACAAGAAAUAGAGGUCAAUCAAACUGAUAAGCAAGCAUGCUAAAUGGUAUUGAUGAAACUAGCGCUUGAAUCACUAGGAGAUGCGCAGAACAUGCUACUAUAGUACUUACCAAAACAAUGAAUGCAUCAAUUAGCUAGUCAGCACAAGCUUAACUAAUAUAUUUACCUGGCCGGACUAUGUUCGGUCACCGGAGCCGUCACCACGGGCUCCUUCUUGCACCAGCAUUGGGUCACCCGAGCCAUCAUAAUCAUGUCUUUCCUCCUCCACUCUUCGAUCACCGUAGCCUGCUUCUUCACCCUGUUCUUCUAGACCAUCAUUGUCGUUAAGAUACGACAAGACAUCACCUCCGGCUAAGAUUAUGUCCCCCAACACCUCUUCUGCUUCCUCGUCUCGUCCGUGCUCCAUUGUUUCUGCAAAUAUUACAACAUGGCAAUUAUUACACAAACAUGACAGCAGGUGGAUGUAUUAGUGCAAACGUAGACCUAGCUUAUUCCGGGUUUGGGGUGGCCUCGGCAACGCUUCAAGGGUAGGGGCGUGGCGGGAGGGGGUAGGAGACCGACAUCGUUUUUUUUCUAGGGUUUGGGUGUCCUCGAGAGUUUUGGUCAAGCGAGAGGGCCGGGGGGUGCUCCCGUGGUAUAAGUUAUCACGGUCGAAGUUAUCCGGGAGGGGGUUAUAUCGACAACGACGACAUACAUACAUACAUGGGAAAAUAAUGUUAUCGGGGAGGGGGUAGGUCGAACCCCCCCCCUCAUGUUGAAGUUAUCGGGACACGGGGUAUAUCGACAAUUACAUAUCCGAUAAAAAAUAAGAAGAUGAAGAAGAAAUAAAAAGAGGAGAAGAAGAUAUUAAUAGAGGAGAAGAUUGAAGAAAAAAAGAAGAAAAAAAAAGAGGAGAAGAAGAAAGGAAUAGAGGAGAAGAAGAUAUUCUCCUCUAUUNNNNNNNNNNNNNNNNNNNNNNNNNNNNNNNNNNNNNNNNNNNNNNNNNNNNNNNNNNNNNNNNNNNNNNNNNNNNNNNNNNNNNNNNNNNNNNNNNNNNNNNNNNNNNNNNNNNNNNNNNNNNNNNNNNNNNNNNNNNNNNNNNNNNNNNNNNNNNNNNNNNNNNNNNNNNNNNNNNNNNNNNNNNNNNNNNNNNNNNNNNNNNNNNNNNNNNNNNNNNNNNNNNNNNNNNNNNNNNNNNNNNNNNNNNNNNNNNNNNNNNNNNNNNNNNNNNNNNNNNNNNNNNNNNNNNNNNNNNNNNNNNNNNNNNNNNNNNNNNNNNNNNNNNNNNNNNNNNNNNNNNNNNNNNNNNNNNNNNNNNNNNNNNNNNNNNNNNNNNNNNNNNNNNNNNNNNNNNNNNNNNNNNNNNNNNNNNNNNNNNNNNNNNNNNNNNNNNNNNNNNNNNNNNNNNNNNNNNNNNNNNNNNNNNNNNNNNNNNNNNNNNNNNNNNNNNNNNNNNNNNNNNNNNNNNNNNNNNNNNNNNNNNNNNNNNNNNNNNNNNNNNNNNNNNNNNNNNNNNNNNNNNNNNNNNNNNNNNNNNNNNNNNNNNNNNNNNNNNNNNNNNNNNNNNNNNNNNNNNNNNNNNNNNNNNNNNNNNNNNNNNNNNNNNNNNNNNNNNNNNNNNNNNNNNNNNNNNNNNNNNNNNNNNNNNNNNNNNNNNNNNNNNNNNNNNNNNNNNNNNNNNNNNNNNNNNNNNNNNNNNNNNNNNNNNNNNNNNNNNNNNNNNNNNNNNNNNNNNNNNNNNNNNNNNNNNNNNNNNNNNNNNNNNNNNNNNNNNNNNNNNNNNNNNNNNNNNNNNNNNNNNNNNNNNNNNNNNNNNNNNNNNNNNNNNNNNNNNNNNNNNNNNNNNNNNNNNNNNNNNNNNNNNNNNNNNNNNNNNNNNNNNNNNNNNNNNNNNNNNNNNNNNNNNNNNNNNNNNNNNNNNNNNNNNNNNNNNNNNNNNNNNNNNNNNNNNNNNNNNNNNNNNNNNNNNNNNGCAAAUGUUCGAUGAAACUGAAAAAUUUACAAGUCCUGCUUAUAUACGGAGAGCAUUGGUACCGGUUCAUGGCAGCAACCGAGACCAAUGCCCCUUUUAGUCCCGGUUGGUGCCACCAACUGGGACCAAAGGUCUCUUUACAGCAGCCCAAAGGCGGGAAGCGGCGGCCUUUGGUCCCGGUUGGUGGCAACAACCGGGACUAAGGGGGGGGGCAUUGGUACCGGUUAGUGCCACCAACCGGUACCAAGGCACCCCUUUAGUCCUGGUUGGUGCCACCAACCGGGACCAAAGGCCUUGUGCUGUUGCGCCCGCGUCGAAAGUUUAGUCCCACCUCGCUAGUUGAGAGGGGCGCGCAGUGGUUUAUAAGCCCCACUGCCACUCCCCUCUCGAGCUCCUCUCCAUUGCAGGCUUACGGGCCUAAUUGUCACUGCUAUGCCUGAUGGGCCUACUGGACCUUCUGCUGGCCUGAAUCCUGGCCCAUCGAUGGGUUUCUAGUCGUAUUCAGGCCGUGGUGGCCCAGUAGGUGGCAUAUUUUUUAUUUUUUGCCUGUUUUUUGUUUUCUUUUUUGCUUUAUUUAUUUUGUUUUGUUUCUACUUACAACAAAAAACUUAUUUAUUUUAUUUUGUUUUGUUUCUAAUUACUUAUUUAUUUUACUUUAUGAUAAUUCUUUUUGCUAUUAAAGUUUCUAACAAAAAAAGUUCUUUAUGAAAAUUCUUUUUGCUUUCAAUGAUUUUGAACAGAAAAUACUUCGAUAAUUUUAGUUGCAUCAAUUUUAUAUAAUUUUAGUUUCAAUAAUACUAGAGGUUGCUUAUAAUGUUUUGAACAGAAAAUACUGUGGUCCCGGUUCAAGCCACCAACCAGGACAAAUGGUGGUGGGCCAGGAGCGAGGCCCAUUGGUCCCGGUUUGUCCCACCAACCGGGACCAAAGGGGCCAAACGAACCGGGACCAAUGCCCCCAUGAGGCCCGGCAGGCCCCUGGCCUCACGAACCGGGACCAGUGCCCCCAUUGGUCCCGGUUCUGGACUGAACCGGGACUAAUGGGCUGACCCGGCCUGAAACAAAGCCCUCUUUUCUACUAGUGAGAGGAUGGAUUUCCUAUUAGUUGUUGGUGCUAUUGAAAACACUAAAUAAAGCAUGAGCAAUUUCACCAAAAUACAAACUGCUUCCAAAGCUAGAAAAAUGCAGAGGAAAAAGAUAAAAAACUUUUACCCCGUGACACAUCGCUGGAGCCUCCCUUACUCUGCUUGCAGCAUAAGCAAAAUUUAGAAAUAAUCUAGAAAUUGAAACUCACAUGGAUAAUCAAGGUGAAUCUUCUGAGAGACCCAUUGUCGUUCGUGGACGUGAAAAGGCAAGGUGCAGCCUCAAAGAACUUAUGUGCCAGGGCACGCUGGCUCAUUCAUAUAUCCAGCUUGCUGUGCGUGUCGACGGAGUCAUACGGUUCUUUACACAGCUGCAACUCAUUAAACUGCAUGCACAUGAUGUACUCCAAAUAAUUGACAAACGCCAGCCAACUCUUUUUUUCUCUUGCUGCUGCACCAAUUUUGCUCACGGUGUGUAUUUUCUCAAGGCAUGCCUGCAUGUAGUAUUAAAUGAUUUCGAUGCUAAAUCGCAAAACCUCGACGGGUACUACAUCAUGUAGCCUCAAAGAACUUGUUGUGGGGAACUCUAGUGAAAAAAAGAUCAAGUAAGCAUCGAAGGAUUUUAUUUCAUUAGGAUAUGUCAUCAAAGAUGAAGGAAGUGCACCGGACGUGUCGUACUUUCAUAUCGCACCUGCCAUAUCUUCUUUCUUCUUUUGCAAAACCAUAACCUCCCAUAUCUUUGAUUCACAUGCAUGUCACUAAACUAUGGAUAUUUCUCACCGAUUAGCUACCUCCACACCGAUAAAAAGUAAUGACAGAUAGAGUUAUAUUUUUCAUGUCCUAUCUAUUAAGAGAGUUUUUUUUUUGGAAUCACCUAUGAAGAGUGCUGCAAAUCUGUCUUUUGUUAGAACACCUAUCAAGGGAGUUGCAAAUCGAUUUCGAGUUGCUAGUUUUUUUUUUCAGAAUCAAGUUGCUACAGGCAUAUAUAGAAGCCUAGAGAAUGUAUCUUGUAUUGCACAUAAACUGAUAAAGCUAGCGUACCUAUCACAUGCUGGUAGAUAGCUAUAUAUGGGUUGUCUCUUGUGUGCAUGAAAAAAAAAAUCUUUGAUUGAUCAGGAGGGGAACGACUGUGCUAGGACUGGGGGCAUGCAUGUAUGCAUGCAUGUGAGGUCUGGCCUCAAUCCGAAUAAUCAGCAAUAGCAUAUUCUACCCAACUCCCCAACCAAUUAUGCAGGCGUUGUGGCUAGUACCAAGCAUGCACAAAUACCAAAUUCCUCCAAGAUCCUCCGGCCGUCCGUCGUACUGGUGCUCCAACUGGCCAUCCCCAUGCUAAUCGGAUCGCUCGUUCUCGUUUUGAGUUCUGCACGUACACUGAUGGUUGGGCCUCUGCAGAGAACUAAUUAAUUAAGGCAUACUUACUUUAAUCAAAAUUGGCUGCCACUCAAUGGCCUCCAAGAUCCUUCGGCCGUCCGUCGUCCUGGUGCUCGAACUGGCCAUCCCCGUCGUAAUCGGAUCGCUCAUCCUCGUUUUGAGUUCUGCACGUACACGUACUGAUGGUUGGGCCGCCGUGGAUCUCAUACGCGAACACGGCGGCGGCAGCCUUUUCUUUUCUUUCCAUGGCCUUUUUCUACCUAUAGAGGUCACAUCGAAGGGGUAUGAGGAAGUUUUUUAUUUGUUUCUACUUAGAUCGGACGGCUGUAAAAAAAAUUCUCUGUCAAAUAAAUGGUUAGAUGUUUCUAGUUUUUAUGGUAAUUUCUAGAAUAAUUCUCUUUUUCUGGUUAGUCCGUAAAGCCGUAAAUUACUUUUCUUUCCCUUAAUUUUUUAAUCUUUUCUUUCCCUAACAAUAAUAAUAAAGCGACUAUUGCCUCUGCCCGCUAACUUACCGUCGUGGCGUUUUUGUAAAAAAAUCCCUGUGGUUUCCUAUAGUUGAAGCCGCGGUCCCUACGUAAGUGGCUAACCUGAGAAAACGUUUCAGUUUUACAAAUAAGACCCUGUAGUUUGUUAUAUUAAACCCGCAGUCCAUAUGUUUGGUUUUAUUAACCAGGGUCGGGUCAACGCGGUGGCACGGCGGCGCGAUGCAGAACGGCGGCGGCGGCUGGAGCUUGCAGGGGCAGGAUCCGUGCAGGGUAGGGGCUGGGGAGGCGGAUCAGGAGGCGGGCGGCGUGGCGGGGAUUGCCGGUGACGACGAGGAAGGCCGGAGCGCGGCUUCCCGGGUGGGUUCAUGGCAUCCACGGCUAUUGGGCAGAGAGGAGACAAGGAGGCGAGGGAGAGAAGAAGGGACAAAGGAAGAGCGGUGCGGCGACCUAGGCAGGAGCUCGCCGGAGCCGGGCGAUGGCGGACGGGCGCGGGAGACGGAGGGAUCCCGUGCGGCGGCGUGAAGUCCUUGCUAGUGGCGUCGACGGCUGGGCGUGCGACGGCGCGGAGCCCUCCCGUUGCUACGGCGUCCGGUGGAGUGCCCUGAGGGCGCGGAUGCUGCUGCUACACCAGCACCACCAGCCCAAGGUCAGCCUCCUCCACCUCGUUCUGUAGCGCAACUCCUGUCUCGCAUCAUGCUGCCUUACUUCUGCCCCUUUGGAUUGGAGAGCGUGUGCUCUCAGCUCUGCUGGGCCAGCUGUGCUCUGUUGCGUGCGAGCAAGGGAGAAGAGCGAGCUUGCUGAUUCUUCUUACCUGCAGCUCCAACACGAAAGCCAGCCAAUCGACUCUUGAUAGCAGAACACAAACAAUACAAGUAAACAGAAUUCUAAGACAGCCAAGGUGGAUAUGAUAGCAGCGGAAGUAAUUGUUGAUUUAAGUGUAACAACAUUGUGUGCUAUUCUAUCCUGGUCUUGCUUUUCUUCUUGGAUAACUUCUCUAAACUCUCAAUAGAUUUCUUGGGUUGGCGUGGUUGUUAGUAUUAGUUAAUACAAACCCUAUAUAGCCAGCUAUGGCUAUAUAUGAAUUUUGUUACUUGAAAUGUUCAAUACAAGUGUUGACUUGAAAAACUAAAAUCGUGUGUAAGGAAUCAUGUAACCAUAUUGGAUGAAGGUGACCCAUAAAUUCAUUCAGUUAAUUGAAUUCUUUUUGCCUUCUGCUCAAGAUAGGUACCCAAGCUCUAAUAAUUUCAGUGGCAACUACAUCCGAACUUUGUCACAUCUUUCUAUUUAAAAAUUGUGAUUAUAUCAUUUGUCAUCUGAAAACCAGACUCAUGUAUACAUUAUGGGACAUAAUGUCCAGGAAAUAAUCACCAGGUACAGACAUCACUCUUGACCUACAUUGUACAACAUUGCAUAAUUUUCUGUUUUUCUUGAGGUACCGCUCAGUACUUUUUUAUCGCACACAUAGAUAGAACAAAGGCCACAAGAGCUGAUUUGGUACACCUUGCUGCAUGCGCUCUCACUUGAUUAAGAUAUUCAAAGUGUGAGCUUUUGAAAUUUCCAAAAAUAAGUCAGAUUCUCAUUAUUAACCUAUGUGCACAUGCCAAUAUUUUCUGACUCUGACAGAUUGUGUUUGAUAAUAAUUUGAUGAACCACCAUGUCGCCCUUCCGCCUGGUUCCAUGGGAAAGUAAUUUACAAAGCUCCAGUUGGUCAAUACAGCCUAGAUGUUUUGUUUUGAACAGGCAGCCUACAGGUUGACAUUUUUUUUAGUUCCAUGUUUUCUAGCAUUGCUUAACUUUAUUUGAAAAAGUGUUGUAGUUAUGUAUGCAGGAUACAGUACUAGAGGUGUAUGCAGGAUACAGUAGUGGAGUUGGAAUUUCAGGGCAUCCAAAAAUAAUUUACUAUGCUUCAGGCAAGAAAGUUAAUUUGUUUGACCUUUGUAAGGACUACAUUACUAGCUUAAUGCAUGGAACUUAUUGAGCUGCAUACAUGGCAUGUGCGUACAUAGAGACCUGCUGCAUCAAAGCUCGGUGCGGAUACACCUCUUCUUACAGGACAGGUUGUGUACAACUUAUGUUGAGCUUAAAUUUCCAUAAUAAAACGUGUGUUUUUAUUUAUCAUUGUUUCCCUCCUACAAAACCAAACAUUUUCAGAUGUUGUUUUUUCAUUUCCUUCCGACGCUAUUAAAUCUCAGUCUUACCUAUGUUGAAAUGGUUCCAGUGUGUGUGUGAUGCAUUGCUUCCCUUAGUUUUCGGAGGAACAUGGUGCUAUUCCUGGUGAUUUUGGUUAUGGAAAAGCUGACAUUAGUCAGGAACUUUCUAAGGUGAUCACUUUAUUGCUCCGUUCUCAUCAUACCGUCUCUACACUGUCUACUGAGUUCAAAAAUCCAUGCUGUACUCUAAUUCUGAAGCUUUGGUUUAUGUGGGAUGUGGCUGAAAGAGGAAAUGAGAUAGCCGAUGUUUAAUGGGUUUCCCCCAAUCGACAAUGACAUUUCCUCACAUGAUGUGAAGAGUGGAGCCGCUUAAAGUAAAUGGCGAGCUCACCAUGGUCGCCUUUCUUACUACAGAUUGGGAGCCGCCGACUACGACCCUAUGACCCAUGGUGUGUAGAUGAUACACUGGUGAGGCAUUCAAGGGACAAACAGGAGCUCACGAUUUUCAGGGAUGAGGAGGAGCUUGCAAUUUCCAGGCUUGGCCUGCCCGACCUGCCGACGCAUGUGGAAGACUAGGAGUCUGGUGUUUUCUCUGCAGCGAAGCACAAAUGUCCCCGGGUGCAACUCACGGGCUCUUUUGCUUUUACACACUUCAUUUUGUAAUUUUAGUGUUCGACUAAUAGUACAUCUGUUGGAACAAGUGCAAAGGCAACAUCAUCUUCCAGCAAAAAAUUUCCCCUGCGUUGAGCGCUUCAGAGAUGCACUAGGUGGGUAAAACAUCGACAGUUUUGAGAACGUCAAGCAAUAUUUACUACUAUUAUGUUGUAUUAACAAAUUUAGUAUCAAGUUGAAUGAUAUAAGGAAAGUAAACAGAGAUGCUGAUGAGCUUAAUUAAUUCAAAAAAUUGUUCUUGAUUUUUAUUUCUAGAAGAAAUAUUUGAUUCAUUGUUGUGAAUUUUCCAGGAGAGAGCAGGUUCUGGUGGACAAAGAGGUGAUAAGCGAUGAACUCUUCCAGUAUAAAUGUUGAUGGUCCUAAUUCCUUUAUAAUUUAUUUCUUGAUCACUUUAAGUUACAAAACAUCUCUGUGACUUUUCGUGUUCUGUGAUAAUAUAUUUGAUUAUAGCCACAGACUAUGCAAAAUGAUUAUUUAUGUUCCUAAUUUAUCUUCAUCUUUCAUGGUGGUAGGGAAACAUCGCCGUUAGUUCACACGAGCUAGGACUUCACAAAAUUUGUCAAUAGCAUUGAUCAGGAUAUAAUUUUUCUUAUUCCUUUCUAUUUUUAGACAAGAAAGAACCAUAGAGAAUCUCAAUCCUUAUACUGUAGCAGUACCUGCAGUAGAGCAAGCCAUUGUCACAAAUUUAACAGAAGAUGGAAAAGAAUGGUUGCUUUUGUUGCAGGUUACUCCAAGAAGUGCAUUGUCAAACUAGAUGUUGUAUAUUAUCCAUCCAUCAUCUGGAUGCUUGUGUGUCCUGCGACAAAUCUGAGCUUAAUCAGGAUAAUCUGAUUAGUGUAUCACAAGUCUGCUUUUUCUAAUUGUACCAAUUCUGUACUUAUUUUAGCGUUUUACAUAAUGUGUAGAUUUUUCAGAACAAAAAGAAGUGAAUCCAUAUAACCUGAUUUUGCUAUAUUAUUUAGUUCAAAAUGACUUUGUAAAUCCCAGUUUCUCCAGUAUUGCAACUCUGCGUCAAAUUGUCCAAUUAAACUGAUAUUUCUAUUUGGACAACUAUAAUUUGUAAUAUCAUGAUUUUCCUUUCUAGAAACCACUUCAACUAGGCUAGGGCUAUGUCUAUUAGUCCUCCUCCAGUAUUUGUUGAAAUGAGAUAACACAUGUUUCUUCAAGUGUCUACACACUACAUGUAGUAAGUUUCUUAUAGAAGUAGUGAAACCUGGAUACCAAUUUAUUGGAACAUUAUAUUUCUUAUAGAAGUAGUCAAACAAGGAUAUCAAUUUAUUGGAACCAUCAAGAGGGCGACACUCCUGGAGGGUAUAUAUUCUCGCUCUUAUGCCUAUUUGAAAUAGCUUGUAGGUCUGUACUUUGCCACCCAUAUGGUAGUACUCAACUGUUGCAAGGAUGGAGCAGGAAAGUGUGCUAAACCUUCUAAUAUGGAUACUACACUUUUAUGAGCCACGGGCCACUAUUGUUUAUCAUAUGGAUUGUAGAUGUAGUGGUAAUGUACCACCUUUUUUUUUGCUAUUCCCUGUAAGAGGCAGUGAAAAAAUAGAAUAAAAAGGUUCAUUAGAGAAAUAAUAGAAUUGGCGAUUGAAUAUCCAAUGUCUAUGAUUUUAUAUCUAUGUGGGAGAUUGACGUAUGAUUACGUGCAAAGUAUACAAGUGAAAAACAUUAUUAUUUAUUUAGAUGAGCUAUUACCAGAAUUUUUUGUCACAGAUGGAGGGAUCCCAAAUCUUCAUUAUCAUUAUCGGAAACAUGACUCUAGGCCCUAAAGGAACAAGAAAAAUACAUAACAAGUCCCUCGACUUUUACAAAAAAGAGCUCAAACUGAGAAAAAACAUGAUCGUGUCCUUGCGUCUCGUUGUUUCCGUGGAUGAGCCACUUAGGACAAUGAGGUUGCUGUGGGUAGGCCAUACAUAGUCCCGAAUAGUAGAAACACAAGGCCGCCUUACAGCCUGAAGAGUCAUCGGAGACGAGGCCAAAUGUUGGGCACAAGCUGGGCCAAAUUUUCUUACCCCGUUGCAACACAGCCUUUUUUGCUAGUAAUACUAAAAAGGGCGUCUGCCCGUCCGCCGUCGUUGUUGAUUUUUUUUUAGAAAAACUUUUAACCCGGGCACGGCGGCGGGAACCUAGCCUCCUCCAACGCGCGCCAGGACACGCCGUCGGUGGCGUCGAUAAGCGGCCCCACGCGCUCCACGCCCAGUAGGUCGCCGAACGCCGUGCAGGAGCUCACGGGACAGGCAGGGGUAAGGGCCCCACGCAAUGGAUCUCAACUUCUCUUCCACAUGUGUGUCUUCCGUCCAUGGGCUCCCCUAGAUCUCAGGCUUCCAAUCUUUCUUCUUGAAUUGCAGUAGAGAUUGUGGCAUUCAGACCGGUGCUACCGACAAACUCCAUUAAUCCAGCUCUACUUCGUCCAGCGCCGGCUGUUUUGUGUGAACGUGUCUUGCUUAUUUGCCGGUUCACACGCUUCCAGCAGCAACGUCAUGAGAUUAAUUUGUAAGAUAUUUUCCAUGACUUUGCAGGUUCAUAGGAAAGGUGUUGCACUUGAUAGAUCAGUAGAUUUGUCAAAGUUUAGUGACGAUGAUGCAAACCAAAGCUGAGCUCGACGAGAUGUUUGGAUUUGACAGUAAAUUGAUGUCUUCCAACAGAGAUUGGCAGAUGGUGUAUACAGAUAAUCAGGGUGACCUGAUUCUGGACUUUCAAUUGUAGUUCAAAUUGGCAGAUGGUGUAUACAUUCAACUGUUCGCCUUGCUGUUUGUGCUCCACUCUUAACUGCAACCGUCUGACCCUGCUUCACUUGAGGUAUGUACUAUAGUUUCAGAAGAUGAAUAAUACCCAAUGCAUUGCUUCUCUGUUUCUCAAAUGUACUAUAAUUUAAUAUGCAAUCUGCAGUGUUGCACCACCCGAACAUUACAUGUAAUAAUGUUUAUACUUUCUGUAGAAGUUCCAAUAAAACUUCUCUUGAGAAGCUAGCACAUAAGGCAGUCAUAUUAGGUUUCAGACAUAGACAAUGCAGCUGGGAAUAUCAAUCAUAUAUUGGGUUUUAGACAUAAGCAAUGCAGCUAUGUAUAAAUAUAAAGGUAGAAUUGACUUGAAGUUGUUUCUUUGGCUGAGGUAGGAAGUAGGAAACGCGCAGCUUGAACUAGAGCAGAAAAACAUACUGAAAUUUUGUUGCAUCUUAGUACAUGCCCAGAGGUAUACCGCAUAUGUAGCAGGUGUACUAAAAUUUUGUUGCAUCUUAGUACAUGCCCAGAGGCAUACCGCAUAUGUAGCAGGUGGGGUUGUGUUGUUUCUUCUAUUUUCUUUUACACAGUCUAUUGACUGGUAGGAGGAUGAGAUGGAAGUUACCAAGUCACAAGCUUUCAAAGCAUACUUUUUUUUCUUCAGUAUUUAGGCAAUUACUCAAUUUUGAGGAGUUAUCCAUUCAAAAUCAAUGAAUAAGCUUGUUUCCCUCUUCAUAUCCCUUAUUCAUUGCAUCAUUUUCAAAAUAUUUACAGUCCUUUCACUGAAAUUAUCUCAAAGUGAAGACCAAGGACUCUGGGUGCAUACACAUGUUUUUAUUGUACCUAAUCUGUACCACUCACUGUGAGCUUUUUGUAAACUAUAGGAUAUCAUAGCCUGCUCUGCUAAACUGUAGGGGGAUUGGCAUAGCUUACUGCUAUUGUUGAACUGAAUUAGCAAAUAUAUGUUGCUUUUUAUUAGGAAAGUGAAAAAGAAACCAUUUGAUGUUGGGCCUAUCCUUGAGGUAGUGACAAUUCUUUUAAUAAGCGUCAGAUAUUUUGUGAUGAGAGAAUUUGGAGAGUACUUAAUAGGUUUGAGGCACUAUUUUCAUUUGCUAUGUUGGGCAACCAUGAAAAAGUUGGGAUUGCAGUAAUCAAGCUAAAUCCAUUCAAGUGUGUUAACUGUUAUGCAUAUCAAUUUACAGUGUACAGGCACCAUUAGGUUUGGUCCUGUUUCUUCCUCUCAAGUUGGGUUUGGUGCUGUUUGUGUCCUUUACCAAAUAUGAAGUCUUUGGAGCUUGCCAGGACACACAUUUUGUAUGGCUGAUUAUAAGAGGUGAUUGUGUGGAUUGAGCUUUCAUGUUUCUGGUUGGCCUUGUGCAACUCAAUCCAAAACAAAUGUAAGACGGUAAUUGUGAAUAUUGUUAGUACUACAUGCCGGGUCAUGUGUUGUGCAAUUAAGGUUUUAUACUGGAAAUAAAGAAUAUUGUGUGCUGUUGACCCAUUGUGUCGUAAAAUAUAUAACCAUAGUAACCCAGGAUUUGCAACAUAUUACAGCAAUAUAAAGGUUUGCCUUCAUAUAGAGACCGUAUGCCAUGUGUGGUCAACUACCUCAUUUCAUGUUUACAUGUUCCGGCACUUAGUUGUUCAUGACUUGCUAUAAUAGAAAAGGCACUCGGUCCUCCAAGCCUCCUCCCUAUCCGACCAUAAUUCUCCGAAACAAGCACAUCAGGUGAAGGCGUCAUCGCUUCUUGACCAUGUAUGUACAUGGUCCAAACAAUGACCCGUAGCAACGCACGGGCACAUUUACUAGUUAUAUAUAAUAGAUUCUCAUAUAGCAAUAUUUAAGUAUAGCAUAAUUUUCAAGUAUGUAAACAACAUCAUCAUAAUUUUCACACUUUUCAAACAAAGAUUCAAUUUCAUAAGCACCCUUAAAAGCAACAAAUUAUUCUAUUUGUUCCACAUCAUAGUAAUCAUAUAUACCAUUAGCAUAAGAAGCCAAGGUUUCAUUAUCACUAAAUUCACAUGAAAAGGGAAGGUGUGGAGCCUUCAUCCUAGAGCAACAAGUAUAAUCAUAUCUCAAGCAUAAAUUCCAUGCAUACCAAUGCAACAUAUGAAUUUGAUCCCAUAAUAGUUUCCCUUUUUGAGUCAAGCGAUAAUCCCUAAAGUUUGCACGUUGAUCCAACGUGGCUCCCAUUAUCAGGUUGAAUGGGGUUUUCUCAAGAUUAUCAAAGUAGUGUUUAAUAUUUUCCACAUAAUGAGCAUCGAGGGUUUUAGGAGGUUCUCCAUCUCCAUGAGUAGCAAGUACACCUAAUUUUUUUGGUAUUUCAUGUUCCAUAUCCAUAACUAAAGAUAGAGAACAACUUAGAACAGAAAAUAAAAACUAUUUAGUGAUAAAGCCAACAAGCACACAUGAGAAUAUUCACCCCACGCUAUUGCUCCCCGGCAACGGCGCCAGAAAAAAGGUCUUGGUAACCCACAAGUAUAGGUGAUCAAUUGUAGCCUUUCUCGAUAAGUAAGAGUGUCGAACCCAACGAGGAUCUAAAGGUAGAACUUAUAUUCCCUCAAGUUCUAUCGACCACCGAUAUAACUCUACGCACACUUAACGUUCGCUUUACCUAGAACAAGUAUGAAACUAGAAGUACUUUGUAGGUGUAAAGGGAUAGAUUUGCAAGAUAAUAAAGAACACGUAAAUAAAAGCUAGGGGUUGUUUAGAUAAAGAAACAACUAAGUUAGUUUUAGUAGAGAGCUUUUUGUCACAAGAAAGUUAUUUAUCCCUAGGCAAUCGAUAACUAGGUCGGUAAUCAUUAUUGCAAUUUUAUAUGAGGGAGAGGCAUAAGCUCAGGGGCGGAGACAGGGAGCNNNNNNNNNNNNNNNNNNNNNNNNNNNNNNNNNNNNNNNNNNNNNNNNNNNNNNNNNNNNNNNNNNNNNNNNNNNNNNNNNNNNNNNNNNNNNNNNNNNNNNNNNNNNNNNNNNNNNNNNNNNNNNNNNNNNNNNNNNNNNNNNNNNNNNNNNNNNNNNNNNNNNNNNNNNNNNNNNNNNNNNNNNNNNNNNNNNNNNNNNNNNNNNNNNNNNNNNNNNNNNNNNNNNNNNNNNNNNNNNNNNNNNNNNNNNNNNNNNNNNNNNNNNNNNNNNNNNNNNNNNNNNNNNNNNNNNNNNNNNNNNNNNNNNNNNNNNNNNNNNNNNNNNNNNNNNNNNNNNNNNNNNNNNNNNNNNNNNNNNNNNNNNNNNNNNNNNNNNNNNNNNNNNNNNNNNNNNNNNNAAAGAUUGCCCCCCCUAACGAUCUAGUGCAGAUAUUAGCACUAAUACGUAGCAGUAUAUACAAGUAUUCAAGUACUACUUGUCCGUAUAUAGGUUAACUACUACUAAGGCCGAAACUUAUCUGUCUCUGUAAAUGCCGAAGCCCAAAAAGAGCCCAUGCCCACGUUGAUUGCCCAUUAAGCGGUGAACUGUAACUUGCACGAUAAUGAAACCUAGCGUGCGUUGCAACUUGUCUAGAUCGACUCCAUGCCGCCGCCGCCGCUUGCCAUUAUUCGAGGCCACUACUCUGCGUGAUGCCAGCCGCCAGACGCCAAAUAAGGACACCACGGCGAUGCGACGAUGGUGCCCUGCUAGCCAUGGGCGCCGUUGCCCCUGCCUCUGCUAAUCCUGCCGCAAUGUCUACUGCAUCCGAGUCUGUUGAUCUGGUGUUUAUUCUUCAAACACUCAGUUUUAAAGGUAUCAUGUACUUUACACUUUUGUUGAUGGACUGCUGGCUGCACCCUACUCAUCUAAUUAAUUGGUUCACUUUCAUACAAGAGAAUUGAUGAAUUUACUGCAUGUGUUCCUUCUUAUAAUUAAUGAGAGAUCACUUUCUUUGAACCUUUGCAUUGUCGCUAUAUGAAAAGAUUGUUUGUGAGAAAGUACUUCCAAUUAGAUUAUCAAAUUGUGUAGUCAUGGAUAUAAGUUUAUUAAUUGAAACGAAGUUUUAUAAUGCCAAAUAUACAUUUCUAUGUUGUUUAUAUCAAUGUGCUGCACCUUUUAGCACGACUUGCUCCGCACUGUGCAUUUGUCUGCCAUUGUUGUGUGCUCACAUUUGCGAGGAAGUAGAGCAAAGUGGAAAGAGUAGCAUUAGCGUGCAUUGAACCCCUCUUACUUCAGGCCAAUUUAUAGCUAUAUUGUGUGGUUAAGUGCAAAAAAAUCUUCUUCGCCCCCCUAAUGUUCAAAUCCUGGCUCCGCCCCUCAUAAGCUAACAUACUUUCUCUACUUGCAUCAUAUGCACUUACGAUUGGAACUCUAACAAGCAUCCACAACUACUAAAGAUCAUUAAGGUAAAACCCAACCAUAGCAUUAAAGUAUCAAGUCCUCUUUACUCCCAUACGCAAACAACCUACUUACUCGGGUCUGUGCUUCUGUCACUCACGCCACCCACCAUAAGUGAAUCAUGAACAUAUUGCAAACCCUACAGCGGGGAUCCCUCACGCUUGCGCGACAUAGAGAGCACCAUAGGACAGCACCAAUAAUAAAACAUACAACUCAAACCAAUCAUGAUCAUCAAUCAACCCAUAGGACAAAACGGAUCUACUCAAACAUCAUAGGAUAGCCACACAUCAUUGGGAAAUAAUAUAUAGCGUUGAGCACCAUGUUUAAGUAGAGAUUAUAGCAGGGAGAAGGGGUGUUACACUGCUGCAUAGAGGUGGGGAGAGUUGGUGAUGACGGCGGCGAAGUUGUUGGUGUAGAUCGCAGUCACGAUGAUGGCCCCGGCGGCGUUUCGGCGCCACCGGGAGAGAGGGGAGAGAGCCCCCCUCCUUCUUCUUCUUCCUUGACCUCCCCCCCCCCCUAGAUGGGAGGAGGGUUUCCCCUCUGGUCCAUGGCCUCCAUGGCGGCGGAGGGGAGGGAGCUCCUGCGAGAUUUGAUCUCUCUCUUUGCUUCCUUCUGUUUCUGCGUUCCUGUUUUCUGGCAUUUCACCGUAUCUUAAAUUCUCGGAGAUUCGUAACACCGAUUGGGCUGAAAUUAUAACACGAUUUUUAUAUGGAUAUUAUCUUUCUUGCGGCUGAAGAAGGGCACCAACCGCCUUACGGGGUGUCCACAAGCCUCCCAAGCGCGCACAAGGUAGGGGGCGUGCCCCUAGGGCUUGUGGGCCCCUCGGGCAUCGUCUCGCGUUGAUUCUUUUUCCCCAAAAUCACAUAUAUUCCAAAAAAAUCCAUAACUUUUUAUCGCGUUUGGACUCCGUUUGAUAUGGAUAUUCUGCGAAACAAAAAACAUGCAACAAACAGGAACUGACACUGGGCACUGGAUCAAUAUGUUAGUCCCAAAAAUAAUAUAAAAUGUUGCCAAAAGUAUAUGAAACUUGUAGAAUAUUGGCAUGAAACAAUCAAAAAUUAUAGAUACGAUGGAGAUGGAUCAGUAACAGGUCAGUACCAGAUUUGAGCCAGGUCACAAAAACCCACCAGUUCUGAGCCUAAUGUGUAACGGGGAGCACUGACGGGCUGAUUUGGCCGCGAAAACGGCAGGUGGGUCCCACCUGUCGAAUCGAUGCAUAGAUUACCCCAUUGCCACCUCGAGAAUCUGGGAGUUGAGUAUAAAAACAUAUAUCAAGUGAAUCAAUAUGAUACCCCAUUGUCACCAUGGGUAUUCAUAGCAAGACAUACAUCAAGUGCUCUCAAUGCCAUAAAAGUAUUCAAUUCAAUAAUAACGAAAUCUCAAAGGGAAAACUCAAUUCAUCGCAACAAGAUAGACAUGGAGAAACACCAUAUGAUCCAACUAUAUUAACAAAGCUUGUUAUAGAUAAAGACAGAGAGAGAGAGAGAGAGAGGGAGAGAGAGAGAGAGAGAGAUCAAAUACAUAGCUACUAGUACAAACCCUCAGCCCCGAGGGUGGACUACUCCCUCCUCAUCAUGUGGCCGCCGGGAUGAUGAAGAUGGCCUCUGGUGAUGAUUUCCCCCUCCGACGCGAUGCUAGAAAAGGGUCAAGAAUGGUUUUUCGUAGCUACAGAGGCUUGCGUCAGCGGAACUUCUGAUCUAGAGUUAUUUCUGGAGGUUUAUGUAUUUAUAGGAUUUUUGGUGUCGGUCUCACGUCCAAAUGGGCUUCGAGGGGCCCACUACCCACCAGCACACGACCAAGGCCUCUGGCGCGCCCUGGUGGCUAGUGGACACCUCCUUCACCUUCUGGUCCUCCCACGAAUCUUCUAGUGCCUCUUUUGUUCCAAAAAAAUUAUCAAAAAGUUUGUUGCAUUUGGAGAACUUUUAUUUCUGCACAAAAAACAACACCACAGUAGUUCUGCUGAAAACAACAUCAGUCCGGGUUAGUUCCAUUCAAAUCAUACCAAAACCAUAUAGAAUUGUUGUAAACAUGGCAUGACUACUUCAUAAAUUAUAGAUACGUUGGAGACGUAUCAGCCACCAUACCUUAACUCAUGCAAUUAUUUAUACCCAUGCAUAUACUAUCAUCUCUCGACUGGUUCGCAACGCUCACUCUUGCCGCUAACAAAGAAAACAACCCCGCUCACUUGAGAAUGGGCCACUAAGAGUCUAAGACGCAGUUGGGCCACAUGUAGAUUGAGCAAGAACCCAGUGUUGCUGACGAUAUGCACGCAUGGGGUGCAAAUCGCAAGACCAAGAUGCACAUGCUUCACUCCAAAACCUAGCUAGGGUGGCAGCGGCUGGCUAGGAUGCCACGAACUAGCGAACAACAUGACAGUUGACGACAGAUGGGUGCCUCGAGCAAGCAGGUGGUUGGGUGCAACCGUGACUGCCCGAGACCGAUGCUCCAGAUGCCUACCGCUAUUUUUGUUGUGGCCGCAUUAAUUAUUAGGUUGUGGCAUUCAUCAUCGCAUCAUUCGCAUUGCAUCAGCACUGCGUUGCCGUCAUUUUUUCAAAACUUGCAUUCGUCCAUAGUUGCCGCUUGUCUCCAUUGUCUUCGUUUACCGUUCCGAGUCUAACCACACACUUGCACACGCCAGUGACAUCGUUAAAUAAUUAUUUGAAAAUGGGAUUAAAACAUUCUUGUCGGGGGAAACCGACACCUAUGGAAUUACUGGGAUCCCUUCUACGGUUGGCGGGCGCGAGGUUGUGCAAAGAGCGGGUCUGGCGGUCAGCACAAGGAUCGUUUACCCAGGUUCGGGCCGCGAGGAUGCGUAAUAGCCUAGUCCUGCUUUUGUGUGUAUUCGAGUGUUCUUGAGUUCUUGAACUAGCUAUGGGGUGUAACUUGUCCAAAAGAUCCGAAUCCCUCUCCUGGAUGCCUCGGGCCUCCUUUUAUAGACAAAAGGGGUUGCCACAAUGGCACACAGGAGGUGGAAAGGUGUACAGUGGAUGAGUCUAUCCUCUGGCACCGUCGGACAAACGCAUUUAAUGCGCUGCCGACGUGCCCCUCUUGCUUUAUCGGGGACGGCAAGGAAGCUCGUCCCAGCUGUCGCCGCCUCGCCUGGCUCCGACGCGCGUCCCAGCUGAUGAGGCGUUGCAGCGCCACGUUGGCUGGCUGCUGGGCUGGCGUGGUGAUGGAGUCUUCACAAAGAUCUGCAUGCCACCACGCAGGUGCUAGCUGAGUCGGCGUAGAGGUCGCAUGCUGCCACGCAGGUGCCUGCCCAGCUGGUUGAGCUAGCAGCUGCAUGGGAGCGGCGGCGUAGUCUUGGCAGACGUGGGCCUGGCCGCGGCCCCGCUGACGUCCUCGGAAAGGGUCUUGCCGGGGCCCCGACAAGGGUCUUGCCGUGGCACCACGGUCGUCCCCGGCAAGGAUCUUGCCGGGGGUCUCGUGGAUUUCCUCGGCAAGGAUCUUUGCCAAGAAUCGUCAUCUUCUGGUCCUCAUCUGAUCUUGUGUAUUUAUGAUCUUCACAAAGAUCUGCAUGCCACCAUGGAGGCGCCUCCCGAGCCUUGGUUCCAAUGUGGUUGAUGGUGUUGGAACCCUUGGGCUCAAGGGUGGCGCACUCUGCUGGCGUCGGGCAAGUUGCCCCGGCAAGGAUCUUGUCGGGUCUGCGGAGGCCGCCCCGACAAGGGUCUUGCCGGGGGAGUCCACCUCGCCCUCUUGCUCUUUGUGUCUCCGGUCUUGGCGUUGCUUUGAUUGCCUUGUGCUCCGGCUUCCCUCUUCUGCCCUGCUCAGUGUGGCCGCGGGCGUGGCUCUGACUGCCCGUGCACAAGUAAAGGGGUCAAAAGAGUGUGUACUUUUUUACACCGACAAUUCUCAGAACAGGUUGAAAGUUGGCGUGCGGUCUCAAUAUAUAGUUUCGUAUUGUUCUUUUCAACCUUCACUUCAGUCCUAUCAUUUUUAUCAUUUCAGAGUUUCUUCUUGAAGGUUCUUCAUGGUGGUUUGUGAACGAUUUCUUUCAUUCUCAAAGUGCCCUUCAAGAUUCUCCUCGAAGUUAAGAUCUGCCAAGCUAUACUCAAAAAUGAACAUGGUGUUCAACACAUGUUUUGUUUUGAGGAGUUCAAGCAUGUUUCAUCUUCCAUUCAAGUGUGCAAAUCCUUUCUACCUUGUCUUUCGAUCUGGUCUUAUGUCAUUAUUGACAAAUUUCCCUUCGUGUUUCAUGAUUCAUAGGUUGUAAAGAAUGAGAUAUUAAACCCACCAUUUUCUCUUCGUUCUGGAGAUCCUUUCAACCCAUCAAUCUCUUCGUUGGAGUUAUCUUGGGUUGAUCUCACCUAAAGCCUUCCCUAAGGAAUGUUGCUAUUGUGGUGCGUAUUUAUGAUCCAUGUUUUCUCUCUAUCCUCUCGGUGAAAGUUUUGCAUCUCUUUGUUGCUCUCAAGCAUCAUAUUUUUGGCAAAUGGCAGGCUUUAACCUCAAAAUUUUGAAAUGUUUCCAUAAGGCCAUUUGAAGCAUAUCUGUUGCUUGUUGAUUCUUUCACCAAUUUCCUUCAAGUCUUCUUCGCAAGGAUGCUCUUUAAUGUUCUAUUGCGUUAGAAGAUGUUGGUUUCUCCUCCGCUCUUUUCAUCCCAAGUAUCUAACUCAAUUUCUUUUGCUAAGGAAGCAUUGUGUUGGUGCUCUUUCCCAAGUUCCCUCCAUGUUGCCAACUUCAUGUUCUGCCUAUCACUUCUCUUUUAACCAGAGUCACAUACAAUUGCUUCCAUUUUCUCAAGUUCAUGUUCUAUGCCUUUCUUUUCUUCAACUGGAGUGGUUUCAAAUUCUUUCUCAUCCUUGAUGCCAUCUAUUAUCUCUUUGCAACCUCGUCUCACUCAUUUGUCACAGAAGCAACUUUAUUUUACCUCUUUCUCUUCCUCUUCCUCUUCCUAUUCUCAUUCCUAGAUCUCAGGGAGAGAUCUCUUGUAAGUGGGGGAGAGUUGUGAUAGCCCGAGACCGACGCUCCAGAAGCCUCCCGCUAUUUUCGCUGUAGCCGCAUUAAUUAUUUGGUUGUGCUAUUAAUCAUCACAUCAUUUGCAUUGCAUUGGCAUUCCGUUGCCAUCAUUUUUUCAAAACUUGCAUCCGUCCGUACUUGCCACUUCUCUCCGUCGUCUUCAUUGAUCGUUGCGAGUCCAACCACACACUUGCACGUGCCCCAACAUCGUUAAAUAAUUAUUUUCAAAGUGGGAUUAAAAUGUUCUCGGAAUGGGUUGAAAGUUUACGUGUGGUCUUAAUAUUAUGUAGGUAGACCACCUGCCAAAUUUUCUCGCAUUCAAAAGUCGUUUGGUACCCCAACCGUUAAACUAGAGGCACUAUAUGCGGAUAAACAUAGGACGUUUUAAUAAUAAAACGUGUUGCCGGGCUACCCGAUUUCCCUCUCAUCUCGGCCCAACAAAUCUACAUACCCCACCUAAACCUACCCUAACCACCCUCCACUCCAGAGCCUUCCGAUUGUGAUCGGAGGGCUCCAAAAACCCCACAAAACCCUCAACCCUCGCCAUCCCUGCCUAUUUAAGCAACCGCUACCCUACCUAAUUUGCAACCCUACCCCUCUUCCGCAUUUUCCAUGCGCAGCCUCUCCACCGCCGCCACUUGUCCACCUUCUCCAUCCUCCAACCGUCGUGGCCCUGUGAACCCAUCAUGGACCCGCUUGAACCCAUCGGGGCCCGAGCCAGCUCACGCGCCGCCGCCAUUAGUGCUCGCCUCCGUUGCUCACGCCCGAGCUCCCCUCACCAUGCCGCCUGCUCACCCUCGCGCGAGAUCUCCUGUCGACCGAUGAGCUGCCAGAGACCGCAACCGGAACAGGCCGACCUCGCCGCCUCCUCUCCUUUCUCCUCCAUCUCUCUCCCUUUCCACUCUAACCCUCUCUCUAUUGCAGUCAUGGAUAGGCGUCAUGGACGCCGCCCAAGCUCGGAGCUCAUGCCGCCACCUUGCCUCGCUGCCGCCUCGGGCCAGAUCCGGCAGCCAUGGCCCCUCCUGCGGCCGGAUCCGGCCCGAUCUGCCCACCUGCGCCGCUCCCCUACUGUUUGUCGACCUCGCCGCCGCGCCGAACCGUCGCCAUGGCCUCUGCUUCUCCCGCCGGUACGCCCUCAUCCCAGGAUCCACCAAACCUUGCAACCAAAGAACAUCUGGAACCGCUCCAUCCUAGUUUUCCCGCGAGGUCGAAUUUUUGCUUGUCCUCAGAUUUUUCACAUCGGAUUGCAUUUUGUGAUGAUGGUAACUUUGUGCAUGUUUGUCCGAUGGAAAUGAUCUUUCUAUGAAAAGUGAUCUACUCUUUGUGGGCUUAAUGAUGGUUGUAUUUUCAUCCUUCAUAGGAUUCAUCUACAUGUUGUAAUCUCUGUUGCAAAAGUGCAUCAUGUCGUAAUCUACAUAAAAUUGUUAAAACAUUCAAACUUACGUUGAUCCUUGCCACCAAUCCAUAACUCAUAUGCAUAUGAUUCCUUAAGGUGUUUUGCACUACGCAAUGUUUAUUUUAAUGCGAUGCCCAUGGAUGCCAUGUCAAGUUUCUUUAGCAUGUCUAUUUCUUCCUCUUAAGUGGCUAUCAUGGUAUAAAUACAUUCCUAUUAACAGAAAGUUCCAUUUUGUAAAAAUCAUAGUAAUUAAUAAAUGCAUCCUAUGAAUUUGUGCCUAUGAAGUAAAAUGAACAUUGCAAUGUAUAAUGCAUGUACAUAUAUUAUUCAUAAAUAUUGAAAUUGGUUUACUUAAUGUUUAGUGCAUCUCAAUUCAGCAUCAUAAUUUUACUGUUUUGCAAAUCCCAGAUUUUCCCGAAGUCCCUAGUACUUAGGAUAACAUUGCAUUUUGCAUAAAUCAUAUUAAAUUAAACAUGAUGCCUAUGAACCUAAACCUUAUAUGAAAAUUGUAGCAUGUUCAAGCAACUAUAAAUGCAGAUCCUUUUCAUAUGUUUUAACAACAUGCAUAUUGAUGUUCCGUUGCUCCCAAGUAGGCAUCUUGCUGUUUUGGCAGAUUACAAUCAACACAAGUUGUUCAGGUACGUGAUAGAUUAUGUUAUAUGUAGACAGUUUGCUUGAUAAUUUGUUCAUGUAAACAUACAUGCAUCUAAAAUUGUAAUUGUUUCAUUCUAGGCAGUGUGUUUGGUUACAAAUAUGGGAACACAUUUGAUUAACUAAAGAAAUGAUGGUUGGGAUCCACUCUUUUAAGAUGCCAAAGCCUUUUGCAAAAAAAUGGCAUUCAGAUCCUAAAUAUGGAUGCCAUCUUUAUUAAAUGGGGGAAAUUCUAGAAAAGGUGGGACAAACAAUGUCACUAUUGAUCAUUUUUUCCAUGUGGUCAUCUUCUAUGAUGUUAUAGACACCAUCGCCACAAAGGUUGAUCAUCAUUUUAAUGAGGUAUCUUCAAAGUUGCUCUGGAACUUCUCUUGUCUUGACCAUAGAGACUCCUUUUCUAGGUUCAAUGUGAAAAAGCCUGAGACUCACAUAGAAUUAUCAAGAGUAUUUCUCUUAGUAUGAACGUGAACCUAUAGAAGAUAACCUUGAGCUAUUCAUUAUUCAUACGAGAAGAAUUGAAAACAUGUCAUGAUAUUGCAAGCUUGGCUAGAAAGAUAGUUGAACUUGAAUGAUACAACAUGUUUCCUAUGAUUUAUCUCCUCAUUGAGUUGGCAUUGCUAGUACCAGUAGUGACGAAAACAAUUGCAAGAGCCUUCUCAGCAACGAAAAUCCUUAAGACCGAGUUGAGCAACAUGAUGUUCGGUGGUUGGCUUAGCUAUUCGGUGGUGUGUUACAUUGAGCGAGGAGGGAUAUUCAAAAGUCUUCAUCGUGGUAAAUUAAGAAAGAUUUUCAAAAAGAUGGUAGGGCAUUACCAUUGCUUGGGUCUUCUAGACAUCAUUGAAAGUUUCAUUAUCGGUAUGUUUUCGAUUAACGAGUAAAAUUUCUCGCUGUGUUGCGUUAGUGGGAUUUGAUUUGCCUCGUCGAGAAUAGCUAUGUUUUGAACAUGAUUGAGAUUUAUCAUAUUUGGUGAGAACUGCUAAAAACGGGAUGAUUUAUAUGCAUGUUUAUGAAUCUCGGAGGAUUAUAAACAAAAUCUAACACUAGUGUUUGAUAUUUUUAAUAGCUAGAUACAUAUUUUUUUAGUUGUUUGGAUUUACAUCUUUGAGGUUAGCUAUAGUUGUUUUUUUAGCAAAAGCCAUAGUUGGUAAAAUUUAUAAGAAUAAUAUCCCAAAUCAAGGGUAAUUAUUUUGGUAUUGAUUAACAACUAUACAUGGGCCAAAAAAGUACAAUGGUGGUCUACACGCGUCAUGUCCAUCUAUAUGAAAAUGAACCCUCAAAAAAUCUCUUUUCUUUUGACAAAAAUAAUCAAUUUAUGAUGUAGCAGUAAUUUGACAACUAAAAAAUGACCCUGGUCAACAAAAAAUGGUCGGGUUUCCGUGGUGCCUGUCAUGAUUUUAAGAUCAACGGUCCAUGCAUGUUGUCAUGAUCCAAUAUUAAUUUAUCGCUAAGAUCUUUGGAGAUUUUCUCUUGUCUAUAGUCACUACUAAUUAUAGGGAUUAAUAAUAUCUAUCUUUAGAGUUGUCGAUGCUCUUUUUAUACUCUAACCUCACAGAUUUCGUUUCAUAUCCUAUCCUUACGAGUUUUCCUCGCCUUCGUUGAUCUUAACUAGCAAAUCCUAGCCUUAGACACAAGUGGGUAAUAUUUGUCAAGUCGAGUGACACCACGGAGACCAUGGAUGUCAAGUACCACAACGGCUUCCUCAAGAAGGUGAGGCAGGUGGCCGUUGUGCCGGCAGUGGAAGGGGUGAAGUACAAGGAGUGCGACAGGAAUCAUGCGCUGACUAGUGGUGGGCACGUCGUGGACGGCUGCAGGGAGUGAAUGCCGUUGGGGGACCUCAACCCCGCUGACGCGUCGUUAUACAAGUGCACGACAUGCGGAUGACACCACAACUUCCACCGCAAGGUGAUGACGGAGAGGUCGCCGCCGUUGUCGCCCAUGGCAAGAACCGUCAUAGUAGUUGAGCCUAACUGCAAAAAACGCUAACAUAAAAAAACUUGUCAUGGUAGCUGAAAAAUGUCCCAUGGUAGACGAAAAACGUCUAACACUGGUGUGUGACGCUGGUGGGAGGAGACGGGAAGGUCCAACAGCGGAGGAGAAUGCAUCGGAGGCGUUGUGGCCGUUGGGUUAGUUGCGCUUAUUGUUGUGCCUCCAGUUCCUAAAGACGUCCUUACUGAUGCCAAUGUCAUGGCACCUCGCUUUGAUGAUGUCCUUAUCGCGCUUCUGCAGGCGCCACCCUAGGUGCUUCGACAGCUCCUGCAUCCGCAUCUUCUGGUAGGUAGUGAACAUGGUGUAGGACCACUUCCUCGCCGACAUAACCACAUGGGGCGGUGGCGCCGUCGCCGGCAAGAGCUGGGCGGGGAGCCUCUGGAUCUGCAGUGCCCCCAGCGGGCGGCUGUGUCAUGGAGAAGAGAUGUACGCAGGCAGCUGCUAUGCCAUCGAUGUCGGAGGAUACACAGGUGGAGGCUGAUGUGGUGGGGAGACGAAGCUCGUCGUCGUACUCCGUGGCAUCCGAGUCAUAUUCCGUGCCAUCCGAGUCGGUGUCAGAGUCGGCAACCGGGAGCCAGUCCUCCGGUGUCUGCUCCUCCCCGCGCUACGGCUGGCCAUGGAGUACGAUUGCAGCCAUGGGCGGUAGCAGCAGCGACCUCUCCAUCAUCAUCUCGUGGUGCAAGUUGUAGUGGCCGCCACAAGCCGCCCACUUGUAUGACGAUGCAUCGGUGGGGUUCAGGUCCCCCAACGGCAUCCACUCCCCGCAGCCGUCCACGACUUGCCCACUGGUAGCCAGCGCGUGGUUCCUACUACACUCCUUGUACUUCACCCCUUCCACCGCCAAUGCCACGAUCGCCUGCCUCACCUUCUUGACGAAGCCCUUAGGGUACUUGAUGUCCAUGGCCCCCCUGGUGUCACUCGGCUUCACAAAGAUUACCCACUAGUGUCUAAGGCUUGGAUUUACUAGUUAGGAUCAACGAAGGCGAGGAAAACUCGUAAGGAUAGGAUGCGAAACGAAGUCUGUGAGUUUAGGGUAUAAAAAGAGCAACAAUGACUCUAACGAGAGAUGUUAUUAAUCCAUGUAAUUAGUAGUGACUAUAGAAAAGAGAAAAUCUCGAAAGAUCGUAGUGAUAAAUUAAUAUUGGAUCAUGACAACAUGCAUGGACCGCUGAUCAUAAAAUCAAGACAGGCACCAUAGAAACCUAACCAUUUUUUGUUUGACCUUGCUCAUUUAUUAGUUCUCAAAUUACUCCUACAUUGUCAAUAGAUUUUUUUGUCAAAAAUAGCUUUUUGCAGGGGUCUUCAUCACAUAGAUGGACAGGACGCGUGUAGACCACCAUUGUACAUUUUUUGCCCAUGUAUAGUUGUUAAUCAAUACAAAAUAUAAUUACCCUGGAUUUGAGAUGUUAUCCUAUAUAACAAUCACCCCCACUAAUCUAUUUAUCUUGACAUGCAGCAUAUCGGCCUCAACAUGUAUGCCCCACAUGUGCCACCUUCUGCCACGUCAGCGACUCUUUACAUGCAGCGUUCAGUUACCAAUGUGCAGAACAGACUGUCCACCUGCCUUCUCUCCGUUUCCACUUUCCAGCCAUAAAUCGUUGAUGCCUCUCUCCCUCCCUCGGAAAUAAACACAAACCGAUCGGCCUCUCUCCCCCAGAAAAAUUGACGCCAGUUUUCUCCUUGGCUACAGGUGCACCAGGUCUGCAGGUGGGAGCCGAUCUGUGCAUCAAGGGUCCUCCCAUGGCACGUCCGUUGGUGCUGCUCGCCUCCGCGGUUCUCUAAAAUUCUCUAUGGUAUUACCCCCCUUGGCCCUUGCAGGUUUGGUGCCAUAUGUGCCCUAGUCCUCCCCUCCCGCGUGUGUCUCUAUUCAGGCUAAGACAGCUUCGGCGUCGUUGGGGAGGUCAGUACCGGCCGGUUCCAAUAGAAUCGGACCGGCUAUAGGUGAGUUUCCAAUCUGAAGAUCGCUUUCUUUUCAUCCUGUAAAGAACGAAUUGGACGACGCCGGACAGAGCCUCACCCAUGGCGUGGAGGGGUUAUUAAUACAUAUAUUUGCCUUGAACGAACGCCCAGUGUACCCGAGUCCAAUCAGGUCACCACGCCAUCAAAUUUUCAAUAUUUUUCCUUCUCAUGCUAGAGGGAACGCAUUGGUGUGACGAGGCAGGGCCUCAGCCAUGGCGUUGAGGUUUUUCUUUUGGCUUGGAAGGAACGCCCAGUGUGCAGGAGUCCUUUCAUCUAAAUUUAGAAGUUUGAUGUUUCUAACAGUAUGCAAGUUUGUAAAUUGCUCCAUUGAACAGAUUAGUAUACAAAGUGCUCUUCCCAUCAGGUUAUUCUCAGCCAUGGUGUGGAUAUUUUUAUUUUGGCCUAGAAGGAACGCCCAGUGUACAUGUGUCCUUUCCUGUGAAUUUAAAACUAUGAUAUUUCUAUUAGUAUACAAGUUUGUACAUUGCUCCAUUGAGCAGGUCAGUAUACAGAGUGCUCUUCCCAUCAGCUUAUUAUAUAUGUAAGCGCUACAAUUUCAAUCCAUCAUUCGGUAUGCCUUUAAUUGGCAAAGUUUGUGAUAGAUAUAGAAGCAUCCAAAUUUAAUAUCUUCGUAUCUUAAAUAUGUUAGAAUUUUAGCUGCUAUUUUAUUUGUGAAACAAAUAUAAGUAGAUUCAUGUUGACCGAUUCAUAUAAUGAUUUGCUAAUGUGGCCAAAUAAGUUAUUUCAUGCAGUACAUUCUGCGUGCUUAUUUACAUAUUGUUGUUAAUUAAUUGCCCUAAGAGAUCUUGAUUUUGCAUUUGUAUACAUUUUUUCUUUCCUGCUGCAUCCUGCCCAUCUGGAGAUGGUAUAAUAACUUAUUAUGGCGCCAAUCUAUUUUGUAAUUGUGCAAGUUUAGUGUUCAGUACAACUGUUUCGAUGAAUUAGGAUACGUCAAGUUUCACAGUCGAAAAAAUACUCUUUAAUGUUUCCCUUAGUUUUUUACAACAUCUCCAUAAGAUAUAUAUGAUUUUGGUUAGUCCAUUCCACAUUUUCUGCCAUAGGUAUUGGCAAUUUAAAUACGGUCAUUUUGUUGAUGCAAUUCCAAAUUAAUUGCGGUGGUUAUUUGUAUCGAUUCCAAGUCUAACUGAACAUAGUUCCUUUUUGUAGGUAACUUCUGUAGCUAACAUGUAACAUUCAUAUUAGUGACGAUGGUUUCUUCAUAUAUGGAGUGUUAAGGAUAAGACACCGGAUAUCACCGAAACAUAUUGCAACAAUUUCAUGUAGCAACGCGCGGGGUAUUAUUUAGUUCUUAUAAAUCUUACCAACUAUAGCUUUUGCUAAAAAACAACUAUAUAGCUAACCUCAAAGAUGUAAAUCCAAACAACUAAAAAAUAUGAAACCCCGGUGUCAGGUUUUGCUUAUAACCCUUCGAGGUUCAUAAACGAGCAUAAAAAUCAUCCCUUUUUUCUCAGUAAUCACCAACUAUGAUAAAUCUCAAGCAUGUGCAAAGCAUAGCCAAAAAUAAUUUCGACGGGGCAUAUCAAAUCCCACUAACGCAACACAGCGAGAAUUCUUACUCAAUAAUGUGAAACAUACCGAUAAUGAAAGUUUUAAUGAUGUCUAGAAGACCUAGGAAAUGGCAAUGCCAUGUCAUCUUUCUGAAAAUCAUUCUUAAUUUUUCCACGAUGAAGACUUUUGAAUAUCCCUCCUCGGUCAAUGUAACGCACCAUCAAAUAGUUAAGCCAGCCACCGGACAUCAUAUUGCGCAACUCGGUCUUAAUGAUUUUCGUUGCUGAGAAGGCUCUUUCAAUUGUUGUAGUCACUACUGGUACUAGCAAUGCCAACUCAAUGAGGCGAUAAAUCAUAGGAAACAUGAUGUAUUGUUCUAGUUCAACUAUCUUUUAUCCAGGCUUGCAAUACCAUGACAAGUUUUCAAUCCUUCUCGUAUGAAUAUGAAUAGCUCAAGGUUAUCUUCUAUAUGUUCACGUUCAUACUUAGAGAAAUACUCUUGAUAAAUCUCUAUGAGUCUCAAGCAUUUUCACAUUGAACCCAGAAAAUGAGUCUCUAGGGUCAAGACAAGAGAAGUUCUAGAGCAGCUCUAAACAUACCUCAUUAAAAUGAUGAUCAGCCUUUGCGGCGAUGGAGUCUAUAGCAGCAUAGAAGGUGUCCACAUGGAAAAAUGAUCAAUAGUGACAUUGUUUGUCCCACCUUUUCUUGAUUUUCCCCAUUUAAUAAAUAUGUCAUCCAUAUUUAGUAUCUGAAUUCCAUUUUUUGGUGCAAAAGGCUAUAAAAUCUUAAAAGAGUGGAUCCCAACCAUCAUUUCUUCGUUCCCAUAUCUGUAACCAAACACAUUGCCUAGAAUGAAACAAUUACAAUUUUGGAUGCAUGUAUGCUUACAUGAACAGAAUAUCAAGCAAACUGGAUACAUAUAACAUAAUCCAUCACAUACCUGAACAACUUAUUCAACAACCAAAACCCAAUUUGGAGAAGACAACAUGACCAAAUUUAUCAUCACAUCGGCCAUGCAUAAAAAGAUAUCAACCUAAUCUAUAAGUCAUAUACUUUGGGCACCAUAUUCCAACCAAACAAAGGCUACAUUACAUAGUUUCACAUAUGAACCAAGAUGUCAUCCAUAUUUGUUUUCCUAAAUCUACAACACAAUCACUACUAACUACAAUUGCAUAAUACAAGUUGUUUAAAGUUCAUAGAAAUAUACCUCUGCCUCUCCCCUUUUCCAUUGGCUUUUUCUAGCCCCUUGCCUCUCUAUCUUCUGUCAGGUGUUGGGAACAAACUCAACAAGGCACUGCACCAUACCGAUCAUGAAGGAUGUGAAGCUUGCUUCCACUACCUGCUAGGCCCCACCCUCAAUCGACGCUCGUUGCGCAGUACGCCCUACACAGUUGCACCCAACCACCCGCUUGCUCGAGGCCCUUAUUUGUCGUUAACUGUCAUGUUGUGUGAUGGUAUGUGGCGUCCUAGCCAGCCGCCGCCCUAGCUAGGUUUUGGAGUGAAGCAUGUGCGUCUCGGUCUUGUGAUUUGCGCCCCAUGCAUGCACAUCAUCAGUGGCAAUGGGUUCUUGCUCAAUCUACAUGUGGCCCAACUGCGUAUUAGAAUCUUAGUGGCCCAUUCUCAGGUGAGCGUCCGUUAGAGGCAAGAGUGAGCAUAGGUAGAAAUAAUUGCAUCGAGUUAAGGUAUGGUGGGAACAUGACGUUGCUCACUAGAGUCCUCCGCCGUCGAGUAGAUGGCCAUGCGUCUAGCAAACAUUGGGAGAGCCUAUCAAUAAUGAUCCACCUCGACGCCACCCCGCCGACAAUCAUCAUCGAGUAGAAGCCGCAACCAGACAUCGGUGAUGAAGAUGGUGGCCGACAACAUAAAGGUGGACGAAGAUGAGGUCUCCAGUAGCCUCUGGACACAAAGGAUCAACAGCUCGUUUACACAAAGGAUCAUGUAGAACAACAUGCGCCGAAGAGGAAUAAGCCCCUUGAAUGGGUGGUGGCCUCCUUAUAGAAGCUGAAGCAACGCUAAAAACCUGACUGCCCAGGAUUUGCAUCCAAAGACCGAAAGUGGGCCUCGAAGAAAGGAGGUUGAGAUGGAUGUCUUCCUCUGCAUGCACAGGGAUUUGACAGACUCCCCACUAGUUUGAUUUGUAGAUGUGGUUGAGAAAAUCUCGAACUCAAGUGAGGAGAAAUGAUGCCUAUUCAUUAAAGAAGAAAGAAUAUGCACCUACUCGAAAGGACCAUGCAUGCUUUUGUUUCCAGGAGACCAAAAGUGAAGCACGAGAUCUCUGUUCAGGGUUUUAUGUGUCUCUGGAUAUCGGGUAGGGAUAAAAUGGCAGGUGAUUAAGGGAUAGGGUAAGGGCAACGAUCCAGUGAGAUCCUAGACACAACCCUUGGCCGACAUCUUGGCACCACCGCGGUGCCAAGAAUAAAAAAGUAUGAAGAAAUCACUCAAAGGGUCAUUACAAUGGCAUACAUCUAUUGCCAAGUAUAGUUGCUAAUCAAUACAAUGGCAUGGCAGUAAAUAUUUUUGAUUGAUUCCCAAUUUGAGAUGUAACUAGACAAACAAGACCUAUAAAUUGUUCUUCAAUACUUGAGUUGUAACUCGGGUCAUUACAUAGUCAAGAAACACGCAAAUCAUUCUUGUUCAAUUUUACUACUAUAGCUAAUCUAAAAGACGUAAAACCCAAACAAAUAAAAAUAUGUAUCUAAAAUAUAAAAUUGUGAACUGAGCAUAGCUCAGAUGGUUAGUUCCUUGUGGUGGAAUUAGCCCACCAGGGUUCAAGUCCUACACUUAGCACCCGUGCUCGCAUUUUUCUGGAUUUAUUUCAAGUCUCCUGGCGAUGUUCGUUUAGUGGGAGGGGACAUUUCCGUUGGGUAUGAAGCGCCAGUGGUGACUUCAUCCAUCUCAAGAUUUUGUGUCUGCUCGGUAUUUUGAAGGUGCUCAUAGAAAUAGGUUGUGCGUACAUGGAUUCGUAUGGGUGAGUAUAUGUGCAUGUAUAUGUGCAUAUGUGGUUGUACUAUGUUAAAAAAUCGUACCAUGGUCAUAUUUUGCUUAUAACCAUCUUAGGUUCAUAUGUGAAACAUAUAAAUCUUUUUAUCAAUUAUCACCAACUAUGAUAAAUCUCAAUCAUGUACAAAACAUAGCCUAAAAUAUUUUCCACAAGCCAUACACUAGUAGAAAAAGAGGCUUCCAUACGCCCCCAUUAGUCCCCAAAAUAAUCGAACCGCGACAAAAGGGGUCUUUAGUCGCGGUUCGGGAGGAGACCCGCGACCAACUAUCUGGGACCCGCGACCAACUAUCUGGGCCCAGCGCGCUCGGUCGACAGCUGGCGGACGGGAGGGGCUUUAGUCCCGGUUGGCCUGGCCAACCGGGACUAAAGGUCCCCGAAGGCCUUUAGUCGCGGUUGGCNNNNNNNNNNNNNNNNNNNNNNNNNNNNNNNNNNNNNNNNNNNNNNNNNNNNNNNNNNNNNNNNNNNNNNNNNNNNNNNNNNNNNNNNNNNNNNNNNNNNNNNNNNNNNNNNNNNNNNNNNNNNNNNNNNNNNNNNNNNNNNNNNNNNNNNNNNNNNNNNNNNNNNNNNNNNNNNNNNNNNNNNNNNNNNNNNNNNNNNNNNNNNNNNNNNNNNNNNNNNNNNNNNNNNNNNNNNNNNNNNNNNNNNNNNNNNNNNNNNNNNNNNNNNNNNNNNNNNNNNNNNNNNNNNNNNNNNNNNNNNNNNNNNNNNNNNNNNNNNNNNNNNNNNNUGCUUCACAAUAUUCAGAAGGGGGUGGUGGGUUUGCUUUUGGUUCCUCCUAUGCACACAAGGUGUUCGAUGAAAUGCCCGAGAGCCUGAAACAAACAUGAUAUGAAGUGUCCGAGCCACACUUGAGCUUUCUCAUUUAUUUUUCCUCCGCGAUCGCGGUUAGCAACUUGAACCUUUCAUGUGUCAUUGAUAAAAUAUGCAUGUGUGUAGUUCAUUGUUUAAUUUGUAUUAUUUCUAGCUAGUUAGUUUAACAAAUGCAUGAUGGUUAAUUAUAUACUUUAUAUAAUAAUAAUGCAGAUGAAUCGGCAAUGGAUGUACGGUCCCCGACUCUCCGGCGAGUUCACUACGGGUUUGAAAGAUUUCCUCGUAGUGGCAAAUACGAACAAGCAGCAAGGUUUUAUUAUCUGUCCAUGUGCUGUCUGUAAGAAUCAUAAGGGUUACUCCUCCUCAAGAGAGGUUCACAUGCACCUGCUUCGGCGCGGUUUCAUGCGAAGCUAUAAUUGUUGGACCAAGCAUGGAGAAAGAGGGGUUAGAAUGGAAGAAGAUGAGGAAGGGGAUGAUAUCGAUGACAACUAUCAUGAUCAUUUCGGUGAUACUUUCAUGGAGGAUGAUGCUGAAGGUGGGGAAGGGUUAGGUGAAGGUGAAGAAGAGGCACAUGAUGAGCCCGCUGAUGAUCUUGGUCGGACCAUUGCUAAUGCACGGAGACGCUGCGAAACUGACAAGGAUAGGGAGAAUUUGGAUCGCAUGUUAGAGGAUCACAAAAAGUCGUUGUAUCCAGGAUGCGAUAAUAGUCUGAAAAAGCUGGGCUGCACACUGGAUUUGCUAAAAUGGAAGGCACAUGAAGGUGUAGGUGACUCAUCAUUUGAAAAUUUGCUGAAAAUGUUGAAGAAUAUGUUUUCGAAGAAUAACGAGUUGCCCGCCAGUACGUAUGAAGCAAAGAAGGUUGUCUGCCCUCUAGGUUUAGAGGUUCUGAAGAUACAUGCAUGCAUUAACGACUGCAUCCUCUACCGCGGUGAAUACGAGAAUUUGAAUGAAUGCCCUGUAUGCACUGCAUUGCGUUAUAAGAUCAGAGGCGAUGACCCUGGUGACGAUGUUGAGGGCGAGAAACCCAGGAAGAGGGUUCCCGCCAAGGUGAUGUGGUAUGCUCCUAUAAUACCACGGUUGAAACGUCUGUUCAGGAACGAAAAGCAUGCCAAGUGGUUGCGAUGGCACAAAGAGGACCGUAAGUCCGACGGGGAGUUGAGGCACACCGCUGAUGGAACGCAAUGGAGAAAGAUCGACAGAGUGUUCAAAGAUUUUGCAGCUGACGCAAGGAACAUAAGAUUUGGUCUAAGUACUGAUGGCAUGAAUCCUUUUGGCGAGCAGAGCUCCAGCCAUAGCACCUGGCCCGUGACUCUAUGCAUCUACAACCUUCCUCCUUGGUUGUGCAUGAAGCGGAAGUUCAUUAUGAUGCCAGUGCUCAUCCAAGGCCCUAAGCAACCCGGCAACCACAUCGAUGUGUACCUAAGGCCAUUAGUUGAAGAACUCUUACAGUUGUGGGCCAGACCUGGUGUACGUGUCUGGGAUGAGCACAAAGGAGAGGAAUUUGACCUACGAGCGUUGCUUUUUGUAACCAUCAACGAUUGGCCUGCUCUCAGUAACCUUUCGGGACAGACAAAUAAGGGAUACAAUGCAUGCACGCACUGCUUACAUGAGACUGAAAGUGUACGUUUGGUUAAUUGUAAGAAGAACGUGUACCUGGGUCAUCGUCGAUUUCUUCCCCGAAAUCAUAACGUAAGAAAGAAAGGCAAGCAUUUCAACGGCAAGGCAGAUCACCGGCCGAAGCCUGCGGAACGUACUGGUGCUGAGAUAUUUGAUAUGGUCAAGGAUUUGAAAGUCAUCUUUGGAAAGGGUCCUGGCGGACAAUCAGUUCCGCGGGGAGUUGACGGGCACGCACCCAUGUGGAAGAAGAAAUCUAUAUUUUGGGAGCUAGAAUAUUGGAAAGUCCUAGAUGUCCGCUCUGCAAUCGACGUGAUGCAUGUUACGAAGAAUAUUUGCGUGAACCUGCUAAGCUUCUUGGGCGUGUAUGGGAAGACAAAUGAUACAAAGGAAGCACGGCAGGACCAGCAACUUUUGAAAGACCCAGAUGACCGGCAUCCGGAAUGGUUUCAAGGUCGUGCCAGCUACGCUCUUACCAAAGAAGAGAAGGUCAUUUUUUUUGAAUGCCUGAGCAGUAUGAAGGUCCCAUCUGGCUUCUCGUCGAAUAUAAAGAGAAUAAUAAACAUGGCGGAGAAAAAGUUCCAAAACCUGAAGUCUCACGACUGCCACGUGAUUAUGACGCAAUUGCUUCCGAUUGCUUUGAGGGGGCUCCUACCGGAAAAUGUUCGAGUAGCCAUUGUGAAGCUAUGUGCAUUCCUCAAUGCAAUCUCUCAGAAGGUAAUCAAUCCAGAAGAUCUACCACGGUUACAGAACAAUGUGGUCCAAUGCCUUGUCAGUUUCGAGUUGGUGUUCCCACCAUCCUUCUUCGAUAUUAUGACGCACCUCCUGCUCCACCUAGUCGAAGAGAUUUCCAUUCUCGGUCCUGUAUUUCUACACAAUAUGUUCCCCUUUGAGAGGUUCAUGGGAGUAUUAAAGAAAUAUGUUCGUAACCGUGCUAGGCCAGAAGGAAGCAUCGUCAAGGGCUAUGGAAAUGAGGAGGUAAUUGAGUUCUGUAUUGACUAUGUUCCUGACCUUAAGCCGAUUGGUAUUCCUAUAUCGCGGCACGAGGGGAGACUAAGUGGAAAAGGCACGAUCGGAAGGAAAUCAACGAUAUGUAUGGACGGUCAUUCUAUGACUGAAGCACACCACACAGUUCUGCAAAAUUCCAGCUUGGUGGCUCCGUUCUUCGAGCAGCACAAGAAUAUUUUACGCUCGGACAACCCGGGGAAGCCUGAAUCCUGGAUUAGAAAGGCCCACAUGGAGACUUUCGGCAGUUGGUUGCGAAAACAUUUAAUGAAUGACAAUGAUGUUGGAGAUCAGCUGUACAUGUUGGCCAAGAAACCAUCUUCGACUAUAACGAUUUUCCAAGGGUACAAGAUAAAUGGGAAUACAUUUUACACCAUCGCCCAAGAUAAAAAGAGCACCAACCAAAACAGUGGUGUCCGCUUUGAUGCAGCAACCGAGAAUGGGCGAAAGGUCACAUAUUAUGGUUACAUAGAGGAGAUAUGGGAACUUGACUAUGGACCCUCCUUUAAGGUCCCUUUGUUCCGGUGCAAAUGGUUCAAGCUAACAGGAGGUGGGGUAAAGGUGGACGAGCAAUACGGAAUGACAAUGGUGGAUUUCAACAAUCUUGGUUACCUUGACGAACCAUUCGUCCUUGCCAAAGAUGUCACUCAGGUUUUUUAUUUGAAGGACAUGAGUAGCAAACCGAGGAAACGGAAAGAUAAGAAAACGAUCAGUACAUCAUGCGAUGAUCCAAAGCGCCACAUUGUUCUUUCAGGGAAAAGAAACAUCGUGGGAGUGGAGGACAAGACAGACAUGUCAGAAGAUUAUAAUAUGUUUGGUNNNNNNNNNNNNNNNNNNNNNNNNNNNNNNNNNNNNNNNNNNNNNNNNNNNNNNNNNNNNNNNNNNNNNNNNNNNNNNNNNNNNNNNNNNNNNNNNNNNNNNNNNNNNNNNNNNNNNNNNNNNNNNNNNNNNNNNNNNNNNNNNNNNNNNNNNNNNNNNNNNNNNNNNNNNNNNNNNNNNNNNNNNNNNNNNNNNNNNNNNNNNNNNNNNNNNNNNNNNNNNNNNNNNNNNNNNNNNNNNNNNNNNNNNNNNNNNNNNNNNNNNNNNNNNNNNNNNNNNNNNNNNNNNNNNNNNNNNNNNNNNNNNNNNNNNNNNNNNNNNNNNNNNNNNNNNNNNNNNNNNNNNNNNNNNNNNNNNNNNNNNNNNNNNNNNNNNNNNNNNNNNNNNNNNNNNNNNNNNNNNNNNNNNNNNNNNNNNNNNNNNNNNNNNNNNNNNNNNNNNNNNNNNNNNNNNNNNNNNNNNNNNNNNNNNNNNNNNNNNNNNNNNNNNNNNNNNNNNNNNNNNNNNNNNNNNNNNNNNNNNNNNNNNNNNNNNNNNNNNNNNNNNNNNNNNNNNNNNNNNNNNNNNNNNNNNNNNNNNNNNNNNNNNNNNNNNNNNNNNNNNNNNNNNNNNNNNNNNNNNNNNNNNNNNNNNNNNNNNNNNNNNNNNNNNNNNNNNNNNNNNNNNNNNNNNNNNNNNNNNNNNNNNNNNNNNNNNNNNNNNNNNNNNNNNNNNNNNNNNNNNNNNNNNNNNNNNNNNNNNNNNNNNNNNNNNNNNNNNNNNNNNNNNNNNNNNNNNNNNNNNNNNNNNNNNNNNNNNNNNNNNNNNNNNNNNNNNNNNNNNNNNNNNNNNNNNNNNNNNNNNNNNNNNNNNNNNNNNNNNNNNNNNNNNNNNNNNNNNNNNNNNNNNNNNNNNNNNNNNNNNNNNNNNNNNNNNNNNNNNNNNNNNNNNNNNNNNNNNNNNNNNNNNNNNNNNNNNNNNNNNNNNNNNNNNNNNNNNNNNNNNNNNNNNNNNNNNNNNNNNNNNNNNNNNNNNNNNNNNNNNNNNNNNNNNNNNNNNNNNNNNNNNNNNNNNNNNNNNNNNNNNNNNNNNNNNNNNNNNNNNNNNNNNNNNNNNNNNNNNNNNNNNNNNNNNNNNNNNNNNNNNNNNNNNNNNNNNNNNNNNNNNNNNNNNNNNNNNNNNNNNNNNNNNNNNNNNNNNNNNNNNNNNNNNNNNAGAAGAAAAAAAGGAAGAAGAAAAAAAGAAAGAAGAAAGAAAAAGGAAGAAGAAAAAAAGAAGAAAGAAAAAGGAUUGCUGGAUAAUCUUAUUUUUUAAUUCCUCCUCCUCUAUGUCCCCUUAAUCUUAUUUUUUAAUUCCUUUAUACUUAAAGAAUUUUUACUACAUGCAGGAGUGACAUAUGGCGGAUGAUAGAGCCGAGCCACUUAGGGAUCCGGAGGAUGAACGUUAUUUAAUGGGCAUCAUCAACAACGAGAUUCCUUAUGUGCCGGGCUCAGAAUAUGAGCAAGAAGAGGAUGUAGUCUCUUCUUUUCUGAACCUUGACGGUGGAACAGAGAUUGUCGAUGAUCAAGAAGGUGAAGGAACGGACAUUGUCGACGGAGGUCAACCGUCAACAAACGACGAUCUCGAAUUGCAAGUAGCAACCACCUCCGGCGAGGUAUAUAUAUACAUUGAGCCUCUCGUGAUACAAACUUACUGAAAUAUGAAUACAUAUGUAUUAACGCGCGCAACUCUCUUUCUUUUUUUAGCCCUCCGGAUCGAGUACGACAAAGCGUGGCAAAUCCAAGGCGAUGAAAACAGGAGAAACAUAUGCCAUUGAGUUUGUCAGUGAAACCGGCAAGCCCCUACAGCACACCUCAAAGUUUAUCAACCAAUGCGGAGUCGUUGUUAGAGACAACGUCCCGAUCACCGUCCAGGAAUGGAAGGAGCCAAAGAAGGCACGUCUUGGUUUCAGUUUUGUCGACAAGAGAACGAAAAAGGAUUGCUGGAGAAAGCUUAUGGAACAUUUCAUUCUACCUCCGGAAUACAACAAAGUCGAUGAAUUCGGUAACGUGGUUCCGGGUGGACGUCAGAGGAGGAGGCUAGUUAAAGAGUUCGCUCUUCAGAAGAUGGGCGAAGCAUUCCGGAACUUCAAGAAAAAUUUAACCCGUGACUAUGUCAACAAGGGCAAGACUCCGGAUUUCAAUGGACAACAUGAGAAACUGAAAGAUGAUUGGCCAGAAUUUGUGAGGCAAAAGCAAUCGGAGCAUUUCAAGGAAAUAUCGAAAAAAAAUAAGGAUAAUGCGAGUAAGAAAAAGUUCCAUCAUAUUAUGGGGCCAGGAGGAUACCGCCUUUCGGAGCCUAGGUGGCAGAAGAUGGAGGAGGACCUGAGGGUGCGAGGAAUCCCUCUAGGUACAGAGGGAUGGGACCCAAGGGCCAAAAGCUAGUGGUACGGGCAUGGGGGAUCGCUAGACCCGGAGACAGGGGUGUGUGUUCACCGGCAGAGACAGUUUGCUCCCACCCAAGCCCUUAUUGACGCAAUGACCCAAGCUCAAGAGGGCUUGAUCAAGUUCAACAGAGAGAAAGACGCACUGACAACAGCCCUCGGGAAUGAUGAACACGGAGGACGUGUACGAGGCAAAGGCAAAGUUCCGUGGAAAGUAGGGUUUUCCCAGGACAAUGACCCGUACUGUUACAGAAGCCGUAAGAGAAAGACGGACCGGGAUGCAGAUCUUAUGACGAAGUUUGCAUCGGAACUCCAUGAGUUGAAGCAGACCGUGCAUGAACUAGUAAAAGAAAAAUCGGCUGCAGGGCCACAUGAAGAUCAUGAAGCGGAUCGCGGAAGCCAGCAGCGGAGAAGCAGCGUGGCUUCCACGGAUGCCCCGCCUGGUGCUAGUGCACCGAUGAUCGAGAUUCGUGCACCGGAGCCUCACUACCCCGUGGAUGAUGUAAAGGAGAUGAAAGAAUGUGAUCUGCAUUAUCCCGUGGGGAACGUUUCCACGAAGGUAGCUAGCGGCAGUGCUUUACCCUGUACACCUGGAGCACUCCACCACAACAACCCCAUUGCAUAUGGCUAUGCUCGUGUCACGGUGGAAGACAUAGUCCAAGGGUUUGAGGACCUGGAGAUUGACAAACCUACACCCGAAGGGGAGAGAAGACUUGGAGAUGUCAAGCGCCAGAUCAUUCUAUGGAAAAAGAAGUACAUAGUGUUUCCAGGCGACGCGCCAAGGCUAGCAAGUCCACCCCCCUCCGAUGGUGGUGGUGGUGGCGGUGGUGGUGGUCGUGGUGGUUCACCUACACCUCCUUCACGCCAUUCGACGCCAUCCCCCGAUCCACAACCUCCGGCGGGUGCGACGCCCCCCAAUCCUCCUCCGGCGGGUACGACGCCCCCCAAUCCACCUCCGGCGAAGAAGCAGAAGCAGGCGGACAGCAAGGAAACCCGCUCCUGGACUAUUAACCCGGACCCUUAUGUACCUAAGACCACAAGGGUACCGGAGCCAUCACUGAAGCCUCUCCUCCCAAGGCCUGGGGAACUUAGUGAAGCUGAAACCAAAUUGGCCGCGUCUGCUGAUUAUGAGAAAUGGAAGGCGGAUAUGAAGGCGAUAAAAGAGCCUGAGCCCAAGCAAGUAUUCACUGAGAAGCAAAAGAAGUGGGCUAAGGAUUUUUUGACGACACCGUCCCAAGCCGAGCUGAAUAUGCCUGACGACUAUGGACAUGAACUUCGUAGGCAAGCAAAAAUAUUGAAGGAGGAGAAAGAAGAAAGUAAAAUAAGCGGGAAACAAGUUGACCAGCUCGGGAUGCAGAAGAAACAAUCGACCCCCCCGCUCAUAGUGAAAGCCGGUCCGGAAGAGGACCCCGAGAUCAUAGCAGCUGCGGCAGCACUUGGAUUGACUGUAGCGAGUGCCAUGAAACAAGCGUCCGAGAUGGGUUUGACUCUUCGUGCCUUCUUAGGCCUUGAGGAUGCGCCAGUAUGUGAGAUAGCAUUACAAUAUGUGCGGAAUGGGCCUCUCGUCGAGCCUGCGCGGGAGAAGAGUCUACCACCACAAAUGCGAAAUCUGCUAUGUUGGUACAAGCAAUUCAUAACAUGGGCCGACAAAGAAUAUAUUUAUGCGGAUGUUACAGAGGAGCAUCACACCAAACGGUACUCUGUACAAGUUCAUAUGAGUGAAUUGUUCCAGCUGUUCAAUCUGCGCGACCUCGACAAAUCUAUGCUGAGUUGCUACGUUCUAUAAGUGAUUUAUUUCUACCUCAUCUCGUUCUUCAUUGCCUGCACUAUAUAUAUAUAUAUAUUGUCCUAACUAUAUUGUUGCGUACGCUAUUAUGCAGAUUGAAGAUUUGGGAAUGCAAAAUAAAAAACAUCCAUGAUGUUGGGUUCAUUGACCCACAUAUCGUUAAUGGACAUGUGUUACAAUAUCACUCCGAAGACGUGGAGAAAGACUUGUACAAGUUUCUUAGAAAGCAUCAACUCAAAAGUCAUAUUCUAUUUCCUUACCAUUUUGGGUGAGUGUUUCUCUCUUGUGCCCAUUCUCUUUUGUUUACUCCAUGCAUGGUAUGUCUAAUCGAUGAGUUAUGCAUGACUGUGCAUGUAACGUGUCUGCAGGUUCCACUGGAUUCUGCUAAAUAUUGAACUUCACACCUCCAGAGUUCUAAUCAUGGACUCUAUGUAUUCGGAUCCAAAGCGUUGGGCCGACAUGAGAAAAAUGCUGCAAAAGUAAUUAUUUUCAAUCAUUUGAGCUCUAUAUCGAUCGGUCUCUUUCGUUCAUUUCCUAAUAUCAAGUAACUAAUAACUCCCUUGUUCAUUUAAUUUUCUUUGCCCUGUAGGGUUUGGAGACGGUUCUCAGAAGAAAUUGUCGGUGAAUUCAAACAUGAGCUAGAUUUUAGAAGGUUAGUUAAUGUGGAUAAGCAGCCACCGGGGACCAAUCUAUGUGGAUACUAUGUUUGUGAGAACAUCCGGAGACUAACCUCUGAGCGGAAGGCAUCGGAUAGCGUGCGGAAGGCGACGGAUAACUUGCGGAGGAGGCUUAGUCCAGAAGCUCGCUUCCGACCAAUUCAAGAUGAAUUAGCAGGAUUUUUCUUGAGGGAAGUCAUCAAUCCUAAAGGAGAACACUAUACCGAGGACGCAGACAUUUAUAUGCAUACCCGAGAUUGAAACUUGUUCGAAGUUGUAUAUGGUCCUCCAUCCUAAUUGUGUAUGGAAACUUGUUCGAAGUUGUAUAUGGUCACCCGAGAUUGAAUAUAUAUUAUAUAUUCCUCUUGAAUUCUUCUUGUUUGAAAUUUCAUAUGCAUGUAUAUAGUAUCGUAGAAUAUGUGUACUGAAACUUCAUCAAAAUUAAAACAAAAUACAAAAUAAAAUAUAAAAGAAAUAAAACACUACAAAUUAAAAAGAAACCAGGUUUAGGGGGGCUAAAACCCUAAACCUGUGGACGAGGCCUUUAGUCCCGGUUAGCCACGAGAACCGGGACUAAAGGUCCUCCGCCCCGACGGACCCCUGGCGGCCAUGUGGACGGGCCUUUAGUCCCCGUCAGCCACGAGAACCAGGACUAAAGCCUUUAGUCGCGGUUCGUAAGAGGAGUGACUAAAGGGGGGGGGGGGUCUUUAGUCGCGCAUAUUUAGUCCCGGUUGCACAGCCGGGGCUAAAGGCCUUUGCGAACCGGGACUAAAGGGCUUUUUUCUACCAGUGAUAUCAAACACCAAUAACGGAGCACAAUAAGAAUUUUUACUGAUCUUGGAUUUUAAACAUCUUUUGUACUGUCUAAUACUCAUCCAUUUCGUAAUGUAGUGUGUUAGAUUUUCUUGAAAAGUCAAACUUUGCAAACUUUGACCAAGUUUGUAGAGAAAACUAUUUAUAUCUACAAUAUCAAAUAUAUAAAAUAUGAAACUACAUCUUAUGUUGAAUCUAAUGAUAUAUGUUUGACAUUUUAGAUGUAAAUGUUUUUCUUGAUAAACUUGGUGAAAGUUUGUGACAUUUUACUUUUCAAAAAAAAAUAUGCACUGCAUUAUGGAAUAGAGGGAGUACGUGUAAAGGAAUGUGUAACCCAUAUAUUUUAUCCGAUGUCACAAACUGAGCCAUGACAUGGCAUAAUGGCAUACAACAUUUGUUCACCAGCUUUGUUCGCAAAACUCAAAACCAUAAUGCAUCAUUAGUUUUUUCUUGAUCAUUGAAUUAGAGUUGUCAUUUGCAUCAUGAGAUAAGAUAUGUUAAGUUUUUAUCACUUGGCACUAGUUAAAGAAAUUCUUAGAUACAUAACUCUAUAACUUUGUGGCCUUUGGCUAUAUAAUAUCUUGAAAUGACAAUGCAAGUUCUUUUAAUUUAUGGUCGGACAACCAAUAGUCGUGUAGAUUAUUGGUGUUAGUUGUGGCUAUGGAAAGCAAAAUCUCAAAAUUAUACAAGGGAUAUGAAUAAAACAAUUGCCUCUCGUUUUUUGGAAAAUGCCAAACCACACCACAAUGAUCAAUUUUGCUUGACCAUGUAUCCGGGUUAUUCAUUUAUCAUCAAAUAAUCAAGAAAGGUUUGAGUCUAUUUUUUAAUCGAUUGCCCGAUGAAAAUUUUAAAACGAUAGCAAAUCAUAUAUACCACCAGGUUAUAUGUGUACUAUUAAAAAUGUUAUUCGUGAGAAAUGUUAAUCAUGUUUGUUGAGAAAAUGUCACAAUGUAUAACUAGGGAAGAAUGUUAAUCACGUGAUUAGUUAAUGGCUAACUAAUCGCACCCUCAUCUCCUAUUGCAUAACUACUAAUUGGUAUCUUUAGAAAAUAACUAAUGUGUCAAAGCUACUAGUGUAUACAUGUCCAUCUCCUCUUGAAUCACUGAUAUUUGUAUCUUUAGAAACUAACUAAUGCAUCCUAGUUUCUGUAGUUUUCGCGCUCGGAUACACCUGCACCCAGAUGAUCAGUAAAAUCCAGAAAAAUGGUGAAAAUAUUUUAAAAAACUGAUUGACAACAAACAUGUUUGAGUAUUAUACUCACAUACAAAUUUUAUGAAAACGACAUUCGACGUGUCUAGGAAAACAAACAAAAUUCGUACUCUGAGAAUGCUAUUUUUGAACCAUUAUUGGAGUGCCUAUAUUUUUUUACCCAAAGAAUCGUGAAUGUCAUCUCUUCACAAAAAAUAUGCGUAAGGAGAACACUUAAGAAUUUUUCUCUCCAAAAGAAACUUCAAAAUUUUCUUGCUAUGCAUGUCCAUCUACGAUCAGAAUGACACUUUCACAUCUCCUCUUGCAUCACUAUGGGCUAACGUUAACUAUGUGUUUAACUUGGAGUAAAAUUCAUAGGUGGAUUGUCAAAGAGCACAUGAAUAUUUCUUAGAGAUAGACUAACCCCAGAUGACUUUGAAUUUCUUAUGGUUGUAAUCAUUAACCAUGUAGUUCGUGAGUGGAGGGAAUUAUUUUGCAAAGAAUUCUUAGAGAUAGAUCACUAGAACUCACAACCUCCCGUGAACUCACACCCUCUCAUGAACACCCACCCUUUUGUAUGGCUCAAGAGGCAAUGCUACACACCAAGCCAUACCAUGACUGCAUCCAUCAGUUACAAAUAUGCACUAUCUCCUAUCCAACUACACGUCUGACAUUUGCUAGCUAGAACUCAUUAGCUUCUAAAGGUAUACUAUUAAUUUCUCAAUAUAUACAUGAUUAAUUAAUCAAGAUUUACCAUAAAUAUAUACGCAUUUAUUUGGAGAUUCCUUAUUAUGACCUGGAUUUAUCUCAAGAGAGAACUCAUAUAUAUAGGAAAAUAGUUGUAUCUAUCAAAUUGUUGAGUAUGUACGCGUAGUAUGCAGUAUAUAAGAAUGUUUAGGUAGUAUAGAUACUACUUUUUUGGUAGUAUGUAUCAUAUUUUGAGUAUGCUUCUUUUUACGUACAAAUAUGUACAUAUUUCACAAAUAUAAUAAAAACAAUGGGUCAACUUGCAGUUUUUUCAUGUAACUUACUUUGAAGUAUCUUAUAUANNNNNNNNNNNNNNNNNNNNNNNNNNNNNNNNNNNNNNNNNNNNNNNNNNNNNNNNNNNNNNNNNNNNNNNNNNNNNNNNNNNNNNNNNNNNNNNNNNNNNNNNNNNNNNNNNNNNNNNNNNNNNNNNNNNNNNNNNNNNNNNNNNNNNNNNNNNNNNNNNNNNNNNNNNNNNNNNNNNNNNNNNNNNNNNNNNNNNNNNNNNNNNNNNNNNNNNNNNNNNNNNNNNNNNNNACUGCAUAAUAGUAUGUGAGACAUGAGGGUAACUAACCCCAGGUGGUAGGAUGUACUUUCCAUAUAUAGAGCAACACUAUUUUGAUCUUAGGAUCAUAAUAAUAUUCAAAUUACCGCGCGCCCUAUAUAGGGCCUGAUGGACUUGUUCCCGAACUCCUCACCUGCAGAGACAAAAGAAAAAGGCAACCCACCCACCCGUCUCCACCUUCCUCCGAAAGCCACCAGCCGUUGGGAUCCUACCGCUGCACUCCGCGCGCCACCCAGCACGCUGCCAGCCGUUGUUUCAUGCUCGUCGAUACCCAGUUGUUGCCCGCCGCCGCGUGCAUCCCCAGGCGUUGCCUCCCUCGCACCGUUCCCUAUCUCACCACCCCUUGCCCCGAUUCACCCGCCGGCCUCCGCCACUUCGUCGGGACCAGAUAACCGGCCGCCGUGCCUCCAAGGCCAAAGAAUACGGUCAUUGUCCCACCUUCCUAGUUCCUACCCCAUGCGGUGUCCCUCCUUCCUCCCCCGACCGCACCCGCCUUCAAUGCCAAAAAAUACAGUUCCCGUCCCACCUUACUACCCUGUCUGCAGACCCACCUUCCUCCUCAGGCUGGGUGUCGGCGCCCCACCUUCCUCCUCGUCUGCUGCCGCCACACAACUUCCCCCAUCGCCUGCAUUUCCCGUAGAAAGCGGCUGCCAUGUGGCGAGUGGCUGCCACUUAAUCACUCUGCGGCUUGACACCACACUGAUUGACGACAUGGGUCGAGGUGGAGUGGUUGGGUGAGGUAGUUUUGCCUCCGUGAGUCCCGGCAGGCCCUGCCGGGACGUCUUGGACAUUUUCUUCCGGAGGCGACCCUACCCUCACCGAGCUCGUCUGCCCGGCAAGGGAGGCUUUUCCACUGGUGGUUCUUGCUUCUCUGACUUGAUCUUGCUCCUCUUGAUCUGCAUGCUGGUCAUUCGAAGAUCUCAGUCUCCUGUACUCUGGUAUGGCCUGGUGCCGUAAUUUCGCUCCCUUGCCUGUGCACAGUAUGGGAAACAGACACAGGGUUUGUUGCACCGACAGAAGCCCCCGGGCCAGCCCUGAUCACGCUGCUGAGCAUCAUCAGGGUAGGCCCUAAUAAGUGCACAGGCGGGGGGGGGGGGGCCUGAAGAGGCUGGUUUCUUGAGGUCUUCUUCGCUCCUUCAUUAAUCUUGAGCCCGGGCCAGUUUCCGAUUUCUCCGCACGUCAUAUGUGACGUUAUGAAAAAACUUAGAUCGUGGUCCGUCGGGCCCGGGCCAGGUCUACCCUCAUCUUUCAUCCAUGAUUUAUUGUUUGUCGAAGAAACAAAACUAAGUUGAGGUAUUGCUUUCUCAUAUGUGAAUGAGAUGCCAUGUAAAAAAAGUAUAGUAGAAGAGAAAUUGCUUUGUUGUUGUGCUUGCACAACUAUGUAAUUUUUUUGUUUUUGCGAAGGUGAAAAUGGUGUGUUUGAGAAGGUCAAAGUAUGCUGAGUACAUAUUGUCAUUUUUGCAACCACCGAAGGCAAACAAUUGUAAAUUUUAGUAUGAAUGUGACUCGAAGUUCUCUGGAAAAUUAGUAAUAAAAAAUAUGGAUGUCCAGAAUGUACUAAGGGAUGCAGGCCAGGGUGUUGAUUUUCCAUAGAUUUUGCACGGGACUGUAACUUUGUAUAAUUUGCAGCACCCUGUGAUAGGUGGAAACUUGUUUUUUCCUUGUGAUAUUACCACUUCAAAGUCGUGGGGAAAGUCCUGCUUCUCCUGUUGCUGUACUGCGAACAAUAUAUACACAAAAAGGAUAUAAUGCAUACACAUAAAAGUUCUGGAUGCUUCAAAAAGAUGUUGAAGUUCAUUUACCAAACUUCAUUUUAGUCUAUUAUGUAAUACGACACAAAAUAAUUGGUACAAAAAAGAUAAGACAUUUAAAAAAUUGGGUGAAAAGGGAGAGAGGGUUAGAGCAAAAAAUUAUUAACAAAAGCCUCACCCAUAAAAAUUGUUAACUUUAGAAGUUCAAAUUCAAUAAAGCUGAGAGUUCGGGAAUAAUAUUAAAAGCAAAAAGGUGACACACAGAUGCUUGUACAAAUUUCCCCCAUGGAUUUCCUCGUUACUAGUAAUAAACAAAACGUCCAGAUAUCCCCUGUUUGCAACAACCCGAGUAAAUAAUUAAUUUUCAUUUUUUCUUGAAGUUCAAAUUGGUGAACCCAGGCCGUUCAAUGUUGCGAACCCAGGCCAUUCAAGUCCCCUGAUCUCCCUCGUUUCUAAAAAAGGAUUUCCCCAUUUUAAAUUUGAAGUUAUACAAAAGGAUGAUCCCCGUUUCUAAAAAAACUAGAAGGUCAAAUUAAAAUAAGGGAGUGGUUCAAUGUUUUUCAUUUAUUACAAAACUUGGAUUUUUGACGUUAAUGAAAAAUAAAACUAGAAGUCCAAAUUAAAGAUGGAGCAAUUUAAUGUUUAUAAAAAAACUCAGAUUUUCGUCGUUACUAAAGAAUAAAACCAAGAAGCCCAAAAGGGAUUUUCUUCAAUACUGAAGAAUAAAGCCAUGAAGUUCAAAUUUGUAAAACCAAGUAGUUUGACCUAUAUAAAAAACUCAGAUGUUCCUUGUCAAUGAAGAAGAAAACCAAGAAGUUCAAUUGAAAAAAGCGGAGCAGUUCGAAAAUUAUUACAAAACUCGAAUUUUCCCAUACAUCAGAAUAAAAUAAACAAGUCCACAUUACGGAAAGGAAACAGGGUGAAGUUCGAACAAACAUGCCCCAGAAGUUCAACUUCUUCAUGCGGAGCACUUUUGAAAACUCUGUUUUUGCGAUGAAGACAUCACGCAUGAUCUCGCCCUUUUAAAAAAUUCUUCACAACGACUUGGAAUUAUAGCAAACUCUCUACAUGCAAAAGUUUCACAUUUUUUAUAGCUUUCCAAUGCUAUAUCAUUUGCCCCAUUCUGAUAAAUUAUUGAAAUAUGACGACAAAAAAGUAGUUUUGGCCAUUUUCAAAAUUGACUUCAAAACAUUUAAAACGCAAAUUCUUUUCGUUUCUAAGAAAAAUACAAGUAUGAAGUUCAAUUUUAAAAAGAAAUGUUUGAUGCUUAUUUAAAACCAUAUUUCUUCUAAGCAGUUCAAAUUAUAAUAAUAGAGAAGUUCAAAGAAUAAAAUGAACAAGUUCAAAAAAUGAGCAACUAAAAAAUUUAAAAAAUAUUUCCCCCUUUUUAAAAAACUAGAAGCUGAAAUUAAAAUAACGAAGUGGUUCAAUGUUUAUUAAAAACUUGAAUUUUACGAUUAUUUAAAAACUAAUGCAUCCCUUGUUAUUAAAGAAUGGACCAUGAAGUUCAAAAUGAAAAAAUAGGAAAAUUUGAUGUUUAUUUGAAAAAAACAAAAAUAAUUCUUUACUCAAAAAUACAAAAAAGGUGAAGUUCAAAUUAGAAUAACACAGAAGUUCAAAGUUUAUUAAAACCUAGUAUUUAUGAGUUCAAAACACUAAAAAAAAUCAACAUUUUCGGCAUUUUUAAGGACAACUCAUAAAUGGUGAUUCAAUUUUGAAAAAACUCUCUAAAUGCCAAAGUUUCUCCUAUUCAAACUCUCUCCAACAUGAUAUCAUAUGAUCUAUUCCAUUAAAUUUUUUAAAGUUUUUGGUUCAUAGUGUUCGAAAAAAAUAACUUUUAACAUACUAAAAAAAAAGAUCCUAAAAAUGUCACGAAUUAGAAAAACUGCUCAACACGUAAAGUUGCGCCUUUUCGAUGGCUUUCUAACGGUAUAUAUUUUUCUCAGUUUCAAUCAAUGUUUUAGGAAUUAUGGUUAAAAAGGUAAAGAGAAGUUAAAAGUGAAAGCAACCAGCGAUUCAAUUAGUACAUGGACUGUGUUUCAUAUAAGAAAAAAAGAAUAAAAAGAUAAAGUCUAAAAAGACUUUAGCUAGAAGUUCUCGUGGUCGGCCACGAAGUUCAAAAAUUCUUGUAAAGGAGGUUCACUCUGUAUGUAUUUACUUGCACAAAAACACACAAUAAAUGUUGUUUUUUGUGUUUUCAAACAAUUUUAUCCAUCCAUUACAAAUUUGAAACAAAAAAGCUCGACCCAAAAAAUGUUCUUUCUAUUCAACAAAUUUCCAAGGGUAUAUUAUAUUCUUAUUCCAAAAUAAAUGAUUAAAAAUGGUCUAUGUUGUUCAAAAAAUAAGUUUAACCUUAUGAAAAAAAUUGCGUCUUUUCAACUAGUUCCUAAUGGUUUAUCAAUUGUGGAACUCCGAGGAAGGGGUAAGGAACUACAAACAAAAAUACGUUACCAAAGUUCAAUGUGAAAACGGCGAGCAGUUCAACUACUAUACGGAAUGGGUUUUACAUGAGAAUAAAAGAAUAAAAAACUAAAAGCCUUAAAGGUUUUUUGCAAGAAGUUCACGUGCUCCACCCUGCACGGUUCAAUAAUUAUAUUAGAAGAUGUCCGACCUUCAAUUGCAUGUUAAAAAAAAGGCAAAAACAACAUUAUUUUUGCCAUUUUUAUAACUGCUCUCAAAUGGCAACGAAUUUGUAACAUCUGUAUGCAUGAAAAUUUUGUUCCUAUUCAUAAGCUCUCCAACGGUAUAUUAUAUGCUACAUUUUGAUGAACGGUUUAAAAGUUUCAUGUAUACCGUUAAAAACAUCUUACAAACCGUUGCGAGUAUGAAAAAAUGGUCGAACACGGGAAGUUGCAUGCUUUCAACAGCUUUCCAUUGGUAUAUUAUUUUUCCAAUUCCGGGUAAGUGGUUGGGGAGUUACAUGCAAAAACCAGGACAUCAAGAAUAGAGUGAAGUUCAGAGACACAUGCCUCAGAAGUUCAACUUCUUCACGCAGUGCAUUUUCAAAGACUCAGUUUUUGCGAUGAAGGCAGAACGCAUGAUCUCGUCGUUUUGAAAAUUACGUAAAAACAGCUAGGAAUCAGAGAAAACUUUAUGUAUGGAAAAGUUUUGCAUUUUAUAUAGCUAUCUAGUGGUAUAUUAUUUGCCCCAUUCCGACAAAGUUUGCGAAAAUUAUGGCCAAAUUUUUUUAGCCAUUUUCAAAAUUCACUUAAAACUGUAAACAAUUGGGAGAAACAUUAUAUACAAAAAGUUUCCAAUUUGUUCAGGCUUCCCAAUGUCGUAUCAUUUGUUGUAUUCCGACUAACCAUUUAUGGAAAACCCCAAAAAUACAAACUCGGAGGAGCUUCGACCGUUUUCUAAAUUACUUUUAAACCGUUCAAAAUUAGAAAAAAUAUUCUACGUGAAAAAGAAGCGCAUUUUCAUAAGCUUUCCAGCAUCAUAUCCUUUGCAUCAAUAUGACUUGCCAUUUUCAAAUUACGCCUAAAUACGAGCUCAGCUGUCCGGUUUGAGAAAUUCCGCUAUUUUUCAAAUUGCUCUCUAACCGUUGUGAAUUUGGGAAAAAUUUAUAUAUGUCGAGUGAGCAGAUUUGCAGCAGCUUUGAAAUGCCGUAUUAUUUGCCUCAUUCUGAUAAACAUUUGGAAAUGGUCUCGAAAAUAGGACUCAUGUUUUUUUGUAUGAUAUGAAGAAAAAUGGUUUGUAAAACUGCUCUUAAUCCGUGUAGAUUUUGACAUAAGUUUAACUUAGGUUGUGGUCCAUGUGUCGACAACUUUCCAACGGUAUAUUGCAAGACCCAUUUUGACAAUGUCCGCGAAAGUUCAAACUCUCCUUGGAUGAAGUUCAACUACUACUACUACGACAGGUCGGUUAGUUAUUAGUGUGUGUGUGUCUAUAUAUAUAUAUAUAUAUAUAUAUAUAUAUAUGGGCAAAGCAAAGCUAUUGUGUUUCUCUCUAGAGGUGGCAAUCACGAGCACACAUUCUUGUUGGGAUUUGAACCAGUAACUUUCCUUCUUUCCAUUUAUUUCAUUUCGUGUGAUUGAUAGGUAUGUCCUCUUAUAGAUGAAUUAGGACCACGGUCUCCUUGUUAUAGCCCAGUACGCUCGCUACGCAGUUAACCAGUUUUAGCAAAUAAUACUAGCUAGUUACGUCCACAACAUAGGCGAUGAUUCUUGAUGCUAGAUUAAGUUUCGGGGUGUGUGAAAGAAGAGACUUAAUUAAAAGUCUCGUCCCCCACACUAAACUUCGUCAAAUACACAUGACCCCUUAGAAGAUCGUCCAUCUUCAUCACCCUCUUGUGUACACAACGGUUCACUAUUCUCAACUACAGUGAACCCCAAGGAACUGCUAGCAGAUCGUCGACAGUCAGAGUCGGUCGAUUGUCAGAACCUUGUAACAAAGCGACACCAUAUUGUCAACGAAUUGAACCAAAGCAACACUCGAGGAAGCAUAGAAAAAACAUCAACCCUCGAUCACAACCUACACCUACCCAUAUAACUGGUCUUGAUGCGACCGUUGGAAAACGUAGUAGAAAACAAAAAAAUCGCACCUACGCACACCCAAGAUCAAUAUGAAGGUGCAUAAUGGGUUGUGAUCACGAUCAUUACCAUCACGUAGUAGAAAACAAAAAAAUCGCGCCUGUGCACAGCGAAAGAAGAACGUGUUAGUGUAGGUCGUAAUUGGAGUCCCUCGAACCGUCGAUGAACGAUACCGUGAACCGCCCACAAACAGUCCCUCAAACCAAAGACCUAAAGCACGACCUCUCUACUUGGUUGCAAACGUGCAUCCUUCACAAUCCGGUAGCGCUUUGUCGUCCAAAGCUAGUCAUUGCGAGAGAACUGGAGGGACGAGAUUAGAACCACACAGGGCUUCUAAUUAUGAGGAUUAGAGGAUUAGUCUAGCUCUAAUUAGUCAACUAGGAACCACUAGAACUAGAAGAACUAGAGGAGGCUCCAAAACUUGUGUAUGCAAAAGAGCAAAAUCCCCUAGUAUAUGUAGGUUGAAGGGGAGAGGGAGGGCUGCCACCAAGGGGGGAGGAAUCCCCCUUGGUGCGCCGGCCAAGGGGAGGAGUCCUCCUCCCUUUCCCCAAUUUGGCCUCCUACCUUAGGGAAGGAGGCGCCUCCCCCACUUGGGCCUUUGUGCGCCAAGUUUCCUUCCACCUCUUUCCCUUUUAAGGCCCGUUGAUAUCUAUACCUACUAAUAAAUCAAGGUGAUAUUCUUGGUUUGGUCUCGCAUCCAAUCCUACGUUAUGUUGAAAUACACGCGGCAGUACUAAUUCGUAGAGCCAAAUUUUUCGUUAAAAAGGUUUGUAUUGGCUGGGCUGCGUUCCUCCACUUGGGCCUUCACACGUCGUAUUUAUAGCUGGCCAUGGGAAACCCGGCUCGGCCGUCCCGAAAAAGCCCGACCCGACCCAACCUGAUCUUCCCAUGGGCCAGGCCUAGGCCUAAGUUUUUAGCCCAAAGGCUAGGACGAGCUUGGGCUUGACAUAUUCUUGUUUUAGGGAAGAGGCCCCACAGGUUUUUCACCGAUAGCCCUGGCCUGGGCCUGAAAUCUAGGCCUGAGCCGGGCCCGGGCCUAGGUUUUCUACUACGGGCAUUAUUAGGCCUAGUCUGAAGCCCAUCCCGACACGACUUAUGGCCUCGUAUAGUCGUAUCCUAUUGCCUAUACUAUCGAGGCUAGCUACCGUGUUUGUACCCCUAAAAAAAGCUAGUGUGUCUGUGUACAACUUCUUCUAGCUUCUUUAUAUAUGCACAAAUCAAACCCAUCCCACUGGUUCUUCCUGUAUUUGCCUUAUCUUGGUGUCACGGCAAUCGAUCGAAUCUUGGCUUCGCGGCGACGGUGUAACCAGCAUAAGCGAGAUUAGGGACCCGGCGUCGGCAACACACUGUAGCUGAGAGGCGCCACACGGCUACACGCCUAGAUCAUUCAAUCGCCAGGACACCAUGGACAAUGACAGCCAGAUCAUCAACUUCAAAGUUCUCCAGAGUUUUCCUACAAGGGAAGUAGCAGCGGCAGGGACAGGUUCAACAUGUACAUAUCUUCCUGACGACAUUGAUAGUUAGCAGGUAGUGGUACGCGAGCGAGCUCAGCUUUGACACGGCACGCGGUCAAGGUGAAGGACCUUAGGAUAUCCAAGUUCAAGUGUUGCACAAGAUAGAAGCGUUCCUGGUGGCCUACAUCUGGCCCAUCCCAGUGCUUCCUGCCAGCCUCGGCGGCCGCGUCAAUGCGCUCACCGUCAUAGGGAGUUUGGUGACAGAACCUCAACUUUGUGUACAUUGUCCGCUUUGACACCGACGCAGUUGUCAUGAAUCAGGUUCGUCCGACUGAUGCAAAAGUUCAUUUCAAAUUGGAUAAGGUGCUGCUAUACAUCUGGACUCAUGCCGAAACAAUGGAGCGGGGCUUACUUCGAGGCAUCUGCGCUGUCGGUGCAUGGCCGCCUCUGCCAUGACUAUGUGCCGGAGGUUUACCACCUUGACUGGUGGAUACACCCUGCCAUUGAGCUGAGUUAGAUUAUUCUCCCAGGUGUGUCCUGCACCCUUGGCCUUCCUCUUCCGCCUAUGCUCCCUAUCAGUAGUUUCCAAGUCAUUAGUCUCUAUUGUGAUUAAUCCAAGGUGUUGCCAUCACGCAAUAGUUGAACAAUGUUAACCUAUGCAGAUAUGAACCAGCUAUAGAUAUUCCUUCCCACUUUCACAAUCCAGCCUAACCAAUCCUUGGUUCCCAAUUUAGCAACAAUUCAGCAUUGUCCCCCUUUCAGAAUUAGGUCACCACAGUGGUAAUUUUCUUUCACUAAUAAGAUAGGUAAUGUCAUACACGUUUCAUACAAAUUGUACCGUAUGUGUAGGUGCCUUCUAUUUUUUUCAUCUCCCGUUGCAACGCACGGGCAUGUGUGCUAGUUAAAUUAAAUAUACAAUUGUUCUAAAUACUUUCAGACCAUUUCAGAUAUAAUUCAACAUCCCCGGAAACAUGUUAAACCUAUAUAUAUUUAUCGGUAAUACCCGGUAUUACCCCAUACACUCUGAAACCCUUCCGAUGAUCCUGAAACGCUUCCGGAUCUUUUCGGAACUAUUUCCAAUAUUAAUGAAACAAUUCCACAAAUAUAUUCCCAUCAAUCCGUCCUACUAACACUCAACAGAUCGUGAUUUCCUUAAGCUUGUGACCCCGUAGGUUCGGUAACUCAUAGACAUGAAUGAAACCAUUCGUUCAAUGACCGACACCGGAACCGUGGACGUCCAUAUCGAUCCCUAUGAGCACACGAAUGAUAUUCAAGUGAACCUUUGGUUUAUCAUGUGAUGUUCCAUUUGCUUCAUGAUACUUCACAAAACCCGAUAUGUAUUGGUAUCGUCCUGAGUCAUCACCAUCCUCACUAUAUCAAAAUCCUCGUUACCGGUUUUGUUCUUCUUUCUCGUUAUUGUGUUCUGGCAUCCCCGUGACAUAGUCACCUGUAUGUGGCCAAGCGAUGAUGGAUGCUAUCACACCGACAUGGCCCUAAUAACAUAUCUCCAUCAUACCAAAACCAUAUAGAAUUGUUGUAAACAUGGCAUGACUACUUCAUAAAUUAUAGAUACGUUGGAGACGUAUCAGCCACCAUACCUUAACUCAUGCAAUUAUUUAUACCCAUGCAUAUACUAUCAUCUCUCGACUGGUUCGCAACGCUCACUCUUGCCGCUAACAAAGAAAACAGCCCCGCUCACUUGAGAAUGGGCCACAAAGACUCUAAGACGCAGUUGGGCCACAUGUAGAUUGAGCAAGAACCCAGUGCUACUGACGAUGUGCAUCCAUGGGGUGCAAAUUGCAAGACCAAGAUGCACAUGCUUCACUCCAAAACCUAGCUAGGGUGGCAGCGGCUGGCUAGGACGCCAAGAACUAGUGAACAACAUGAUAGUAGACGACAGAUGGGGGCCUCGAGCAAGCAGGUGGUUGGGUGCAACUGUGACUGCCCGAGACCGAUGCUCCAGAUACCUCCCGCUAUUUUUGUUGUGGCCGCAUUAAUUAUUUGGUUGUGGCAUUCAUCAUCGCAUCAUUCGCAUUGCAUCAGCACUCCGUUGCCGUCAUUUUUUCAAAACUUGCAUUCGUCCAUAGUUGCCGCUUCUCUCCAUUGUCUUCAUUUACCGUUCCGAGUCUAACCACACACUUGCACGCGCCAGCGACAUCGUUAAAUAAUUAUUGUCAAAAAGGGAUUAAAACAUUCUCAGAACAGGUUCAAAGUUGGCGUGCGGUCUUAAUAUAUGGUUUUGUAUUGUUCUUUUCAACCUUCACUUCAUUCCUAUCAUUUUUAUCAUUUCAGAGUUUCUUCUUGAAGGUUCUUCAUGGUGGUUUGUGAACGAUUUCUUUCAUUCUCAAAGUGCCCUUCAAGAUUCUCCUCGAAGUUAAGAUCUACCAAGCUAUACUCGAAAAUAAACAUGGUGUUCAACACAUGUUUUGUUUUGAGGAGUUCAAGCAUGUUUCAUCUUCCAUUCAAGUGUGCAAAUCCUUUCUACCUUGUCUUUCGAGCUGAUCUUAUGUCAUUAUUGACAAAUUUCCCUUCGUGUUUCAUGAUUCAUAGGUUGUAAAGAAUGAGAUACUAAACCCACCAUUUUCUCUUUGUUCAGGAGAUCCUUUCAACCCAUCAAUCUCUUCGUUGGAGUUAUCUUGGGUUGAUUUCACCUAAAGCCUUCCCUAAGGAAUGUUGCUAUUGUGGUGCAUAUUUGUGAUCCAGGUUUUCUCUCUAUCCUCUCGGUGAAAGUUUUGCAUCUCUUUGUUGCUCUCAAGCAUCAUAUUUUCAGCAAAUGGCAGGCUUUAACCUCAAAAAUUUAAAAUGUUUCCAUAAGGCAUUUGAAGCAUAUCUGUUGCUUGUUGAUUCUUUCACCAAUUACCUUCAAGUCUUCUUCGCAAGGAUGCUCUUUAAUGUUCUAUUGCGUUAGAAGAUGUUGGUUUCUCCUCCGUUCUUUUCAUCCCAAGUAUCUAACUCAAUUUCUUUUGCUAAGGAAGCAUUGUGUUGGUGCUCUUUCCCAAGUUCCCUCCAUGUUGCCAACUUCAUGUUCUGUCUAUCACUUAUCUUUUAACCAGAGUCACAUACAGUUGCCUCCAUUUUCUCAAGUUCAUGUUCUAUGCCUUUCUUUUCUUCAACCGGAGUGGUUUCAAAUUCUUUCUCAUCCUUGAUGCCAUCUAUUAUCUCUUUGCAACCUCGUCUCACUCAUUUGUCACAUAAGCAGCUUUAUUUUACCUCUUUCUCUUCCUCUUCCUCUUCCUCUUCUCAUUCCUUGAUCUCAGGGAGAGAUCUCUUGUAAGUGGGGGAGAGUUGUGAUAGCCCGAGACCGACGCUCCAGAAGCCUCCCGCUAUUUUCGCUGUAGCCGCAUUAAUUAUUUGGUUGUGCUAUUAAUCAUCACAUCAUUUGCAUUGCAUCGGCACUCCGUUGCCAUCAUUUUUUCAAAACUUGCAUCCGUCCGUACUUGCCACUUCUCUCCGUGGUCUUCAUUGAUCGUUCCGAGUCCAACCACACACUUGCACGUGCCCCAACAUCGUUAAAUAAUUAUUUUCAAAGUGGGAUUAAAAUGUUCUCGGAAUGGGUUGAAAGUUUACGUGUGGUCUUAAUAUUAUGUAGGUAGACCACCUGCCAAAUUUUCUCGCAUUCAAAAGUCGUUUGGUACCCCAACCUUUAAACUAGAGGCACUAUAUGUGGAUAAACAUAGGACGUUUUAAUAAUAAAACGUGUUGCCGGGCUACCCUAUUUCCCUCUCAUCUCGGCCCAACAAAUCUACAUAGCCCACCUAAACCUACCCUAACCACCCUCCGCUCCAAAGCCUUCCGAUUGUGAUCGGAGGGCUAGAAAAACCCCACAAAACCCUCAACCCUCGCCAUCCCUGCCUAUUUAAGCAACCGCUACCCUACCUAAUUUGCAACCCUACCCCUCUUCCGCAUUUUCCAUGCGCAGCCUCUCCACCGCCGCCACUUGUCCACCUUCUCCAUCCUCCAGCCGCCGUGGCCCUGUGAACCGAUCAUGGACCCGCUUGAACCCAUCGGGGCCCGAGCCAGCUCACGCGCCGCCACCAUUAGUGCUCGCCUCCGCAGCUCGCGCCCGAGCUCCUCUCACCAUGCCGCCUGCUCACCCUCGCGGGAGAUCUCCUGUUGACCGAUGAGCUGCCAGAGACCGCAACCGGAACAGGCCGACCUCGCCGCCUCCUCUCCUUUCUCCUCCAUUUCUCUCCAUUUCCACUCUAACCCUCUCUCUAUUGCAGUCAUGGAUAGGCGCCAUGGACGCCACCCAAGCUCGGAGCUCAUGCCGCCACCUUGCCUCGCUGCCGCCUCGGGCCAGAUCCGGCGGCCAUGGCCCCUCCCGCGGCCGGAUCCUGCCCGAUCUGCCCACCUGCGCCGCUCCCCUACUGUUCGUCGACCCCGCCGCCGCGCCGAACCGUCGCCAUGGCCUCUGCUUCGCCCGCUGGUACGCCCUCAUCUCAGGAUCCGCCAAGCCUUCCAACCAAAGAACAUCUGGAACCGCUCCAUCCUAGUUUUCCUGUGAGGUCGAAUUUUUCCUUGUCCUCAGAUUUUUCACAUCAGAUUGCAUUUUGUGAUGAUGGUAACUUUGUGCAUGUUUGUCCGAUGGAAAUGAUCUUUCUAUGAAAACUGAUCUACUCUUUGUGGGCUUAAUGAUGGUUGCAUUUGCAUCCUUCAUAGGAUUCAUCUACAUGUUGUAAUCUCUGUUGCAAAAGUGCAUCAUGUCGUAAUCUACAUAAAAUUGUUAAAACAUUCAAACUUACGUUGAUCCUUGCCACCAAUCCAUAACUCAUAAGCAUAUGAUUCCUUAAGGUGUUUUCCACUAUGAAAUGUUUAUUUUAAUGCGAUGCCCAUGGAUGCCAUGUCAAUUUUCUUUAGCAUGUCUAUUUCUUGCUCUU
rnacentral:lncRNA from 1 species